CUAGUAUGGAUAAAGCAUCCUUGUGGCAUUGUCGUCUUGGACAUGUCAACAAGAAACGCAUAGCCCAACUCCAAAAGGAUGGAGUGUUGGAGUCAUUCGACCUUAGGGAAGAUGACACAUGCGAGUCUUGUUUGCUUGGAAAGAUGACUAAGUCACCCUUCACGAGUACAUGUGAAAGGGGCGAGGGUCUAUUGGACCUAAUACAUACCGAUGUAUGUGGACCGUUUAGAUCAACCACGAAGGAUGGGAACCGCUUCUAUGUGACUUUUACCGAUGACUAUAGUAGAUAUGGGUAUAUCUACUUAAUCAAGCAAAAGUCAGAAACCUUUGAAAAGUUCAAAGAGUUCAAGAAUGAAGUGGAGAAUCAAUUGGGCAGGAAAAUCAAGAUGCUUCGAUCCGAUCGAGGAGGAGAGUACCUAAGUCUUGAAUUCCACGAUUAUCUCAAGGAGUGUGGAAUAGUUUCGCAAUUGACGCCUCCUAGGACACCGCAGUUGAAUGGUGUGGCAGAAAGGCGUAAUCGAACCUUAUUGGAUAUGGUUCGCUCUAUGAUGAGUCGUGCUUCACUACCAAUCUCUUUUUGGGGGUAUGCCUUAGAGACUGCCGCCCAUAUCCUUAACCGAGUCCCUACUAAGAAGGUUGCCAAAACACCUCACGAGAUGUGGACAGGGAAAGCUCCCUCGUUGGCACAUAUCAAGGUUUGGGGUUGCGAGGCUUUCGUAAGACGAGAUACUCACGACAAGCUCGAACCUCGUAGUGAGCGAUGUAUUUUCAUCGGCUACCCGCAGAAAUCCUUUGGAUAUCUCUUCUAUAGACCGAAGGACAAUGUUGUCUUCGUUGCGAGGAGAGGAGUUUUCCGAGAGCGAGAACUCAUAAGCCAAGGAGACAGUGGGAGGCAAAUCGAGCUUGAAGAGAUUCAAGAGUCGAUAGAUGAAGGAACCUCUACCGCUGGCACUCAACCCGAGGAGGAAACUCCGGUUGAACCGAUUGACGAGUCCUUACCUCUUAGACGUUCCGAAAGAGUUAGAGUUCAACCCCAGUUUUAUGGUUUUCAUAUUACUACCGAAGGGGACACGUAUAUUAGUGAUGGUACACUAAUAAAUCUUGAUGAACCUAAUAGCUAUAAGGAAGCCAUGGCAGGCCCGGAGUCUGCGAAAUGGAAAGAGGCAAUGGAUAGCGAGAUCCAAUCCAUGUAUGAUAACCAAGUUUGGAAUUUGGUUGAUAAUGUGCCCGGACGUAAGACCGUUGGGUGCAAAUGGAUCUUCAAGAAGAAGACCGACGUGGAUGGAAACGUACACACAUAUAAAGCGCGAUUGGUUGCGAAGGGCUUUACUCAAACUCCCGGAGUUGACUAUGAUGAGACCUUCUCACCAGUUGCGAAGAUAAAAUCUAUUAGAGUGAUGCUAGCUAUUGCCGCAUUUCAUAAUUAUGAGAUUUGGCAAAUGGAUGUCAAAACAACUUUCCUUAACGGGAAGUUGGCUGAGGAUGUUUACAUGGCUCAGCCAGAGGGUUUUGUUGAUCCGAAGCAUCCAAAUAGAGUGUGUAAGCUUGAGAAGUCCAUUUAUGGACUUAAGCAAGCGUCUCGCAGAUGGAAUCUUUGCUUCGAUGAGAAAGUCAAAGAGUUUGGAUUUGUACGAAGCGAAGACGAAUCUUGUGUAUAUGUCAAAGCCAGUGGGAGUAUAGUAAGCUUCCUCGUUCUAUAUGUCGAUGACAUAUUACUCAUAGGAAACGACAUCCCGACUCUGCAGGAGGUUAAGUCCUGGCUCGGGAAGUGCUUCGCUAUGAAGGACCUCGGAGAGGCUUCCUAUAUUUUGGGAAUAAGGAUAGUAAGAGAGAGAAGUAAGAGACUAAUAGGACUUAGUCAGAACACUUACUUAGAUAAGGUACUAAAACGUUUUAGUAUGGAAAAACUCGAAUAAGGGAGAAUUACCGAUACAAAGUAAUGCCAAGUUGAGUAAGACUCAAAUUCCGAGUACUGAAGCUGAAAUAGCAGAAAUGAGCCGAGUACCAUACACUUCCGCAGUUGGCUCAAUUAUGUAUGCUAUGACUUGUACUCGCCCUGAUGUAGCCUUUGCUUUGAGCAUGGUUAUCAGAUAUUGGGGGAAUCCAGGCGGAGCUCAUUGGAUUGCGGUGAAGAAUAUCCUUAAGUACCUUCGGAGGACGAAGUAAUGGGUUUUAGUGCUCGGAGGGAGUGAUGACUUGAAGGUGCGCGGGUAUAGUGACGCCAGCUUCGAAACCGACCGAGACAACUACCGUUCGCAUUCGGGUUGGGUCUUUACCCUGAAUGGAGGAGCAGUAACUUGGAAAAGUUCCAAGCAGGAAACCAUAGCUGAUUCAACGUGCGAAUCAGAGUACACUACAGCGAGUGAAGCGUCAAAGGAGGCAUUAUGGUUGAAGAACUUCAUUGGUGAUCUUGGAGUUGUACCCGCCAUAAAGGAGCCCAUGGAGAUUUUCUGUGAUAAUGAAGGAGCGGUUGCCUUAACCAAGGAACCGAGAGAUCAUGGUAGAUCGCGACAUAUCGACAGAAAAUAUCACUUUAUUAGACAUCGUGUAGAAGAAGGACAACUCGUAGUGAAGAGGAUAUCAUCAGAAGAUAACCCAACAAAUCAGCUUACGAAGGGACUGAGUAGGGUUAAGCACUUGCAGCAUGCUAGGAGUAUUGGGCUGAAGGAUGAUAUUAGUAUAGAAUAGAUAGUAGUAGAAACAUGUAAUAGAUAAAUAUAAUUAACAUUUGACGAUUAAAUAAAAUAGUAUUAUUUAUGAGUAAUGUUACUGUCUUAUGUAAAUUGUUUAACUAUUGUUUCAUUUUGCAUGUUUUGAUUUCCAGAAUAAUUGAGUUUAUUAAGAAUAAUCGAAUUAUUCGAAUUAUCCACAAUUGUUCAUAUGUUGGAAGUAGAUAUGAAUGAAGAUUGUCAUGAAUUGGUAUGUAGAUUGUCUAAAUGGUAUUAGACAUAGCAAAGGGUUGCUACAACGUUCAUGAGUGCUUAUGAACUGGUUUUGAGCAUUGGAACAAACCCGCGCUUGCUGGAAUCACCUUAUGGAAUAUGAUAUAAAAGGGUGAUCGCAAGACGAUAAUAUCAUAUACUCUUAAAACCUAGAUAUAUGGUUUGUUAUUUGUUAAUUGGUUGUACAUUGAUAAUGCGAAAACGCAUCAGUAACUCGAUGUUAUAAAACGCAUUGUUGUGUAUAGUUGAUUAAUGAAUAAGUAAAUGCAUAUAAGUCGAAGUUUAUCUGUUACUUUUAUCCUAAGAGGUUAAAAGCGAUAUCUCGGCCGCUCGAUGAUUUGAUUUGACUUAUGUGCCGGGCCCGGUCAGAACUGAAUUUAUGUGUUCGAUUAAGUUCUAUGUCAAAUGAAUCGGAGAUCGAGAAACCAAAUGCUUGACAAAAUUGAUUCCAUAAAAUUGUCAGCAUGAUAUCUAACAGAGGACUGUAUGAUCCCUUAUCUAAAGGAAAAGAUUGAUUAGAUCAGAGUUUGACAACGUCUUUGAGAGCGAUGAUUGCAAAUCGAAUUGUACUUGUGCAUAUAGUUACUAGACUUAUCCAAGUGGGAGACUGUUGGAAUAGUAUCGAAGGCUACAACUAUAUUUGGCAAGUAUUUGACCCGGUUGUGCAUGAUCCUUUUAGGUUGCCUUCAUCAUAGCAACUUGACAGGAUGAUUUAUAAUGAGAGAAGGAAUAUUAUUAAUAUAUUAUAAGUAUAAUAUAAGGAAUAAUAAUAUUGUUUGAUUGAUAUAGGUCAUAAAUUAAUUAGGAAUUAAUUUGGUGACUUAAAGAGAUUAAUUAAACAAAGGGGUAUAAACUGUCAAUUGUUUGAUAGUUACACUUUGGGCUGUAAAUCCUUCGUGGAUAGGGUUGGACGAUUUCUAGGGCUUGGGAUAAGCCACAAAUCGUCCAAGGGCUUAUCUUAGAAGGGAUUUGGAUUGCUUUGAGUAAUAGUUAUCCAACUAGGGUUUUAGAGUGAAACUCUAGGAGCCUUACAAGUAUAAAUAGACCCCAUGGGCAAGGGAAAUCGACACCUCUGCUAAAGUAAAGAAACCCUAGCCGAUUUCAUCCCCUCUCCUCUCUCUCAAAUCAUCCUCUUGCUAGUUGGUGUUUGUAAGCCAUUAGAGGAGUGACAUUUGUGACUCUAAAGCUCCAAGAACAAGAAGAUCAAACAAGUGUUUUGAGGUAAGCUUCUAACUCUGAUUUUGUAUUGUUCUUAUACUCAAUUAGCCAUUAGAAGUCUUGGAUUCAAUGUAUGUUCAAUUAGAGAAACCUAGAUCCAAGCAUUAGGGUUUGUAUGUGCACAUAGGAAUGUUCAUAUGGCCAAAACCCAUCAGAAUGAUGUUAUGAUUCAUGUAUAAUCAUUGUGAUGGUAUUCAAUUGAGUCACAAUAGCCCUCGGACGUUUCCGCCGUCUGGUUCGGGGGUGUGACAAUGCACUACCCGGUAAAGAUAACUAGUGAUUUUUUCGAAUGUUCUACUAUAAGAAAAUUGAUUGCUAAAAAGAUUAACUAAGUCUGCAAAUGAAGUAAUAGAGUAAGGGGGAACGUUAAAAAGCCAUUUUAAGGUUGAUCUUAUGAGGGUCAAACCGAAACCCUUGCAUAGGCAAGCUUCCUUCAAAUGUGUGGGAAUGGGGAUGAUUUCCAUUCUUUCCUUGUAUUGUGUCACAUGCUCUUCAGGGUCUGUAGUUCCAUCAUAAGGCUUCAUGUUGUGAAUGUGGAAGCACUUUGGGAUUUCAUUAUCAGCUAUCGCAAGAGAAAAUCUUCAGAUCCUAUGGCUCGUAGGGAUACCUCUGGUAUAGGUUGGGCUACUCUGGGCACACUUGAGAUCAUCUGACUUAACUGUUGAAGUUUAUUGGCCAUGAUCGGGCUCAUUUUUGCAUUGAGGUCCAUAGAGUUAGUAUUAAAAAUAUUUUUAUUCAUGAAGUUAAUCCUUGUUAUUAGGAGUGAUGAAGGUUUCUUCGGGAUCUUGGAUCAUAUUAGCUCGCUCAUUCGGGGUUGCACCAUAAGUGGGAGCAGGUGUCGGUGUUGAGGAUCCUAUAUCCUAGCGGUUUCCUAAGGAUCCUAUAUUGUCAAAGUUCAGGAUUUUGGGCUAUAAGAUCGAGGGUGCUGAUUUUUGUGGUUUAUAGAUCUACGCCCUCAAUCUCUCCGUCUCCUUAAGCACCGUCCUGUUGUCCUCUUGCUGCCGAGUAACUUGUCGUUCCAGUCUCUUCAUUAUAUCAAAGAGCUCGUUGUUGGAAAUCGUUACAGGAGGAUCCUAAAAUCGUUGGAGUCUUCUUCGGCGCCUCAGAAGUCUUCUUAGGUGCUCCAUUAGGAGGUGGUGGAAGGUUUUUAGAGGAAAUGGGAGGAAUAGAGGAAGAGGAUAAAGUUAGUUAGGUAUACAUUAUUCUUGAACGAUUUUGAACACCACGACCACACGGUAGGCGCCAAAUUGUUUUUGGUCAAAAUAUGAGUAAGCAUUAUUCAACCAAAUUGUAUAAAAGGCUUUGGUGUUUAAGGUAAAUAAUGAUUAAAGUGAGACAAGUGAGUUACAAGGAAAUCCAUUGCUCUUUAUAGGAUCUCCGACAUAAAACCUUGGGAGGUGAAUGAUCACAUGCCUUGUUGUUUUAUUGAUAUGAAUGUGAGAUUAUAGAAAUGAUGAUGAUAAUACGAAUACAAAUGUAGUAGUAAGUUAAUCGUGUACAUAGUGUGUGAAUUAUAGGUGUAUUUAAAUAACAUUAUUUAAUUUUCAUUACAAUUUUGCAUAUUAUAUAUAUAUAUAUAUANNNNNNNNNNNNNNNNNNNNNNNNNNNNNNNNNNNNNNNNNNNNNNNNNNNNNNNNNNNNNNNNNNNNNNNNNNNNNNNNNNNNNNNNNNNNNNNNNNNNNNNNNNNNNNNNNNNNNNNNNNNNNNNNNNNNNNNNNNNNNNNNNNNNNNNNNNNNNNNNNNGAAAUGAAUGUUAGGAACAGUACUUGACCCCAGGUACUGUUCAUCAGGUUUACUUAAUCAACCAUGGUCACCGCCUCCACCCCCAUCCAGUUUAUUCCAAACUCACAAAGCCUGAUCUCGAUCAUUCCUCAACCCUGUAUCAUUGUUCUAUUGAGAGGGUGUUUGGGAAAGCUUUAAAAACUAACUUUUUACUUUUUACUUUUCAGAAAAGUCAAAAAAAAUGCAAAAGAUGUUUGUCUAAGUUAAAAAGUUCUUUUUAAACAACUUUUGAGCAAGAGGAAAAAAGGUUGAUUUCAAAAGUCACAAAAACGUGACUUUUGGAACUUUUGUACUUCUUAAAAGCAACUUUUGUCUUUUUACCAUCCAAACACAUUCUAAACCGUAACUUUUGGAAAAAGAUCUUUUAAAAAAGUUCCCAAAACACCCCCUGAGUACCAUCAUCAUCGUCGUCUCGGCUUUAGGUCACCGUUCUAAAUACGCCACCGCCACCGAUUUCAUAGAUCGUUUCUUCCUACUCUCAGCUUCUUAUCUUGCUCGCUCCAAUCCGGUCGACUCUUCCUCUACCUUCCAGUUCAUUCCAUCUUUCCAAUUGAUUGUUCGCCACAGUCUCCUAUAGUCUCAUAUUUCAGUCCAGUUCAUCGACUCCCACAAUAUCGAUUCCUCUCACUACAUACAUCUCCGCCAUCUACCACUAAUUGAAAAAGAUCGACGCGUUUCCAAUCAUUCAACAACCGACGACGGCUUCACGAUUUUGAGGUUUUUGGCUUCGAUUUUUAAGGUAUGUGAAGUUCUAUAGCCACGAUUUUCAUCUUUCUGGAUCGAUUUUGUCUGCAACUGCUCCACCACCUCGCCACCGCCGGUGAUGCAACAUCGGAAGCUUCUUUCAAGAAAACCAUUGCUACAAAAAAAAACCUAAAUUCAAGAACGAGGAUGUUUGCCACUGCUCAAUCAAAUCCUAAAUCACGUCUCUUCCUACUUUGCUUCACUAAAGUCACGUUUGUCAGAUUCGUCAAAUCUGACAACAAUCCGGUGUUUACGGUAGACGAAGGUCUUUCUCCAGAAAUCUGUCGGAAUUAUCAGGGAUUCAAAAUAAGUUAACUGUGAUUUCAUUCACAAUUUUAGGAGUUUAUUACAAUUUUGUUACCUUUGACAAUGAUGAAUAUAUCGAAGGUCAAUACUAUAUCAGAAAUUUGUUUUUUUUUCUUUGUGUUCAUCAUAUUAUUCUACAAUAUUUCAACUAUAACAACACUAAUAUUUACGCUUUUGUUAUUCAUGUGCUAAAAUUUUGUUGAUGUCAACCGUAUGAAAGCGUAUUAAUUCAAACAAUUUUGUAGAUGUAGCGUCUCACACUGAUGGCAAACCUCUGUUACUGAGUUGGUUUGAAUGAUAGUUCUCAAAUGGCUAUGCCUUUAUUACUGGUAUGAUUCAUUUCCUCUGAAGAUAAAAUUCUGAGCCACUCAUGAUUGCAACUAUAUCUCAUUAAUGUGAGUAUUGAAUUCUUUCAAUUAAGAUAAUUGAAAUUAUGUAUAUUGUUAUUUUGGGUACGGUUUUUAGGUAAUUGUAACUCAAUUUUUUUUGUGGAUAAAAUCGGGUGCAAGGAAGUUGAUGAAUUCGCAGUUAUGGCACAUGUGUGCUGGCCCUUUAGUCUCUUUACGUCAAAUUGGAAGCCUCAUGGUCUACUUUCCACAAGCCCACAAUGAGCAAGUAAGCUUCUUUCAGAAUAUCUUUGUAAAAAAAAAAUACAUGUAUUCUAUCUCCUAAUAGAAUUCUUCCUUUUUUUUUUAUUGUUUUAUGCAAGCUUGCAGCAUGAUGCAAACCUGAUGAAGUUUAUGCAUAGAUGACUCUUCAACCCGUAACUAAACUAGGUCAGCCGAUGUAUAAUGUUUUAUUUGUGAUUUUUUUUUGAGUUUUUAGAAAUAGAUUCUGACAUGAUGUAGAUUUUUGUAGUAUGAUCAACAAGCAUUACUUAUGUGUGAAAUGGUUUUGAAGUAAAACAAGCACCCAACUGCAAAAACACAUGUUCCGAAUACUCACUUGAAGCGCAAGGUCGGAUUAAAUUUUUCGUUAAUUUUUCUGUUUUUUUUAAAGAUCUAUUGGAAAUGAAUUAGGAUUGACAAAUUUAUAUUUUUUUAUGUGUUUCAUCCUCUUUUCACCGGAGAAGCUGCUACAUGGCAGGCUUGGCUAUAUAUUGGCUUAUCCAGAUUUAGUAACAUGGUUCGUUUUGGAGUGGUUGGCCUUAAAUUAAGGCGUGGGUAUGCUCGAUCACAAUCAGGAGAGCCAAUCCAUGUAUUAUUUUCAGCAACUCUUUUAUAUCAAUGAGUUAUUGAUCAUAUGGAUUAUCAUAUGAUAGAGGAUUUUGAAAUAGAAUGUCCAGUAUUCAUUGCUUUAUAUGUUCAACACAAAUAAUAUGAGAAAUGAAUUCGAGUUUCAACAAAUGUAUUACAACAAUCCUUUUUCCAUUUUCUUUUUUAUUACAACGUUAACUUACACGAUAAAUAUAUUCAUUUGUUUAGCACUGCAACAUUGGAGCUUGCAAUGUCAUUAAGAGACGGUUCGAUAAAUCUUUCAAAUUCUCAGAAUUGUCAACUCUCUACAAGAUCAAACGCAAGUGUAAGAAUAAUAAGCUCUUUUCAUUUUAAAAUAAAAAAGAACCAUUAUUUUUUAGAUAUUUUAUGUUAUCUUUUUCUACUUAAAUUACUUGAUCAUAAUCUCGAAUGUUGCUAUUUUAUCUUUUUUCUAAGUUAUAUUUUAUUUUUUGAUUGUCUUCCAAGUAAAGAGAAGUUUAGGCUAGAGGCUUCAGUUGUUGUUGGAUGGAGAAAGAAACACCAAAAAAUGGCUCCAGAAGGAGAGAUUAUGGUACUUUAUUUUAGAAAUAAUUUAUUACAUUUGAUAUCUACAGGCAUGAAUUAAAAGCACAGAGGGAGAGAAUCUUUCAAAUUGAUGACUACAAUGUUUAAAGCUAGAUACUUUUUCCAACAACUUAUGUCGGGAGUUCAGUACUACCAUUUCCUGGAGAUUGGUUGAGUGGUCUCAAUUGCUAUACUAACCAUAUAAAUCAAAGUACGUUGCUAAUUUCUGCAUGUAACCUUCAUAUGGAUAUCUCUCUCAUCUAUCUCAUUCUUUUGAUGAAUUUUCUAUAGAUAUUAACAUGUGAUCAAUUGGAAAUUUCGUCAACAAGGGCAGAUUGCCAGAUUGUUACAACUGAAAAAAGAGAAAGCCAAAUCAUUAUCAGGUACAUAUGUAAUAAAUAAAUGAUAAGUAUCAAGGGUAUUCUUGGUAUUUUAGCAGCUACUACUACAUGAUCAAACAAAGUGCAUUUAUUUAUAAAAUCAAAGACAAUACAUAAUUUAUUGUGGGCGAUUGUUUAAUUUUAAUCCAAUUGUUCAUAUGUUGGAAGUAGAUAUGAAUGAAGAUUGUCAUGAAUUGGUGUGUAGAUUGUCUAAAUGGUAUUAGACAUAGCAAAGGGUUGCUACAACGUUCAUGAGUGCUUAUGAACUAGUUUUGAGCAUUGGAACAAACCCGCGCUUGCUGGAAUCACCUUAUGGAAUAUGUUAUAGAAGGGUGAUCGCAAGACGAUAAUAUCAUAUACACUUAAAACCUAGAUAUAUGGUUUGUUAUUUGUUAAUUGGUUGUACAUUGAUAAUGCGAAAACGCAUCAGUAACUCGGUGUUAUAAAACGCAUUGUUGUGUAUAGUUGAUUAAUGAAUAAGAAAAUGCAUAUAAGUCGAAGUUUAUCUGUUACUUUUAUCAUAAGAGGUUAAAAGCGAUAUCUCGGCCGCUCGAUGAUUUGAUUUGACUUAUGUGCCGGGCCCGGUCAGAACUGAAUUUAUGUGUUCGAUUAAGUUCUAUGUCAAAUGAAUCGGAGAUCGAGAAACCAAAUGCUUGACAAAAUUGAUUCCAUAAAAUUGUCAGCAUGAUAUCUAACAGAGGACUGUACGAUCCCUUAUCUAAAGGAAAAGAUUGAUUAGAUCAAAGUUUGACAGCGCUUUGAGAGCUACGAUUGCAAAUCGAAUUGUACUUGUGCAUAUAGUUAUUAGACUUAUCCAAGUGGGAGACUGUUGGAAUAGUAUCUAAGGCUGCAACUAUAUUUGGCAAGUAUUUGACCCGGUUGUGCAUGAUCCUUUUGGGUUGCCUUCACCAUAGCAACUUGACAGGAUGAUUUAUAAUGAGAGAAGGAAUAUUAUUAAUAUAUUAUAAGUAUAAUAUAAGGAAUAAUAAUAUUGUUUGAUUGAUAUAGGUCAUAAAUUAAUUAGGAAUUAAUUUGGUGACUUAAAGAGAUUAAUUAAACAAAGGGGUAUAAACUGUCAAUUGUUUGAUAGUUACACUUUGGGCUGUAAAUCCUUCUUGGAUAGGGUUGGACGAUUUCUAGGGCUUGGGAUAAGCCACAAAUCGUCCAAGGGCUUAUCUUGGAAGGGAUUUGGAUUGCUUUGAGUAAUAGUUAUCCAACUAGGGUUUUAGAGUGAAACUCUAGGAGCCUUACAAGUAUAAAUAGACCCCAUGGGCAAGGGAAAUCGGCACCUUUGCUAAAGCAAAGAAACCCUGGCCGAUUUCAUCCCUUCUCCUCUCUCUCAAAUCAUCCUCUUGCUAGUUGGUGUUUGUAAGCCAUUAGAGGAGUGACAUUUGUGAUUCUAAAGCUCCAAGAACAAGAAGAUCAAACAAGUGUUUUGAGGUAAGCUUCUAACUCUGAUUUUGUAUUGUUCUUAUACUCAAUUAGCCAUUAGAAGUCUUGGAUUCAAUGUAUGUUCAAUUAGAGAAACCUAGAUCCAAGCAUUAGGGUUUGUAUGUGCACAUAGGAAUGUUCAUAUGGCCAAAACCCAUCAGAAUGAUGUUAUGAUUCAUGUAUAAUCAUUGUGAUGGUAUUCAAUUGAGUCACAAUAGCCCUCGGACGUUUCCGCCGUCUGGUUCGGGGGUGUGACACUGCACUACCCGGUAAAGAUAACUAGUGAUUUUUUCGAAUGUUCUACUAUAAGAAAAUUGAUUGCUAAAAAGAUUAACUAAGUGAGCAAAUGAAGUAAUAGAGUAAGGAGGAACGUUAAGAAGCCAUUUUAAGGUUGAUCUUAUGAGGGUCAAACCGAAACCCUUGCAUAGGCAAGCUUCCUUCAAAUGUGUGAGAAUGGGGAUGAUCUCCAUUCUUUCCUUGUAUUGUGUCACAUGCUCUUCAGGGUCUGUAGUUCCAUCAUAAGGCUUCAUGUUGUGAAUUUGGAAGCGCUUUGGGAUUUCAUUAUCAGCUAUCGCAAGAGAAAAUCUUCAGAUCCUGUGGCUCGUAUGGAUACCUCUGGUAUAGGUUGGGCUACUCUGGGCACACUUGAGAUCAUCUGACUUAACUGUUGAAGUUUAUUGGCCAUGAUCGGGCUCAUUUUUGCAUUGAGGUCCAUAGAGUUAGUAUUAAAAAUAUUUUUAUUCAUGAAGUUAAUCCUUGUUAUUAGGAGUGAUGAAGGUUUCUUCGGGAUCUUGGAUCAUAUUAGCUCGCUCAUUCGGGGUUGCACUAUAAGUGGGAGCAGGUGUGGUGUUGAGGAUCCUAUAUCCUAGCGGUUUCCUAAGGAUCCUAUAUUGUCAAAGUUCAGGAUUUUGGGCUAUAAGAUCGAGGGUGCUGAUUUUUGUGGUUUAUAGAUCUACGCCCUCAAUCUCUCCGUCUCCUUAAGCACCGUCCUGUUGUCCUCUUGCUGCCGAGUAACUUGUCGUUCCAGUCUCUUCAUUAUAUCAAAGAGCUCGUUGUUGGAAAUCGUUACAGGAGGAUCCUAAAAUCGUUGGAUUCUUCUUCGGCGCCUCAGAAGUCUUCUUAGGUGCUCCAUUAGGAGGUGGUGGAAGGUUUUUAGAGGAAAUGGGAGGAAUAGAGGAAGAGGAUAAAGUUGGUUAGGUAUACAUUAUUCUUGAACGAUUUUGAACACCACGACCACACGGUGGGCGCCAAAUUGUUUUGGUCAAAAUAUGAGUAAGCAUUAUUCAACCAAAUUGUAUAAAAGGCUUUGGUUUUAAGGUAAAUAAUGAUUAAAGUGAGACAAGUGAGUUACAAGGAAAUCCAUUGCUCUUUAUAGGAUCUCCGACAUAAAACCUUGGGAGGUGAAUGAUCACAUGCCUUGUUGUUUUAUUGAUAUGAAUGUGAGAUUAUAGAAAUGAUGAUGAUAAUACGAAUACAAAUGUAGUAGUAAGUUAAUCGUGUACACGUGUCAUCUUCCUCAGUUUAUUCAUAUUUAUCACUCUACCGUAAGACAUGGUCUUCCCCUAUCUGAAUUCUUAGGUAACCCGUUUACAUUUGACUAGUUAAAAACGUUAAUAAGCUCAACUGGAUCAUAUAAUUGCAUCUUAUGUGGUUUUAUGUGUUUCACUAGAUUAUAUAAUUACCUUUUAUACACUUGCAUAAUCUAUUCAAUCGAUUUUGUUUUGCGCCAUCAUGGAGUGAUAUUCUUUACACCAAUUUUUAAAAACAAUCUUUUAUCAGAGGAAUCGAAGACUGUGAUUAAAGGCAAGCCUGAUCUUGUAAUGUGAAUGCUUGGAUCUAUUGUUUUGAAGUCAGUCAAAUUUAAUGUAUUUGCUAGGUUUUGAUUCAUAUACAUUUUGGAUUGAUAAAAUUUGAUUUUAUAGAGGCUAUAUCGAUGAAAAAAAACAUUGUUCAUUAAAGUUAAGAAAAAUGAUGUAUAUAUUGUGGUGCAUUUGUGUGCUCUCACUUUUAAUGUCAUUUUAUAUAUUGAUUGAUUCCACUUAUAGUUACAUCCAAAAAGCAACACAUGAGUAAAGUUUCACUUGUAAAAUUGAUUUUCACUUUAUGUAUGCUUUUUUUAUUGGUGUCAUUACCAUUGUUUGCCUCCCAAUAGUGAAGUUUAUCAUAAAUCAUUUGAAGAGGUUGCAAAUGUACAUUGUUGUUCUUAUCAGCCAAAUGAUAUAUUAUUUGUUUUUUAUCAUAAUUGUAAUUAAAUUGCAAUGUUUCAUUUUUUUUCAAGUUUUUAUAACUUACAAAACUCUCUUCAAUCACCAAUACAUAUUUUAUAUUAAGGUUGUAAUGUUAGGUCUGCCAAUCAAAUGGGUUAAAUGAUAUAUUAUUUGUUUUUUCAGAAUUCUAAUGAAAAUUGUAAUGUUUCAAUUUGUUUUCAAGUUGUAACUUACAAAACUAUCUUCAUAUUUUAUAUUAAGGUUGAAAUGUUAGGCCUCACAAUCAAAUGGGUUAAAAAUCUACAAAUAAAAAUGUAUUUAUUUGCUCAUUUUUAGAGAUAAAGUUGUCAAUUUGUAACCUAAAAACUUGGGGGAAACUCACAUUCUAAAUACGGUUAUGUUUUUCUUGAUAAAUUAUGAUUUAAUAACAUUAUUUAAUUUUCAUUACAAUUUUGUAUAUUAUAUAUAUAUAUAUAUAUAUAUAGUUUAUAAGUUCAUAAUAACGAUAUUGAACUUAAACAUAAUCUAUACUUAAAGUAGGGUAAGCGUAACUCACUUACAAGGGGGUUUAGCUAGGAGCCGGGCUCUGCGGGGGCAGAACUUCUAAGCUGNCAGGUUUACUUAAUCAACCAUGGUCACCGCCUCCACCCCCAUCCAGUUUAUUCCAAACUCACAAAGCCUGAUCUCGAUCAUUCCUCAACCCUGUAUCAUUGUUCUAUUGAGAGGGUGUUUGGGAAAGCUUUAAAAACUAACUUUUUACUUUUUACUUUUCAGAAAAGUCAAAAAAAAUGCAAAAGAUGUUUGUCUAAGUUAAAAAGUUCUUUUUAAACAACUUUUGAGCAAGAGGAAAAAAGGUUGAUUUCAAAAGUCACAAAAACGUGACUUUUGGAACUUUUGUACUUCUUAAAAGCAACUUUUGUCUUUUUACCAUCCAAACACAUUCUAAACCGUAACUUUUGAAAAAGAUCUUUUAAAAAAGUUCCCAAAACAACCCCUGAGUACCAUCAUCAUCGUCGUCUCGUCUUUAGGUCACCGUUCUAAAUACGCCACCGCCACCGAUUUCAUAGAUCGUUUCUUCCUACUCUCAGCUUCUUAUCUUGCUCGCUCCAAUCCGGUCGACUCUUCCUCUGCCUUCCAGUUCAUUCCAUCUUUCCAAUUGAUUGUUCGCCACAGUCUCCUAUAGUCUCAUAUUUCAGUCCAGUUCAUCGACUCCCACAAUAUCGAUUCCUCUCACUACAUACAUCUCCGCCAUCUACCACUAAUUGAAAAAGAUUGACGCGUUUCCAAUCAUUCAACAACCGACGACAGCUUCACGAUUUUGAGGUUUUUGGCUUCAAUUUUUAAGGUAUGUGAAGUUCUAUAGCCACGAUUUUCAUCUUUCUGGAUCGAUUUUGUCUGCAACUGCUCCACCACCUCGCCACCGCCGGUGAUGCAACAUCGGAAGCUUCUUUCAAGAAAACCAUUGCUACAAAAAAACCCUAAAUUCAAGAACGAGGAUGUUUGCCACUGCUCAAUCAAAUCCUAAAUCACGUCUCUUCCUACUUUGCUUCACUAAAGUCACGUUUGUCAGAUUCGUCAAAUCCGACAACGAUCCGGUGUUUACGGUAGACGAAGGUCUUUCUCCAGAAAUCUGUUGGAAUUAUCAGGGAUUCAAAAUAAGUUAACUGUGAUUUCAUUCACAAUUUUAGGAGUUUAUUACAAUUUUGUUACCUUUGACAAUGAUGAAUAUAUCGAAGGUCAAUACUAUAUCAGAAAUUUGUUUUUUUUUCUUUGUGUUCAUCAUAUUAUUCUACAAUAUUUCAACUAUAACAACACUAAUAUUUACGCUUUUGUUAUUCAUGUGCUAAAAUUUUGUUGAUGUCAACCGUAUGAAAGCGUAUUAAUUCAAACAAUUUUGUAGAUGUUGCGUCUCACACUGAUGGUCAAACCUCUGUUACUAAAUUGGUUUGAAUGACAGUUCUCAAAUGGCUAUGCCUUUAUUACCGGUAUGAUUCAUUUCCUCUGAAGAUAAAAUUCUGAGCCACUCAUGAUUGCAACUAUAUCUCAUUAAUGUGAGUAUUGAAUUCAUUCAAUUAAGGUAAUUGAAAUUAUGUAUAUUGUUGUUUUGGGUACGUUUUUAGGUAAUUGUAACUCAAUUUUUUUUGUGGAUAAAAUCGGGUGCAAGGAAGUUGAUGAAUUCGCAGUUAUGGCACAUGUGUGCUGGUCCUUUAGUCUCUUUACCUCAAAUUGGAAGCCUCAUGGUCUAUUUUCCACAAGCCCACAAUGAGCAAGUAAGCUUCUUUCAGAAUAUCUUUGUAAAAAAAAAUACAUAUAUUCUAUCUCCUAAUAGAAUUCUUCCUUUUUUUUAUUGUUUUAUGCAAGCUUGCAUCAUGAUGCGAACCUGAUGAAGUUUAUGCAUAGAUGACUCUUCAACCCCUAACUAAACUAGGUCAACCGAUCUAUCAUGUUUUAUUUGUGAUUUUUUUUUGAGUUUUUAGAAAUAGAUUCUGACAUGAUGUAGAUUUUUGUAGUAUGAUCAACAAGCAUUACUUAUGUGUGAAAUGGUUUUGAAGUAAAACAAGCACCCAGCUGCAAAAACACAUGUUCCGAAUACUCACUUGAAGCGCAAGGUCGGAUUAAAUUUUUCGUUAAUUUUUCUUUUUUUUUCAAGAUCUAUUGGAAAUGAAUUAGGAUUGACAAAUUUAUAUUUUUUUAUGUGUUUCAUCCUCUUUUCACCGGAGAAGCUGCUACAUGGCAGGCUUGGCUAUAUAUUGGCUUAUCCAGAUUUAGUAACAUGGUUCGUUUUGGAGUGGCUGGCCUUAAAUUAAGGCGUGGGUAUGCUCGAUCACAACCAGGAGAGCCAAUCCAUGUAUUAUUUUCAGCAACUCUUUUAUAUCAAUGAGUUAUUGAUCAUAUGGAUUAUCAUAUGAUAGAGGAUUUUGAAAUAGAAUGUCCAGUAUUCAUUGCUUUAUAUGUUCAACACAAAUAAUAUGAGAAAUGAAUUCGAGUUUCAACAAAUGUAUUACAACAAUCCUUUUUCCAUUUUCUUUUUUAUUACAACGUUAACUUACACGAUAUUUAUAUUCAUUUGUUUAGCACUGCAACAUUGGAGUUUGCCAUGUCAUUAAGAGACGGUUCGAUAAAUCUUUCAAAUUCUCAGAAUUGUCAACUCUCUACAAGAUCAAACGCAAGUGUAAGAAUAAUAAGCUCUUUUCAUUUUAAAAUAAAAAAGAACCAUUAUUUUUUAGAUAUUUUAUGUUAUCUUUUUCUACUUAAAUUACUUGAUCAUAAUCUCGAAUGUUGCUAUUUUAUCUUUUUUCUAAGUUAUAUUUUAUUUUUUGAUUGUCUUCCAGGUAAAGAGAAGUUUAGGCUAGAGGCUUCAGUUGUUGUUGGAUGGAGAAAGAAACACCAAAAAAUGGCUCCAGAAGGAGAGAUUAUGGUACUUUAUUUUAGAAAUAAUUUAUUACAUUUGAUAUCUACAGGCAUGAAUUAAAAGCACAGAGGGAGAGAAUCUUUCAAAUUGAUGACUACAAUGUUUAAAGCUAGAUACUUUUUCCAACAACUUAUGUCGGGAGUUCAGUACUACCAUUUCCUGGAGAUUGGUUGAGUGGUCUCAAUUGCUAUACUAACCAUAUAAAUCGAAGUACGUUGCUAAUUUCUGCAUGUAACCUUCAUAUGGAUAUCUCUCUCAUCUAUCUCAUUCUUUUGAUGAAUUUUCUGUAGAUAUUAACAUGUGAUCAAUUGGAAAUUUCGGCAACAAGGGCAGAUUGCCAGAUUGUUACAACUGAAAAAAGAGAAAGCCAAAUCAUUAUCAGGUACAUAUGUAAUAAAUAAAUGAUAAGUAUCAAGGGUAUUCUUGGUAUUUUAGCAGCUACUACUACAUGAUCAAACAAAGAACAAUCAUUUAUAAAAUCAAAGACAAUACAUAAUUUAUUGUGGGCGAUUGUUUAAUUUUAAUCCAAAAGUUGAAGGUAUCAAGAUUCAAUAUAUGGAGUUUUUUUGUUUCGAAAAAUACGUUCAUAUAUAACAUUGUACUUUUAAAGCUAAAAGUAUGAUGUCAGAAGUGAUAAGUGGAUAAUUGGAUGAUAUUGCUAUAAUACCAUAGAUUUUGCAAAAUAAUCCUCUAAAAUGUUGAAUUACUACAAACAAUAACUAAAUUAAUAAAAUUUCGUAGAUUUGAUUUUGCAAGAUUAGUAUUCAAAUGCAAAAAUCAUAAUUUUUAUCAUGAAAACAUUAUUAUUAUUUUGGUAGGUGGUAGGAACCUUGAAAUACUAUAUUUACAACAAAAUAAAGCUUUUAUGUUGUUUAGAUGAAGUCUUACUUGGAGCAUCUUUUUGCAAAAAAAAGGGUUCUUUUUUAUUUUUACUCAAAUCGUGUUCUUUAUUUUUUAUUUUUUAUUUUUUUUGUUAACAUUUUAUAGAUUUAACAUGUGAAAGGCGGUACUCUAAUUUCUUAUGAUGGGAAGUGCAGCUUCUAGAAAUUUCACAAGUUCCUGAAGAGCAUGUGAGUUUUGUUUCUUUUUUAGGGAGAGAAAUAGCAACAUGCUUUUAUUGAAAUGUCUAUUAUAACAUCCUACUUUCAAUUUGUAAUUAGAUAUUUGUUAAUUGUUAUCCAUGAAUUAUAAUUUUAUUUUCUUUGCUGCCAAUAGCUUAUAUUCACACCAAAACCAAACUUCCAUGCAGCCUGAACACAGGAAUUAUGAUCUAAAAAAAUAACUUCUAUGACAUAGUUCAAAAAUGGCGUAGUCGCGUCCCCUUUCUAAUUUAUAAUAACGAUGAUAAACUUAUUAGUAUACAUCAAUCAUUAUAUACAAAUUUUGUGAGCAUUUGUAUUAUUAAAUACGGAGUAAUUAUUUUUUUACUAUAUAAAUUAUUUUUUAUCGUUAAACUAAUAGAUCACUAGAAACAACAUAGUGUUUUUAUGACGGGUAGGAACCGAACGUUCACCGUAAUCUCCACUCUUCUAGUCUUGAUACAUGGACUUGGUCAGAUACAUAUCAUGCCGUUAAAAAUAUAAAAUCAAAUAAAAUAAAAGUCAUGAUAACGACUACACUACUUUUCAUGAAUUUUAUUUAUUUAUAUACCAUUCAAUUUCUUUAUGAAAAGUCAAGUCCUAGUCUCCUACCCGAUUAAACAAGUUUGAUCGGCUUAUAAAAUACGGCAAGUUGACUCCGUAAAUUUCUCAUAUAAAACGCGCAAUAAAUUUUUCUUUAUUUUAUAUACCAUAUUUAAUAAAAGCUAGUUGUAUUUUUUAAGUAAACGUGUAGGAUUACAAUUUGUGUUACAUGCUCACAACUGUCAUAUAUUUUAAUUCAAUACACCUAGUUAACAUCUCAAAGCUUUUGGUUUUCAUUAAGCCUAAAACUAAAUCAACAAAACCUUAAAAAAAAACAUAAAAAAAUGUCUACAUACUAUAAGAAACAAUACUACAAUGUAUGGGGCUGUUUUUAGGUGUUGUGGUUGGCAUGGAAGUGUCUCAAUGACGUUAUAAUACGAGGAACACCCUCCCCUCUCAUGUUUAAAGGAUAUUAUGGUAUGAAAUGUUAUAACAACCACAAGGAGCAACUUAGAAAUGUUGAUGUGGAUUAGUUUGCCGGUAGCAAACACCACCUCUUGACUAUAUAUANUGUUUGAAGGUUUUGUUUUCAUUCUAAAUAUUGAUUGGUCAUUGCAAAUUUAGUUUUAUUAUUAUUAUUAUUAUUAUUUCAAAGGUAAAAAUAACACCACAUCCCACCCAUAGAAAAACUGUGACAAAAAUGAUAAAAUCCUACGUGGCACAUAUAUGUCACAUUUUUAUCAUUAACAAAACAACCACCACAUCAUUUAGUCUGAACACCAUUUCCUAUAUAAAUGACAUGUUGUUAAGGAUGACAUGACAUGUAAGAUUGCCUUUUUAGUAUAAUAACCAAUGUUUUAAAAAUUGGUUUUAAUCGGCCGGUCGAACCGGUUGGACCGGGAACUGGAGUAGAGAGCGAUUCAACUAUCAUUGGUUUUAUGUCGAUUUCUGAACCGGAUUGAGCUGGUCGGUUUUUAGGAAAAACCCGGUUAAACCGAAAAAAAAAACACAUGGAAAAGAACUAUUUGCAUAAUAAACUUUGAUGAUUCGUUUUCAAAUCUAUUCAGUUUUUCUCUAAAUAAAAAACAUACGGUAAAUGUUAUAAUGUUUUUUUUGAUGUGUUUGUCUUCAUAUAAAACUAUAUUUUGUUUCGAUAUUAUAUNGAAACAUGUUUAAGUGUAUGUGUAUGUAUAAUGUGUGUAUUUAUGAAUAUAAUGUGUGUAUAUAUGUAUCAAGGGCUUUUUUAGAAAGUAUAAUGCUAUAAUGAAAAACAAAAGUAGAAUGUUUUAAUGAAUAUGUAAUAUGUGUAGGAUGUAUGUUUAAGGGUAUUUGUCUAUAUUUUAACGUGUAUGAUCUAUGGAUUAAAUUGUUUAUAAUGAAUAUAUAUAUAUAUAUAUAUAUAUAUAUAGAAAAAUAGAAAAAAUAAUGAAAAUUAUAGAAACCGGUUGAGCCGACGGUCGAACCAGUUAAACCAGGAAUAAAACAUUGAUAAUAACAUGUAUACACGUAUAAGACCUUCAUUUUUGGAAACGACAAACGAAUUAAGUGGAGCCUACUCGCAAUAUUUCAACGAAAUUCAAUAGAGAUUUUUAGAAAAAAAUUUCCCACAUAUUGCACACAAGAAGUAGUUUAAGGGAAUAGAAUAUUUUUUCCUAUAAAACCGGGCGAAUGAUAGGUUUUACUUCAAUAAAUGGCGAGUUCUAGUUCACAUGUAGCCAGCUUUAUUCCCUUUGUCUUCACCGUUUUCCUUAUCUUCAAUAUAGCAAAAGCCCAAUCCAAUAUAACACGAGGUUCUUCUUUGAGGCCUACAGGUGCCACCACCUCAUGGUUAUCGCCGUCGGGACUAUACGCCUUCGGUUUCUACCCACAGACUGGUGGCUACGCCGUCGGUAUUUAUAUUGCCGGAAUUGCAGAAAGAACUGUGGUAUGGACGGCCAGCCGCGACACCCUUCCACUCUCCAGUAAUGCUACUUUGACUUUCACAACCGAUGGAAGGCUCGUCCUGGACCAAACACAAAGCCAACAGAUCAGUAUCUCUGGUACCGACGGUGCGUCGGUCGCUUCCAUGCAAGACUCCGGCAACUUUGUGCUCUAUGAUUCCGACCGAAGAAGAACGAUACUGUGGCAAAGCUUUGACCACCCUACUGAUACCCUUUUGGUUGGACAGCGUCUUGUAGCCGGUCAAGAUUUACUUUCCUCUGUCUCGGAGACUGACCACUCGAUUGGGAUUUUCAAGCUCAGUAUGCAAUCCGAUGGGAACCUUGUCCAAUACCCAAAUUUAGGGUUUCCAAAUGGACCGAGCACUGCCUACUGGGCGUCCGGAACCUUCGACAAGGGACCUAACGUGACACUGAAUCUUGAUUCCGAUGGCUUUCUGUACUUGUUGCAAAACUCAACUUUUUAUAUCAGGAAUCUAACACAAGGAGGCUAUCCUAGAGAAGAUGCAAUCUAUCGCAUGAAGAUCGACGUGGACGGAAUCUUUCGACUUUAUUUUCAUAAUUUAAGUAACACAAGCCAGAAUGAAUUAGUCGUAUGGGCAUCUUCUAAUGACAAGUGUACAGGGCGGGGUCUGUGUGGUGUAAACGGGUAUUGUGAUGUCAUUAACGAGGCUGCGAGAUGCAGAUGCUUACCUGGGUUUGAUUUUGUGAAUCCGAAUUCUUGGUCUUCAGGUUGCAAAAGAAAUUACACAGCAGAAACUUGCAAAAUUCAGGAAGGAGAUGAAGGUACCUCAUCCCAGAUGACAAGGUUGCUUAAUACUUUUUGGGAAGAUGAUGCAUAUGCUCUCGCAGAAGCGUCAAACCAAGUAGAGUGUUCACUUGCUUGCAAGAAUGACUGCAACUGCGAGGCGGUAUUGUUCACAGAAGGGAGUUGCAGGUUGCAGAAGCUCCCUUUAAGAUACAUGCAAGUAAGAGACAGUGAUUCAAAUGUCGGAUUCAUCAAAGUCUAUGUAUCGUCUGUAAAUAAUGGGUCAGAUCCAACUAAUUCAUCGGUUCAGGUCAAGAGAGUGCGACAAGUGAAGUUCUUAGUUAUGGUGGUUUCACUUUUCUCAUUUUCAGUACUCAUUUUGCUACUUUCUGGAGUAAUCAUGUGGAGAUCUCACGUUUGCGCAUACAAAAAGAUUUCUGAGCAUGUAAAUGUUCAGUUGUUCGAGGAUGUUGGGCUCCGGGCAUUUUCAUAUGCUGAGCUAGAGAAAAUCACAGAUGGUUUUAAAGAAGAAUUGGGUAGAGGAUCAUUUGGGAUAGUUUAUAAAGGAAUUAUAGAGAGCUCGAUGAAGAUUGUGGCAGUGAAGAAAUUAAAACAAGAGUUGGCACAAGAAGGGGAAAGAGAGUUUCAAACUGAAAUGAAAGUGAUUGGGAGAACUCAUCAUCGUAACCUAACAAGGCUACUUGGUUAUUGUUGUGAUCAUGGUCCGGAAAGGCUCCUGGUUUUUGAGUAUAUGACCAAAGGAUCGCUUGCAGAUAUAUUAUUCGACCCCAAAAGCAAGCCAUCUUGGUCAGAGAGAAUAAGAAUUGCACUUGACAUUGCCCAUGGGAUCUUCUACCUACAUGAAGAAUGUGAAACACCCAUAAUUCACUGUGAUAUCAAGCCUCAAAAUAUCCUCAUGGACGAGUAUGGAUGUGCCAAGAUUUCAGACUUUGGAUUGGCAAAACUACUGGAACAUGACCAAACUAGAACGUCCACUUUGAUAAGAGGAACAAGGGGUUAUGUUGCUCCUGAAUGGCACAAGAAGCUGCCUAUAACAGUUAAAGUGGAUGUGUAUAGUUUUGGGAUUGUUCUAUUUGAGAUUUUAUGUUGCCGAAGGAAGCUUGACAACAACCUUCCAUCUGAUGAAGCUAUUCUAGAAGAAUGGGUCUAUGGAUGUUAUGAAACAGAUGAAUUAUUCAAACUAGUGAAUGAUGCAGAUGUAGAUAGAAGAACACUAGAACGGAUGAUCAAGAUAGGCCUUUGGUGCACUCAAGAGGAUCCGUCCCUCCGCCCCUCGAUGAAAAAAGUAGUGUUGAUGCUUGAAGGGACUGUCAAAAUCCCAGUACCUCCAAAUCCUACUUCAUUCUUGAGUGCCGUUUAGUUUUGCAAGUAUUAGUUCAAGAGUAACCCUCGUCAUCUUAUUUUCCCUCCGUCCUAAAAUUAUAAUCUAUCUUUCUUUUUUGGUUUUCCUUUUUGGUUUGACCCAAAAUAAUAAUAAUUCAUUUUUAAAAAUAAAUAAUAUUUUUACCAAAAUAUUCUAUCAUUAUUACUUAACCAACUAAACAUUUAAUGAAACAUUAAAUACGAAGUAGCGACAAAACUGUCAUUUUAUUAAAUAAAGUUAAUGAUAAUAUAUAUUUUUUUUCUUAAUCUGUGUGUUUUUUGUUUGUCUGUGGACGGAAGAAGUAUUUAAUUAGUCAUUUGUAACACACAUGCAAUUUUUUCAUAAACACAUGGCGCCCCAUUCUUGAGACUAGUUGUAAAAUAACACUACAACAUUAACAACCUAUGGCGACGAAGAAUUCGGACUCUAUGGCGACAAUAUGUCGUCGGUAUAGGGUAUAGCGACGACAUGUCGUCGCAAUAGAGUCGUCGGGAUAGUUGUGUCGGCAUAGGUCAAAAGUGUCGUCAGUAUAGAUGUCGUCGGCAUUGGUGAAUCUAUAGCGGCGACGUGUCGUCGGGAUAGGUUCUUGUCAAUCAUAUUUUCAGGGAUAAAAUAUAAAGUUUUAUUAAUUACCUAUAGCGACGACUUGUCGUCGGUAAACCUAUUGCGACAACUUGUCGUCGCCACAGGGUUUGCCUAUCCCAACGGCAGGUCGUCGCUAUAGGGUUUUAACAGGAGCCAAUGCAUACCGAUAGCGACGACAUGUCGUCGGGAUAGGUACUGUUUGUUAUUUUUUUCCGAUUUUACAGAUUUAGUACAUUGCCAUUCCUGCAUUUUUAACAAAUCCAAAACACAUUCCAACAUAUAUCAAUUGAAAUACAUUAACUAAGUACCAUUGUUCAAAUUCAAAACAUCAAAUUCAAUUAGUUAACUAACAUUGUUCAAAACACUAAAAACAUCAAACAUCAUUAUCAUAAUCAUAUCUUUCUCCUUCUUGUCCUUCUCCUUCUUCUUCUUUUUCUUCUCCUUCUCCUUCUUCUUCCAUCCUUUCGUCAACUUGUUGAGAGGUAGUUGCUUGUGUGUUAGAGUUGAAUAGAAAGUUAGGAAGUGGUGGUGGUUGGAAGCCCGUAAUACAUGCCGCCAAUGAUGCAUUAUAUUGUUGCAAGUAUUCUUGCAUUUGUUGUGCAUCAAAUUGGGAUUGAGAUUGGGGUUGAGAUUGGGAAGAUUUUGAAGUGGAAGGUCGUUUAUUUGGAAUUAAACCGAAGUUGGCGGUUGGUCUCCUACCCACCCCGCGAGCAUGCCCGCGUCUCGUCCCAAGGGCACGUUCUAAACAUUCUUCCUCGUCUACUAUUCCGCCUUCCCCAACCUCGCUUUGCAUUUUCUUAUAUUCUUCUUGAAUUUUUUCCUAAAAUAAAGAAAACAAUAAACAUACGUUAAUUAAAACAAACAACUAAACUUAAACAUUAAAAUAAUAAUAAUAAUAAUCCUAAACAAUAUCAAUUUCAUACAAUUUCAUAUACCAGCAUAAACAAUAUCAACCUAAACAAUAUCAAUUUCAUAUAACAACCUAAACAGUAUCAAUUUUUUACAGUUAGUUUGUUUAAAGUUUAAACCUAAACAAACAACAACACAAUUACAUAUAUAUAUAUAUAUANNNNNNNNNNNNNNNNNNNNNNNNNNNNNNNNNNNNNNNNNNNNNNNNNNNNNNNNNNNNNNNNNNNNNNNNNNNNNNNAUAUAUAUAUAUAUAUAUAUAUAUACAACACAAUCACAUAUAUAUACAAACAACAAACAAUUUCAACAAAAAUCUUGUAAUGUAAUGUUCCGUAAUGUUACGUUUUUUUGGCUAGUCAAAGAAGCAAGUAAUACUCCGGUGGUGGCUGGUGGUGAUUUCAGGCGGCAACACUAGGCGGUGGAAGGGUGAGGCAGUCACUAGAUCGGUGGAGCUUCACCACCGGUUGCUACAUACAAAAAAACCCUAAAUUAGGGGUAAAAAUCAAUACCAAAUAACAAUAAAAAACAAAUUAGGGGUAGAAACAACCUUGGAUUGGGUUAAUCGCCGGAAAUUGUCGUUGGGUAGCCGAUUUCGUCGCUUGGGGAGGAGAGAAUGCAGAAACAAUGGCUGUGUGCAAAUGAAAGAAAGCUACGUAAUUGUUUUAGGGUAUACCCUUAUGCCAACAACAUGUCGUCGGCAUAGGGUCGACAUAAACGACGACGUAUUAUUUAACCCUGAAAUAAAAAUAUAUAUGUAAAUUAAAAACCCUGUGCCGACGACUUGUCGUCGGCAUAGGGUGUCCAAAAACUAUGUUGUUUCUUUUUUCUGACACUUGAAAUAAAAAUGAAUGAAAAAUACUUUUUUUCUUACCUAUACCGACGACAAGUCGUCGGUAUAUAUUUUCAUAUUACCGCCAACAUUUUCGUCGUUCCAGACCUAUGGCGACGACAUGUCGUCGACACAGAUAUAGCGGUCAAAGAAAAUUGGUCAAAAGUUCCAAAAGCUAUGGCGACAACAUGUCGUCGGGAUAGGUGUCGUCGCCUUAGCUUUGUAUUCUUGUAGUGUAACUCGUAGUAAAAGUAGUUACGUUUUAUUAAUGAUCAUUCAUGGUUUAAUUAAGUAAGUAAUUUACGCAUUCAUGGUUCAAGUAAGUAAUCUACGUAGUAAAAAAAGAUUUUAUUAAUUCAACACUUAUAAGAUUUUACACACUACAAAAAGGUAUGGGUUGUCGCCGCUAAUACCUUUAGCGGCGACAUGUCGCUGCAAAUGAGUCGCCGGUAAUACUUCGUUGCUAAUGAGAACCUAGUCGCCGCUAAUAGUGUAUCGUCGCUGUUAUUGGUGUGUCACCGCGAAAGACUAGAUGUCGCCGCAAAUAGUAUGUCGCCGCCGCUAAUACUGUUUGCAUGUGUCAUUAUCUACCACUUUCUUACUCAUGUUAGAUCCAAACCCAUCGGGCAAUUUAACAUCUCUUAUAAAUUGGCAAAAGAUUUUGCAGUCAGAUUUCUUGAAUGAGUAGUUUGCAUAUGGUCUAGUGAACUUGUUACCUUUUUUUGCAACCAUUGAUUACGCUGGAUAUUCAGAUUUUUCAAGUCCUCACGUGCACUUGAUGACCAAUACUCGAGCUCGAAAAAUAUGCUACAUUUCGACCAGUUCAACUCGAAUCCUUUGUCGAUCCAUGUUUGCCUUGAGAGUGUUAGGAUGUUUACCCGGUUUACCAAGUAGUAGACGACCUAGUUGUUCUUGUAUGUCUUCAUUAGUAAAGUGUCUUGGAGCGAGUCUUGUCUCGGGUUGCUUGUUAAAUUUCAAACUCAUCCUUAAUGGAUCAUCAACAUCAAAGAACCAACGAUGGCCAAUAUAAACAACUUUAUUUAUUGCACGGUACGAGGGAGUGUCUUCAUUGCAAGUUGGGCAUGCUCUAUACCCUUGUCCGCUCCAGCCCGAUAAACUACUACAAGCUGGAAAUUCAUUUAUUGUCCAUAACAAUAUAGCUUUCAUCAUGAAGAAUGUGUUUGUCGCUGCGUCUUUAAUAUGUACGCCUAAUUGCCACAAAAAAUUAACCUCUUCCACUAAUGGCCUAAGAAAAACAUUUAUGUCCUUUCCAAGUGCUUUAGGGUCGGGAAUCAACAAUGCCAACAUAAAUGAUGACUCUUUCAUACAAAGCCAUGGUGGUAGAUUCUAUGUGGUGAGUACAAGCAGCCACACACUAUGUGGAUUACACAUGUUACCAAAUGGAUUAAAGCCAUCAGCUGCCAGCCCUAGGCGUACGUUGCGAGGUUUACUCGAGAAGUCAAGGUAAUCUACAUCAAAAUUUUACCAAGACUCUCCAUCAACGGGAUGACGCAUCACACCAUCUUCUGAUCUCCCGAUACUAUGUCAUAUCAUAUUUUUGGAAGUGUACCGUGAACGAUACAAACGACGUAGUCUAGGGUCACUGGAAAGUACCGUAACACCUUAUGAGCCACUUUCUUACCCUUGGUGUUUUUAUCAAUCCACCGACUCUCUUUACAAACUGAACAAGAAAACAAUCGCUUUUGCAGACAUGUAUUGACUCGUACCCCAAACCUAACUUCUUAAGUUUCUUUUUUGUUAAAUAAUAUAAACGGGGAACCUUGUUGUCUGGUGGAAAUGUUGAAUGCAACAACUCAAGGAGUUGAUGAAAUGAACUAUCAGUCUAUUUGUUGUUGACCUUGAUAUGCAUUAGCUUUGCUAAAAAAUCAAGGAAUGAAAACAUGCGACCAGGAUAUAACUUGGUUUCGAAUGCCUCUAACAACUGUUCAAAAUCAUCAUCGACAUUGCUACCCCCUGUAUUCGAGGUUUGUAUCAUUUUCUCUCGACUCCCAUAUAACAUCGUCAAUAACUUUAACCAUCUCGUUACUUAGGGAUAUGACAUCUACAACUGGAGGGAUUAAAGGUUCUGAUGGGUUUUAGCUAUAAGAACAUCCUAUGUGCUCAUACAAACCCUAAUGCUUGGAUCUAGGUUUCUCUAUUGAACAUGCAAUUCAUCCAAGACUUUAAACCCUAGAUCUAGCAUCUGAUAAACAAUAUAAUAUAUGAAUUAGGGUUUAGAUCAUACCUUGAUUGUUAUAUAGCAAUAACAAUCUCAAAUCCUUCUUGUAAUGACUUUAGAAAGCUUAGAGUCACAAAUGUCACUCCUCUAAUGGUUCACAAACACCAAGAGUAAGAGGAUGAAGAAGAGAAGAGAAGGAGGCUUCCCAAAACGUGUGUAAACCCUAAGGAUCUUGUUCACCACGUUUUUGGGGCUCAAGGGUCCUUUAAAUAGAUGUAGGCUAUUAGGGUUUUGAACUAGGAAACCCUAAACUGACUACUUAAGCCCUAAGCAGCCCAUGAACCCUUCUUUAAUAAGCCUUGGACGAUUUCUAAUGGGCUUCCCCAUAGAAUUCGUCCAACCUUAUAUUAUAAGGUAAUCCAUAGCCCAAUUGCGAUUAUCUUAUAAUUACAAUUCCAGUCCCUUAAGUUUAAUUAAUCUCUUUUAGCCACAAACUUAAUUCUUAUUAAUUCUUUACUAAUAUUAAUUAAACAAUAUGACUUCUCCUUUAAUAUAUUAUUCUCAUAAUAUAUUAAUAAAUCAUAAUUAAUCCUUUCUCUCCAUAAUUCAUCCUAUCAAGUUGCUUUGAUGAAGGCAACCCAAAAGGACCAUGCAACAUCGGGUCAAGUACAUACCAAAAUAGUUAUGGACUUAGACACUAAUCCAACAGGUUCACCAUGAUAUAUUCGCGUUUUGUAUGACUGACUGAAACCACAUAUACGAACAUGACGUCUCAUUGCUUUCGGAUCCAUGAAGUAAAGAUUAUCACAUUUCUCACAUGGACAUCUGGUUUUUACGUUUACAAUCUAGGUGUAACAUGGAUCUCUUGACAAAAGAGUCGAGUCCUAACUGGAACUCGGGAGAUUGAUGAUGUGGAUUAGUAGUCCAACUUUUAUCAAUAAACAUGAUGCAGCUGAAACAUAAUUUAGUAUUUAAGGUUUACUCUACAGGAAACAAAAAUCAAGUAGAGUGUUCAUAAAGUCGAUGAUUAAAAAAGUAUCCCAACGCGAGAACACAUGAACAAAUAAUCAAAAAUGGAUAGAGUAUUUAAAAUGCAUAUAUAUAUACCCGAGGAGCAAAGAGAAAGUNNNNNNNNNNNNNNNNNNNNNNNNNNNNNNNNNNNNNNNNNNNNNNNNNNNNNNNNNNNNNNNNNNNNNNNNNNNNNNNNNNNNNNNNNNNNNNNNNNNNNNNNNNNNNNNNNNNNNNNAUAUACACCCAAGGAGCAAAGAGAAAGUGACAAAUUUAAAUACCUAGAAGUACAUUGCUAUUAAUAACUUAAUUACGCUAAAGUUGUAAUGACCAACAUUAAGUCACUAAAAGUAUGUUGCUAUUAAUUUUGUUUUAUAAUUAAUUUAAUAUGAUUUUAUAAAGGUAACUUAAUUUGAUUGUAAAGGUAAAUUAAUUUGAUUUUCUAAUUAAUUUAAUAUUUUUUUUGCUAUUAGUUUAAUUUUUUAAACUAAUUUUAUUUUAUUUUAAUAUGAAUAUUAACUUGACUUUAAAACUAAUUUAGUUUGAUUUUACAAUUAAUUUAUUAUUUUUUUUUUGAUUUUUUUUAAAAUUAAUUGAGUUUUAUUCUAUAAUUAAAUUAAAACUACUAGAAGUACGUUGCUAUUAAUAACCUAAUUAAGCUAAAGUUGUAAUGACCAACAUUAACUCACUAAAAGUAUGUUGCUAUUAAGUUGUAAUGACCAACAAUAAGAACUUUACAAUACAAAUAAUAGCAUCUAAAUACAAAACACGAUAACUUAUCAACUAAGAACUUUAACACUUCAUCUUAUAUACACCAAACUAUUAAACCUAAAUAUCACAUAAUCAUACAUAUAUACAGUAGAUUCAAUUCCAAUUUUCAUUUCAUUUUAGACAUACAAUACAACUUUCAUAUUCCAGUUUCAUACAAUUAAGCAAUACAUCCAAUUUCAUACAAUACAUCCAAUUCAAAUUUCAAUUUCAAACAAUUAAGCAAUACAUCCAUUUUUAUACAAUCCUACCAUUUUAGACAUCCAAUUCCAUUUUCAUAGAAAAAAUAUACACCUAAAUACAAAAUCACACAAACCAUGUCUAAUUCCAUUUUCAUGCCAAUACACUACAAUGAGCAUAAACACAAAUCAAUUACAUAGGUUGCAUAAAAUACGAGAAAACAUACAUAAUCACUCAAAAAUCAUCAAUUUACAGCCAAACAAGAGGCUUGGUCGACCCUUAAAAUCACUAACCAAAAAAAAUAUUAGAAAACAUAGAAAUCAAUGAUACAAUCAGGUUUGGAUGGUAAAACGAACCUCACACACAACAAGAUUAGAAAUUAGGGAAAGAAUUCGACCUUAGAAUGCUCAAUUUCGCUGAAAUGUAGCCGUGGUCUGAAUCGCACCAAGCUUGCCCUCAAUUAAGUCGAUGGUUGUCGGUAAUGAGGGUGGGUCACCGGUAAACAAGGUAGGUCGCCGGUAAAGUGUGGCUUGGUGGUCGGAAUCGUAAUGGAGUGCAGAUGGUGAAGGCAGUCAGAGUGGGUUGAGAGAAAGUAUACAUCGAUAGAAGGAAAGAACGUCGACCGAGGGUUAUCUGAUGCAACUCAAUAGCGACGACAGGCAACAGCGGCGACACGAGGGUAUUAGCGGCGACACGGGGUAUUAGCGACGACACCCUGGAGGGAAAAUUCAGAGCAUUUUUAGGAUGUUUACGACCGUCGGAUUGAAUACAGAUCGAACGGAUGGUGAUUGUUUCACGCGGAUCGCCACUGUGUUAGCAAUAGCGGCGACGCCAAGCAAUAGCGGUGAUAUGUAACGUGUCUAUUACAGGUCGUCGCUAUUGCUAAAAUUUCUUGUAGUGAAACAGGUCGAGUCAAUUUAUUCAUGGAGCUUCACACGGGUCAUGUACAUCCUAGUCGUGUCCUUCUAGUACAUGCCGACACAGGGUUGUGUCCAGGGUCGGUCCAUUGGUUUUCCAUGCCUCGGGCGAAAAGACUAAAAAAUGCCUUUGUCUAUAUAUACAUUACACAUAUUAUCUAUAUACAACAUCAUUUCUACACUACAAAAAAUGCCAAUCAGUGACCAAAAUGAAAUAGUCACUAACAACAGAACAAGUCGUCACAAAAUGAUUUUGUGACCAAAAUUCCGAUCGUCACUUUUCGUCAUUAUAGGUCCAUCACAAAACAAGUUUAGUGACAAAAAGAACACACAAAUGCUAUAAAUCUUUACAAUACAACAAGAACCUCCAAAUAAAUCUUCACAUUUAUAAUAUGAAAUAUUAAUUGUCAUUUUUAAAAAACAAAAUCCAUACAUUUUAUCCAAUAUUUGAAAAAUCAAACAUAUAAAUAUCAAUGCGCAUUAAAAGUAAAUUCAAUUGAAUUUUCUUCCGGAUAAUGUGGAGCGAGUUUUAGGAGCAUGCUCCAUAAAGUUCCAACCUAACUGCAUAUGUCACACCCCCAAACCUGAACGAUGGAAACGUUCGGGGGCGAACGACUUCAUGUGGUAACGUAACAAAUGAAUACAUAGUAAAGAAAGCAAUACAACCAUCAUAUAUAUAUUUGAAAGUUUACAUUUGUCAAAAGUUACAUGUUCAAAACCAAUUACAAUAUGAUGUCAAAAUAUGAGAUUAAACUGGCAUCGCAACAUCCCUUCAUCAAAAGCAUAAUGAUACCUGAAAUUACUGAUUCCCUGGGACAUACAAGUAAUUUUGAAAGAGUAGAUCAGCAUUUAAGCUGGUGAGUUUCAUAAGUAUUUAAAUGACAAUGUUUGUAUGAAAUGAAAUGUUUUGUCCUUGUUUUUUUGUGUUUAGAAAAUCCUAUAUUUUCUACUAGUAUAAAAGUAGCCUUCUCUCAAGACCAAUGUUUGUUUCUAAAAUGUAUGUAAGUGUAAAAUAACCAAUGUGUUUGAAAACCUUGUAAAUCAAUGCAUUUUUAAUACCCCAUGUGAGUUUUAUAACCAUACUAUUGACUCGGAAUGCCUAUACACAACGUUCUUCAGGCGUUGGAAUGUUAUGACGUUUGUCACUCCAAAUGGUGGACUGUAGCUAACAGUCAGGGCGCGGGUUGUCAAGCCCAUAUAGAUCUAUACACAAACACCAUGCUCCCCCUCCAAGGGAUUCUGGUAUAUAAUACAGGAAUUGAAAUGUGUACUCGAACGUACGUGAAGUUAGUGUCUCACAAAAACCGUGGUAUAAAAACAGAUCUACUUGUUAAAAUGUUACGUUUGUUCUUGUAUACGAAAGUGACUUCUUGAAAUUCAUGUUUCUAGUACAUAAGAGUUAGAAAUUUGCUCGUAAAACUAUACCUAUUAUAGUUUUCUAAAAGUGUGUCUCGUUUGUUUAGAAAUACCUAGAAAAGGAAUCAUUUGUUAUGAAAGCAUAGAUUUUUGUAGAGCCUAAGAUAGACAAGUAUACAUAUAAUCUAAGAAAAUGUUUAGUUUAUACAUGCAUUACAACAAUUUAUAUUUCAAAAGAUAGAAUUCUAUUGUAACAUAUUUUAUAUACGAAAGUUUCCUAUAAAGUUUAUAAAUCACAUGUGAUUUGUAUAUAUAAAAGCAUAUAAAAUAAUUCUUUAUGUAACACACGAUAAUACUCGUGUGUUUUACUUGUAUUCCCCCCUUAGAAAGCAUAUAAAAGCAUUUAGAAUAUUUAAAAAGGGUUAAUUAAGGGGUAUGAACUCACUUGAAAGUUUGAAGAUAGCGAGAUGGAAAACCGGACAGAGUUUCGUCUCGGGAAACGGAUUUUUCUCAGGAUUCUCGGGAAUCUCGGGAGUAAAAUCGACCUUUGGGACAUGAGCAAAAAGACAAGGGCUUCGGGGUAGUGCGGGCAUGGAAGUGAGCAAAUUUUCCGGAAACCCUCGCAUCCCUUUUAUAGGGGCUGAGAGGCCUUGGUACGCGGGGCGUACGCUCGUACGCAGCGCGUACUCGUGCGUCACCCGUGACCGAGUCCUCGACUGCUUCACUUCGGAUGGGACGGGUCGGGUAGGUUCGUAUAGGGGCGACGUGGAUGGUCCGAGACCAAGGCCCUCGGGUACGCGGGGCGUACGGGGUUACGCAGCGCGUAACUCGAAUGAGGACGCUGGCUCCUCCUUCGGAUAUUACCGGAUUUUUGAAUUAAAUUUAUAUAUAAUUUAUUUAAUAAACUUCAAAAAAUCAUAUCUUCUUCAUACGAACUCCGUUUUCGAUGGUCUUUAUAUCCACGCGUAGGUGAGACUACGAUCUACAACUUUCGUUUAGACUCCGUUGGCAAAUUCCAAAAUUAUUUUUAUUAUUUAUUUUAUAACUAAUCGUGUUUAAGGAAUUUCUUUGAAAAAUCAUAACUUCCUCAUGCGAAGUCAGAUUUGGACGUUCUUUUUGUGUACGCUCACGGUUUAAUGUUAUCUAUGACUUUCAUUUAGAUACCUAAGGCUAAAUGUUAUCGUAUUGAAACUUUGCGUUUUUCGUUUGAUCGGUGUUGUCGGUUUUGACAGAAAUCUUAGAAUGGUCAUAGCUUCUUCGCCAUAACUCAGAUUUUAGUGUUCUUUAUUUAUUUGGAACCUUUAAGACGAUAUCUACUACAUAGCGUACUCCAAAUCAGAGCUUUUGAACAAUUCAUUUAUCGAUGAUAUUCCCAUUACAUUCAAAAGGGGUUACAAGACUCGGUUUAUAAUGCCCGGGAUAACGGGUUGUUACAUCAUCCCCCCGUUAAACGGAAUUUCGUCCCGAAAUUUAAUACAAGGUAAGAGUUUUAGGGGCUGAGGAAGAGAUGCGGAUACUUCUGUAGCAUUUGGUCUUCCCGUUCCCAUGUGAAUUCGGGUCCUCUCUUAGCAUUCCAUCGAACUUUUACUAUUGGAAUGCGACUCUGCUUGGUCCUUUUAACUUCCCUAUCCAUGAUCUCGACGGGUUCUUCCACAAAGUUGAGAUUUUCGUUUAACGCGAUUUCAUCGAGUGGAAUUACAAGUGUUUCGUCGGACAAACACUUUUUCAGGUUCGACACGUGGAAUACUGGAUGCACUUUGUUAAGCUCGAUUGGAAGUUGGAGUUUGUAGGCCACUGGACCAACUCUCGAAAUGAUUUCGAAGGGUCCAAUGUACCUGGGAUUUAGCUUUCCACGCUUCCCAAAGCGUAUCAUGCCUUUCCAGGGUGAGACCUUCAGUAGCACACGGUCGCCAAUCUGGAAUUCCAAGGGUUUACGUCUCCUGUCGGCAUAGCUCUUUUGCCUAUCCCUUGAGGACUUCAGUCGUUCUCGUAUUUGCACGAUCUUUUCGGUAGUUUCUCUGAUGAUCUCUGGACCAGUAAGGGUGCUUUUAGUGACUAGACCUUUUGCCAAUUGGGUGUCGCCCACUUCCGUCCAGCACAGGGGUGAUCUGCACUUACGGCCGUAAAGGGCUUCGAACGGAGCGGUCUUGAUACUAGUAUGAUAACUAUUGUUAUAAGAGAACUCGACCAAAGGCAAGUGAAUAUCCCAUGCCUUGCCAAAGUCGAUUACACAUGCUCGCAACAUGUCUUCCAAGGUUUGGAUCGUCCUCUCACUCUGUCCGUCAGUUUGAGGGUGGUAUGCUGUACUCAUGUCCAACCUUGUUCCCAUGGAUUUUUGCAGUGAUUGCCAAAAUCUGGAAGUGAACCUGCUGUCUCUAUCUGAGAUGAUGGACAUUGGUACUCCAUGAAGUCGUACGAUCUCCCGGAUGUAGGUUCUUGAUAGUUUUUCCAUCCUAUCGGUUUCCUUGAUAGGUAAGAAAUGGGCUGACUUGGUUAAUCUGUCGACGAUUACCCAAAUAGUAUCUUGGCCACUCUGAGUUUUGGGCAGUUUGGUUAUGAAGUCCAUGGAAAUCUGCUCCCAUUUCCACUCAGGUAUUUCAGGUUGUUGGAGUAGGCCUGAGGGUUUUUGGUGUUCUAUUUUUAUUUUGGCGCAAGUUAAACACUUGCCCACAUACGUAGCGAUCUCCGCUUUCAUGUUUGGCCACCAGUAGAGUUGCUUGAGAUCUAGAUACAUCUUGUCUGACCCUGGGUGUACGGAGUAUGGGGUCCUGUGUGCCUCGCUCAUAACUACCUCUCUGAAUCCCCCAAACUUUGGUGUCCAGAUCCGGUUCAUGAGGUAGCGUGCUCCGUCACUCUUGAUUUCUAAGUUCUUGUCCAUUCCCCUAAGGGCCUCACCUGCCACGUUUUCGGGUUUCAAGGCCUCUAAUUGAGCUUCCUUGACUUGCGUUGAUAGGUGCGAAUGGAUCGACAUAGCUAAUGACUUCACUCUCCGGCCUGAGUACUCCUUUCGACUAAGGGCAUCGGCUACGACGUUUGCCUUUCCCGGAUGAUAGCGAAUAUCGCAUUCGUAAUCACUGAGUAGCUCGACCCAUCGCCGUUGUCUCAUGUUGAGCUCCUUCUGAUCGAAAAUGUGUUGUAAGCUCUUGUGGUCGGUAAAGAUAGUGCUCUUCGUUCCAUACAAGUAAUGUCUCCAGAUCUUCAGGGCAAACACUACUGCUCCUAGCUCAAGAUCGUGGGUCGUGUAGUUAACCUCAUGUGUUUUCAACUGUCUCGAGGCGUAGGCGAUGACCUUACCUCGCUGCAUCAGAACACAUCCGAGUCCUUGGUUUGAUGCAUCGCAAUAAACUACGAAGUCUUCUAUUCCUUCGGGAAGGGAUAGUAUUGGUGCGGUGCACAAGGCUCGUUUGAGCGUUUGGAACGCUCUUUCUUGUUUCUCUUCCCAGUCAAAGGCCACACCUUUCUGGGUUAGGGUUGUAAGAGGCUUCGCUAUUCGUGAGAAGUUCUGAAUGAACCUGCGGUAGUAGCCAGCGAGACCUAGAAAUUGGCGAAUUUCUGUAGGAGUCUUCGGUGCUGACCAGUUCUCAAUGGCCUUAAUUUUGGAUGGGUCCACGUGGAUUCCCUCUUCGCUUACCACGUGUCCUAAGAAUUCGACUCUUCGGAUCCAAAAUUCACAUUUCGAGAACUUCGCAUAAAGUUUCUCUUUUCGUAAUAUCCCUAGAACUUGUCGCAGAUGAUCGCCAUGUUCUUUCUUACUUCGGGAGUAGAUCAGGAUGUCGUCAAUGAAAACGAUGACGAACUGAUCCAAGUAAGGUCGGCAUACUCUAUUCAUCAGAUCCAUGAAGACUGCGGGCGCAUUGGUCAAUCCGAAUGGCAUCACCACGAACUCGUAAUGUCCGUAACGAGUUCGGAAGGCGGUCUUCGGCACAUCCUCCUCUAGCACUCGUAACUGGUGAUACCCGGAUCUCAGAUCAAUCUUAGAAAAAUAGUUCGCCCCUUGCAGUUGGUCGAAUAGAUCAUCUAUGCGCGGUAGAGGAUAACGAUUCUUGACCGUCAGUUUGUUGAGUUCUCUGUAGUCGAUGCACAUUCUGAACGAUCCAUCUUUCUUUUUCACAAACAACACGGGUGCUCCCCAUGGUGAGAAGCUCGGUCUGAUGAAUCCUUUUCCCAGUAGUUCAUUCAGUUGACUGGAUAGCUCCUGCAUCUCUGCCGGGGCUAAUCGAUAGGGUGCUUUGGCUACUGGGGUAGCUCCGGGAAUCAGAUCGAUUCUGAAUUCGACUUGUCUUACGGGUGGUAUCCCUGGAAGGUCCUCGGGAAACACAUCGGGAAAAUCGCAUACGUCGGGCACAUCCUUGAUGUCCCGGACUUCGCGUUUCACGUCUACAACAUGUGCAAGAAAUGCGUGACACUCCUUUCGUAAGUGCUUCUGAGCUUGGAUACUUGAGAUGAUUCUAAGAGUGGUACUAGGUUUGUCGCCCAAGACAAGGAAGGUUUCGCCGGUUGGCAGAUUAAGGCGAACGGCCUUAUCGUAACAUAGAAUGUCCGCACGAUGUGAACUCAGCCAAUCCAUGCCAAUGAUGACAUCGAAACUCUUAAUCGAGACUGGCAUGAGGUUGAUUUGAAAGGGAUUAUCGUUUAGAGUUAGGGUGCAGUUUAAGUAUAUCUCUUUAGUGCCUUCAGUUUUCCCGUUGGCCAUUUCUACUAUGAACGGUUCACUUAAUGAUUGUGGUAUUGGUUUUAGCAUGCUUUUAAAGUCGUGACUCACAAAACUCCUUUCCGCUCCACUAUCAAACAAAAUGCAUGCAUACGAGUUAUCGAGAAGAAACGUACCCGUAACAACAGUAGGGUCCGCAAUGGCUUCAUCUUGUCCCAUUGCGAAAACUCGGCCUCUUCCGCCGGUAUUCCUGUUGUUUGCCUUCGGGCAGUCCUUGCGGUAGUGCCCUGUGCUCCCGCACUCAAAGCAAGCGCGGCUUACUCCGGUAUUAGCAGUGGGGGCGGAUUGUUGGGUUGGCUCCUUGCAAUAGCGGGCUGUAUGACCCUUCUUAUUGCACCUGGUGCAUUGAAGGCCAUGACAGAGACCGUGAUGGUGGAAGUUGCACUGGUUACAUUUCGGUAGCUUUCCAUUGUAUGAACUUGUGGGGGCAGAGUUGGUAGGUACAGUAAUAGCGUGGGUCGCUAUCACUUGUUGUUUCUUGGGGUUCUCCUGGAGGAUUUGUCCCCUCCUCUUGUUCCAAGGCCUACUCUGUCCCUGAGCCUCCCUAGGUGGAUUUGCGGCUGUUGUGAUGGUACUCUGUUUCGCUCCGUGAUCGAUGAGUCGUUGCGCCAGGCGUUUAGCGCUGUUGUAGGUGAUAGGGUUGGAGGCUAGGACAUGCCCUUGAAUCUGGGGUGACAACCCCCAAAUGUACCUUUCGACCUUCUUUGAUUCUGGGUUGACCAUGGUAGGGCACAAAGCAGCGAGAUCGUUGAACCUAGCUGUGUAAGCGACUAGGUCAGACCCGACCAUUUUCAAAUUCCAGAGUUCCUGCUCAAGCUUUUGCACUUCACCCCUUGGGCAGUAUUCUUCCAGUAGUAGUACCUUCAGUUCUUCCCAACUCAUGGCGUUAGCGACAGUGAGCGUCACUGAGUUCACAUGGCUUUUCCACCAAGUGAGGGCUCGAUCUAUGAAGGUGCAAGCAGCGAACUUAACCUUGCUUGUUUCUUGGCACGAGCAGAUCUCGAAGACCGUUUCGGUCUUUUCGAACCAUUGCAUUAGUGCAAUGACUCCUCCUGUUCCAUUAAAAGUUUUUGGUUUAGCGUUAGAGAACUCCUUGUAGGUACAUUCUCUUCCUUGGCCAUGACCAGUGCCAUGAUUUGGAUGAUUCGUGCUGCUUCCCGCCCCUCCAUUCCCUUGAGAGUUUAUUUGCGAGAGGGCUGCGGUUACCGCUGCUGUGAUAGCAGCCUGAACCAUGGCCGGAUCAUAAGCUGGUGGUGGAGGUGGUGGUGGUGCCGUGCCCGGCCUGGGCCUUAAGUUUGGACGAGGAGGCAUCUUGCUGCCAAAAGAAAAAUAUGGAAGAAAAUUAUAAGUUUUGGCAGUUCAAAGUUGAAUGAUAUUGAGUUAACUGCCUUAAAUAGAUUAAGAAUUUGGUUUGAUCAACAAUGGGUUUUGAGCUUGAUUUAUUAAUAACGUUUGAAUGGAUGCACUUAUGAGUUGAACGGAAUACACAUAUUUAAAAUCAGAGAAGGGGGGGAUGCCCCAUAUAUAUAAAACAUAUAGUCGUGUUACAUCCGAGUUUAGACAAAACUUUUUGACCUUUCUAAAGGUCUCCGAUUACAGAAAGUUUUAACGAAAAGGAAAUUCUUAUCCGAAGUCCUAAUUUAUAACAAAAUUUGAAAUCCUGGCAGGCACUACUUGCGACGUAGGUUGCGCUUGGAGCUUGACUCCGCAUCUGAUUGCUUCGAUUCCAUUAGGCGUCGAUCAAAAGCGGCUUGUUGCUCCCUUAACUCGGCUAGGGCUGCAAUUAUCUGUGCCUGAAAUGCCUCAGACUGGAGUUGGACAUUAUCUUGUAUCUUGUCCAGUCUACGGAUAUCGGAAGUGUGAACCUGCACUUCCACGUUGAUAUCCCGGAGUCGGCUUGCUUGUACUCCGGACUGAUAGGACUGAUUGGCUAACUUACCCACCAUUACCGAGAGUGCCCAAUCAGCCGAACCUCCACUACGGACAUCAUAGAAGUCCCGGCACAUGCCGUAGGGAGGGCGUAUGCCUUGUUGUUGGCUCCAAUGAUGGAGGUGACUUCCCCAGACGGGAGUCGGUCCUUGAAAGUUCCUUACGAAGAUGGGAGGUUGAACGGGUGGUGGAUCGAUCACUUCCGGCUUUGAGUCGGUACCGGAGUCAUCAUCCACUUCUAUGGGUUCCUUGUCCUCUUCGGGAUCAUCUUCGACCCAUCCUCCGUUGCCUUGGUUGGGAAAGUAGGGGUCAUUGGGGUGGUGAAAUCCAGCCAUUUGACUGUACGAGAAAUAGGGUCAUAAGAAUUGAAUAAAGUCGGAACAUGCAAAACAUGUAAGUUAGUUUNUGUUUAGGUAGUAAAUACUCUUAUAGUAUUUAAAUUAUUGUGUUUGAUUCUUGUAAUGGUUUGGUAAGUUUUGACUUGUUGCUUACUACGAGCAAUCCUCGAUAUAUAUUGGUCCGAUCUCGGGCAAAUAUAGUUGAUCACGUUAUAUUUGUCAAAAAUCUGAUUACAUAUAUCGAGUCUAAAUCGUAGUGUCAACUUGUCUAAAUACUUGUUGUAUAGUGAGAUAUCAUGAAAAUAAUUUGUUGUAUGCACGUAAUUGUACUUAAAUGAACUAUCAAUUUAAGUUAAACGUAAUGCUGCUCAAGUGUAAAAAGAAAAAUGUUUUGUCAGAGAGUAUUAGUCCCUUAAGCAUUUAUAGUUUGUAUAUCUUAUGUGGUUCGAUAUACUUAGUUCACUAUAAACAUUGCUCUGAUACCAAUCUGUCACACCCCCAAACCUGAACGGCGGAAACGUUCGGGGGCGGAUGACUUCAUGUGGUAACGUAACAAAUGAAUACAUAGUAAAGAAAGCAAUACAACCAUCAUAUAUAUAAUUGAAAGUUUACAUUUGUCAAAAGUUACAUGUUCAAAACCAAUUACAAUAUGAUGUCAAAANUGUACAUGUUUGAAAGUUUCUAGAAAAUCCCAUAUUUUCUACUAGUAUAAAAGUAGUCUUCUACCAAGACUCGACUGUUUUGUAUGUUUACCUUUAGAAAUCCAGUAUCUUUUCAUAAGUGUGUAUGUAGUUUAAAAACUCCAAAACUAUAACAAAAUGAUGUUUUUCAUGCCUAAAUAAUAGAUUUGUGUAAAUAUAAAAUCACUAAGGCAUUUGAUAACCCCGUAAACCAAUGUGUUUCUAAUACUCCAUGUGAGUUUUAUAACCAUACUAAUGACCCAGACUGCCUGUAACAACGUUCUUCAGGCGUUGAAAUGUUAUGACGUUUGUCACCCCAGGCUUGCCGGCCUAGCUGUAGCUAACAGCUCAGGUGCGGGAUUGUCAAUCCCGUAUAGAUCUAUACACAAAUAUCACGCUCCCCCUACAAGGGAUUAUGGUAUAUAAUACAGGACUUAAUAAUGCAUACUCGAAAGUACGUGAACCGUCUCACAAAACUUAGUAUAAAACAGAUUUACGUAUAAAAAUGUCCAUUUGUUCUUGUAUGUGAAAGUAUCUCUUUGAUAUAAUGUUUCUAGUAUGUAAAUGUUCAUGGUUUUCUCGUAAACUAUACCUAUUAUAGUUAUUCAAAGUGUGUGUUUCGUUCGUAUUGUAAAUCCUAGUGUAAUGCUCACUUGUUAUGUAAAGUAUAACAUCUAAAGUGACAUAAAUGAUCACAUAUACUUAAAGUAUAAAUAAAGUGUUUGAUUCGUGUAUACAUAUAUAAACAUGUUUUAUUUCCAAAAGACAAGAUGUUAUCGAGAAUAUAUAUUGCAUACGAAAGUUCCUAUGAAGUAGUUAUGAAUCACAUAUGAUUCACUCGAUAAAAAGAGUAUAUGGUGAAACUUUAUGUUACACACGAUAAUAACCGUGUGUUUACUUGUAUUCCCCCCCUUUAAAAGUGUAUACAACGAUUUAAAAGUAGUUUUUUUGAUAAGACAGUGUAAAGUAAAAGAAAUCCCUUGUUUGAAAACACGAUUUAAAAGUAGUUUCUUUGAUAAGACAAAGAGUAUAACAACAGAUUUAUGUUUUUCACACGAUGAUAAUCGUGUGUUUACUUGUAUCCCCCCCCCCCUUGAAAGCAUAUAAAAGCAUUUAGAAUAUUUAAAAAGGGUUAAUUAAGGGGUAUGAACUCACUUGAAAGUUUGAAGAUAGCGAGAUGGAAAACCGGGCAGAGUUUCGUCUCGGGAAACGGAUUUUUCUCAGGAUUCUCAGGAAUCUCGGGAGUAAAAUCGACCUUCGGGACAUGAGCAAAAAGACCAGGGCUUCGGGGUAGUACGGGCACGGAAAAUGAGGCAAAACGCGAGAGAAAUGAGAGGAAAUGAGCAAAUUUUCCGGAAACCCUCGCAUCCCUUUUAUAGGGGCUGAGAGGCCUCGGUACGCAGGGCGUACGCUCGUGCGCUGCGCGUACUCGUGCGUCACCCGUGACCGAGUCCUCGACUGCUUCGCUUCGGAUGGGACGGGUCAGGUAGGUUCGUAUAGGGGCGACAUGGACGGUCCGAGACCAAGACCCUCGGGUACGCGGGGUGUACGGGGUUACGCAGCACGUAACUCGGAUGAGGACGCUGACUCCUCCUUCGGAUAUUACCGGAUUUUUGAUUUAUUUUUAUAUAUAAUUUAUUUAAUAAACUUCAAAAAAUCAUAUCUUCUUCAUACGAACUCCGUUUUCGAAGGUCUUUAUAUCCACGCGUAGGUGAGACUACGCUCUACAACUUUCGUUUAGAUUCCGUUGGCAAAUUCCGAAAUUAUUUUUAUUAUUUAUUUAUAAAAUGUCGUGAUUAAGGAAUUUCUUUAAAAAUUCUUAACUUUUUUUAUCUAACGUCGGUUUUUGCUAGACUUUUCACCGCUGAAAUACCAUUGUCGAGACCUUCGAUUCUUGUUUAGGUCAUUCCGGCCAAAAGUCGCUCGAUCUCCGAUUCGAGUUUUUAGUUGUCUGUUGCUAAGCCAAACUUUGGAAAAAUCAUAACUUCAAUAUACGAAGUCGGAUUUGGGCGUUCUUUUUACGUACGAUCAUGGUUUAAUGACAUUUAAACAUAGAAGGAAUUUAAAUAGAAACUUUUUGGACAUUUUAUUAUCAAAGUUAAUUUUAUCAACUCAAAAGUUGUUAUAAUAGUUAACUUUUUAGGUCAUUACAAAUAGUUGAAAUAUCGGGUUGUCAUAGCAUAGGAGCAUAAAAACAGAUUAAUCAUGGAAGAACAUCGGAAGUGUUUAUCAUUCUGAGUUAAUCGAGACGCAAAACUACUCUGCCAUGAAAGCGAUGGACAAAACUGCUCUCUCAAGCAGGAAUAAGCUCUUGAAAGCAUAAACUGAAAAGGAAAUACUGCAAUCUCCUAAAAUGAAUCUUGCUACAAAUUUCCGUCCCGAUUUUACUACUUCUUAACAUUUUUCGCCUCGUAAAAGUUACCGGUCAUUUCGUUAAAUCCAGUACCAUUUUACACUUAUCUUCUUUAUAAAAACUGAAAUCAAACCUAAUUAUGAAUCUAGAAGCUAAUGAUAUCAAAAAAAUAAUUAAUAAAUUAUUAGCCACCAACCUACUACAUGUGCACGCUAAAGAAUAUUCAGAAAUCGGAUGGGGUUGGCAGAAUAAUUUUUUAUUAAAAUAUAAAUAUGAGGUCAAAAUGGUCAUUUCAUAAAAUUAACGAAAUGACUGUUUACAUGGACAAUUCAUGGCCAAAAAACAUUUAAAAAACAGUAAAUAGGAUUGAAAAAUGCAAGAAGUCUCUUUUUUUUCGAACCAUAUAAAAAAGUGAUAUAACAGAUAGGCAAAAACUAUAAAUGUUAGAGUUAAUUUAGAGAUAGCUUACCUAAAUAAGCUGCUUUCAGAUAUUUGUGCCAAUUUCAAUUUGAUUGAUGUCAUUACCAGUGCCUUAAGGUACCUCCCAAGAGCUAUUGGGAACAAAAUCUUCAAGGCACAAUGACAACUGCAUUUGUAUGUAAAAAGCUAGAGAUUAACUUUAAGUAUAAGAUUAUAGAUAGAAAUAUGCAGUCAUCAUUGAGAUGAAAAAAAAUGAAAUCAAACUAAAGAUCAAAUCAAUACAUACUUAUUAUUAUCUUUUUAUCACACAAAUAAAAUGCUACCUUUCCACCAGAUAAAAUUAUCUUUCGACUGCUAGAACUCUAAAGAUGCUAAAAGAACAAAUACAUAAAUGAAGUAGUUAAUAAAUGUGUUUUAUCAUACAUCACCGGGGUAUGAAGAAAGAACAUAAAAAAAUGAAAUCAAACUAAAGAUCAAAUAAAUACAUACUUAUAUUAUAGAUAAAUUGAAUUAAUAUGAAAAGGAAAGUUGUUGUUAUUCUAAUCUUGAAAAUAACACAAAGGCUGAACUUUUUUUACACUUGAAAAAUAGCAAAAAGUCUUAACUUUUAUAUUGAACUUUUAUUCUUUUUCAACCAUUUUAUUUAUGCCUUCCAUUGCACCUCUUUCAGUAAUUAUCAAAUCUAUGAGCAAAAAUAUUUUUAUCAUAUUCCAUCAUUUUGUUGGACAAUUGUCAAACCCCCAAACCAAGGAUGGUGGAAACGUCCGGGGGUGGAGGACUUCAUGUAUAGUAUCAUAACAACGAGUAUAAUAGUGACCAUAGCAAACACAACCAACAUAAAUAUAAUUGAAAAAGUUACAUCAUAGUAUAUACGUUUACAUGUUUCUAAAUCAAUUACAUUAUGUUGAAAAAAAUGUAAUGUUUAACGCCUUAACGUUCCAUCCUCAAAAGUAGCUGUUUACCUGCUUACUGAUUUCGUGAGAAUAUAAGUACUUUUGAAAAAAGUGUCAACAAUUAAGUUGGUGAGGUGAUAAGCUUUUGAAUGAAAUGUUGAAAUCCUUUCGUUAUAGAAGUAACGUUUGUUUUAGAAAAUCCAAUAUUUUCCUUUUAAAAAUGUAAUGUAGCCUUAAAUGCCAAGACUAAUAAUGUACUAGUGUUUUCCAUAUAAGUUGUGAAUUAUGCAAGUUUAAAUCGUCAUAAACCCGUUUAAUUGAAGUAAGAUCCCGUAAAUCUUAUGUUUUGUUAAUACCCCAUGUGAGUUAUUAUAACCAUGCUAUGAAUUAGUCGGCCUUGCAUACGACGUUCUUCAAGCGUCGGAAUGUUAAUGAUAUUUGUCACUCUAGACCCGUCGGUCUAGCUGUUGCAUGCAGCUAAGGUGUGGGUUUGUCAGACCCAAUAUAGAUCAAUAUACAACUAUCACACUCUCCCUACAAGAGACUCUGGUUACAAUUACAGGACUUUUGAUUUUGUUACUUUAGAAGUAACGCGAAGCGAAUGUCUCCCAAAUUUAUUCAUUAACAGAUUUAUAUAAAGUGAACUGAAAACCCCUUUUUGCCGAGAUAUACUCUUUCGUGGUGUGAUGUAAAUGAAACAUAAACUAUGAUUUGUUAGAAUUUAUCCUAAUUGUUUGUAAUGUAUAUGAAACGUAAACUAUACCUAUUAUAGUUUAUCAGAAUGUUGGUAAUGUAUAGAAACCUUUACUGUGUAAGUAAAAUGUAUAGCGAAAACAUACUAUGUCUAUUAGGCCUCAUCUUGUAAUAAUUGGAAUACUAACUGAUUUUUACAAUUUAGUGAACAUUUUUCUGUUAUAUAAUUAUAUCACAACAGAAAACACAUGCAAAAUAUGAAGUCAUCAAAGAUUAACACUUGCUCCACAUGUUACAAAGUGUUAUGAAAGUUGUAAACUGUAAAUUCGUUUUUACCAUUUCUGCACUGAUUUAGAAAAAUCAUAGAAAAGUCAUACGAAGUCAAAAACUAGAUCCGUCAACUCUGAGAGUUUAGAAAUGUGUCUAGUUUGUUCAUAACUUUUAUUACGAUUUUCAAAAACCUCUAACUGAUGUGAAAAUGUUCAUACUCACAGACUGGUCCGAAUUCGUAGCUACAGUGAUAGGCAGUUUUGUAAAAAUCACCAUAAAUAGUAGAAAAUUCGUGUGAGUAUGUGCAAGUAGUCAUUUUAAAGGUAUAAACCUGAAAUAUUUGCAUCUAAUACAGUUUUGAAAACUAAAAAGUUUAAGAUGUUCAAAAUAGUCUGUGAAUGGAACGAAACUUUCCUAUGGAAAGCUAAUGCUUGUGUGUUGUUAAGUUCUUGGCGAUUUAACUUGUAUUCUCCACCCUAAAACUUGAAGAAAACAUGAAACGGUGGGGGUAUGAACUCACCUUGACUGAUUUUAGUAGAUAGAUGAUGAAGAAAAGGAGUUUCCAAUUCAAGAUCACUUGGGAAAUACUUGAGGAUUUGAAGAUCUAACAACAAAUAUGAUGAUAUUUGUGUAAGGAACCCAUGAUUUGAGUGAAACGAUGCAAGAUGAUCAAGUGUAGGAUGAAGUUACUUACCAAAAUUGGAGGGGAAAGCUCAAGAACAACCUUCAAACUUAAGUUUAGAGAUAGAAAGUGAGAGAGAGAAAUGGGGUUGCUUCUUGGUGAUAGUGUGAAGAAUGUGGGAGAAGGAGUAAAGAUUUCCAGCCCUUGAUCUCCCUCAUAUGCUGGAGGAAGAGGGUGAAAGGACAAUUAAUUGACUAAGUAGUGAUGAAUAGUGACUGGCUACGGCCUUGGAGUGGGUGUGGAGGGUUGCUUGUGUCAUACAUUAAGGUAAAGUCAACACUCCACCUCAAAAUCUUACCCACUAGAUUUUAUUCUUAGGCAAUGAUUUUCCUCCAAAAAUGAUUAAAAUAUGAUUAUAUAGGGUCUCAUAUGCCAAAACAUGAGUUCGGGUGAAAAUCCCGCAUCAAAAUCAUUAAAAAUAGGCUUAAAAGGAAGUUGCGGUCAAAAACCGAGAAGAAGCUGCGGACAUCCGAAGUCAAGAGGCGAGGUUCGGUCCAUGGUGCUGAGAACCGAAAGCAGGUUUGGUCUGAGAAGGGUUCGGUUGCGAGGCUAGGACCGAAGGCGGUGGGAAGCAAAAUAGACCAAAGUCUGAAGGAGCGAAAUGAACCGAAAGGCGCGCAAGGAGCCGAACCCGAAGGUGACUUCGGUUCUAAUGGGGACUUCGGCUCUUAUAGGAGGUUUGAUUCUAAUAGAGACUUCGGUCCUUAAGGGCUGUUUUUCAAGAAAUCUUCGCGUCUUGAGUGAUUUUUGACCAAGUUAAGGGUCUGGAUCCCCCGAAUGAUUAUAAAAAGUUGAAAGAGAUUUUGAGAGAUUUUUGGGAGAGAGAGAGAUUGAUAAAGAGAGAUUGAGAGAGGCUUCAUUUUUGACCUUUUUGGAUAUUUGGCUUCGUAACGCAAGGUUCAUACACCCCGUUAAGCCUCGUUAUGAUCGUUAUAUGCUCCCGAGGGAUAUGGAAUAAUGUUUUAUCGAAUAGCUUCAUCACUUAUCCCGAUUAGGGUUUAGAGUUUCUGAACAUACGAACUUUCCAAGUGAUAACUCCUUAUUAAAAUAGCGAGUUGUACAACUUUUAACAUAAUGCAAACCCAUAUAUACCAGGGUUAGUUGAGUUGACCGGUUUGACUUGUUGAUUUUAUUUGACUUUAACUCCACUAGAAAUCGACGGUUGUCACAUCAUCCCCCCGUUAGAAGGAAUUCCGUCCAUAAAUUAAUGUUUUGGCUAUGAUUUCAAGAAUUUGGGAAGAGGUGUGGGUAUUUUCGUUUCAUUUAAUCUUGCGUUCCCAGGUGAAUUCGGGUCCUCGUUUAGCGUUCCAACGAACCUUAACAAUGGGAAUACAACUUUGCUUUGUUCUUUUGAUCUCCCGAUCCAUGAUUUCAACUGGUUGCUCUACGAAGUAGAGACUCUCGUCAACUUCAAUUUCGUUGAGUGGUAUCACGUGGGUCUCGUCGGAUAAACAUUUCUUUAACUUAGAUACGUGGAAGGUAGGAUGUACGUUAUUAAGUUCCUGUGGUAGUCGGAGUUUAUAUGCUAUGGGGCCAAUCCUGGCAUGGAUUUCGAAUGGCCCAAUAUACCUAGGGUUUAGUUUCCCACGCUUACCAAAACAUAUCAUACCCUUCCAGGGUGAGACCUUCAGUUGCACACAGUCUCCAACCUGGAAUUCCAAAGGUUUGUGUCGCUUAUCAGCGUAACUCUUUUGUCAGUCACGAGAUGCUUUCAGUCUUUCUCGUAUUUGGAUGACGUUUUCUGUGGUUUCCCUUAUGAUUUGAGGACCGGUGAGGGCGCUAUUUAGGACUUAUCCCUUUUCUAGCUGAGUGUCCCCCACUUCGGCCUAACACAGGGGUGAUCUACACUUUGUCACAUCUGGCCAUAUAGAGGUUCAAACAGAGCGACCUUGAUGCUAGUAUGAUAGCUAUUAUUGUAAGAGAAUUCGAUGAGUGGUAAGUGGGUAUCCCAUGCUUUACCAAACUCUAUUACACAAGCUCUCAGCAUGUCUUCAAGUUUCUGAAUGGUUCUUUUGCUCUGUCCGUCGGUUUGUGGGUGGUAGGUUGUACUCAUGUCUAGCCUAGUCCCCAGAUAUUUUUUGUAAAGACUGCCAAAAUCAUGAAGUGAAUCUACUAUCUCUAUCGGAUAUAAUCGAUAUUGACACUCCAUGCAGUCGUACAAUCUCUUUAAUGUAGGUCCUGGUUAGUUUCUUCAUCUUGUCAAUCUCCUUGAUAGGCAGGAAGUGCGCGGAUUUGGUCAGCCUGUUGAUGAUUACCCAAAUGGUAUCCAGUCUACUCGUUGUCUUGGGUAACUUGGUUAUGAAGUCCAUGGUUAUCCAUUCCUACUUCCACUCAGGUAUUUUUGGUUGUUGAAGUAAGCCCGAUGGCUUUUGGUAUUCUACUUUCACAUUGGUGCAAGUCAAACACUUGCCCAUGUAAGUAGAAAUUUCUGCUUUCAUGUUCGGCCACCAGUAAAUCUUCUUGAGGUCUAGAUACAUUUUGUAUGCACCUGAUUGGACGGAGUAUUGAGUUUUGUGACAUCCCCAAUUUCACGGCCAGAAAAGAGCGAUUUGUUUAUGCUUUGUUUUAUAAAUCAGAGUGAUCGUUUAAAGAAAACGGUUGCGGAAUUUAUUCCCAAAAUAAAAUAUGAUAACCAUUUUAUCAAAACAUUUCUCGAAAAGAAUGUAUUUUCAUUAAAUAAUAAAACCUCGGGAUGUCAUGUUCGUUACAGACCAAAAGCAUAAACAAUAUAAAAUAAACCUUACAAUAGUUAUUCAACUACUGAUCUAUAAUCCAAAAUCUCUCGUCAAGUCCGCCGACUUAUACUCUUGUGUCAUUACCUGUAAUGAAAAGAAAAUUGAGUGGGUCAGGCUUGGGAGCCUGGUGAGCAUAUAGGGUUUUCAACCCACAAUAAUACAUUUAUUAUAUUCAAUUAUCAAAAAAUCAACCCAAAUACCCAUCCCCAUUAUCUUCUUAAGGUUUUACCCUAAGAAUCCACUAUCCUUCAUUCAUUCAUUCCUAAGGAUUUACCUAAGGAAUUGGCACGAAGUCCAUUGCUGCGAAAGUUUAUAGAUCAGGUACUAAAUCCAUAGUUAUCAGACGCUAACUCCAUAGUCGUCGGGGUUUACUCAAGCGGCGCUAACUCCAUAGUCACCAAGGUUCACUUAACAGGCACGAAGUCACAUCGUCACCAAGGUUUACUCAAUAGGUGCUAACUCCAUAGUCACCAAGGUUCACUUAACAAGCGCUAACUCCAUAGUCGCCAAGGUUUACUCAACAAGCGCUAACUCCAUAGUCGCCAAGGUUCAUCAAAUAGGCACGAAGUCACAUCGUCGCCAAGGUUUAUACAAUAGGCGCUAACUCCAUAGUCACCAAGGUUUAUCUAAUAAUAGGCGCUAACUCCAUAGUCACCAAGGUUUAUCUAACAGCAGGCGCUAACUCCAUAGUCACCAACUAUCCCAUCUACCCUUGUUCUACCCAACAAUUUUGUAGAUAUAAAUACUUACACAGUUUAAAUCAUUUAACACCUGUAUAAAACUCCAAUUUCCAUGUCCAUCUCAAAUAGACAAAUAACAUAUAAACACAUAGCACGUAUUUCAUAACAAAUACUUCAUAUUGAUGUGUUAGAAGAAAGCAACUACACACCCACACAUAUAAACAACAAUAUACUUAAUACACUCAAACCAUACUUGUAUUAUUAUCGUGUUUACGAAAGCUAGUAUACACUCACUUGAUCAGAAGAUGAUCGGAUGGCACUACGACAUGCAGAAGUAGUAAUCCACCGCAGAUCUGGAAGAUCUCCACAAAAAUCGAACUUCUCGCGGGCAGAGCUUUGGCUGGGGAACCGCACUUCUCGGAAUCUUCGGGAUCUUGGGACUUGCCUCGGGGCUAGAGAAUAAUACCGGAGCUUCGGGGUAUUUAUGGCAUGCAAAACGAUGCAAAACGGGAGACAGAGAAGAGAAGAAAUUGGCAAUUGGGUCGGCUGCCUUCGCAUCCUAUUUACAGGAGGCUGGAGCCUCGGAGUACGCGGGGCGUACUGGUCCAAAUGCGUCAUGGCGUUCGUCAUCCGAAGCCACUUGCUGCGAAUGUCGACACUUCGGAGUACGCAGGGCGUACUCGAGUACGCGGCGCGUACCUCGGAUCAGACCGGUGACUCCUUCGGAUAAUGCUUCCGAAUUUCCUUUUAAAUUUAAAUACAAAAUGAUUAAUAAACUUCGGAAAUUCAUAUCUUCUUCAUACGAACUCCGUUUUCGACGUUCUUUAUAUCCACGCGAAGGUGAGACUACGCUCUACAACUUUUGUUUAGACUCCGUCGGCUAAUUUUGACUUUUAUUUUUAUUAUUUAUUUUUAAUAGGCCGCGACAGAAAACUUCGUUAUAAAUUCAUAACUUCUUCGUUUGACGUCCGUUCUCGCCUAACUUUUUAUCGCUUCGAUACCAACAACGAGAUCUUCGAUUCUCGUUUAGAUUGCUAAGGCUAAAUAUCGCUCUAACGUAAAUUCACUUUUUACGUCGCGCUGUGUCGUGCCGGUUCUGUCGCGAAACUUCGACAGGUCAUAACUUCUUCGUUAUAACUCGGAUUUUGGCGUUCUUUAUAUGCACGGAAACCUUGUAACAUAUACUACAACUUAGUUAGGAUUAUUCAUCCUAAAUAAUCUUCUAUCAAAAAGUCAUUUUUGACUCUUAUUGUCUCUAAAUUGACUAGCCCUGAUCUACGGGCGUUACAAUUAUCUCCCCCUUAGGAUGAUUACGUCCCGGAAUCAUCAACGAAAUAGGAUUCGCAUACUGACUCCAUAAGUUAUCUCUCCAUUCUAAGUAAUAACCCUGAUGGGUCGUGUCCCGAUGACCUCUCAUCAUAGUCGGACUCAAUUGAUAUGACCCCUAGGGUCGGAAUAACAACUAUCUUACUAGACAUUACCGAAACAAUGGUAAUGACAUACUUGAAUAAAACGGAAUCAAUUACUAGCUUCUUGAUAACCUUGUGACUUCCCCUGAUCCAAGCGUGAGUCCUGUGCUUCCGGUAGUAUAGAUCUCUACUACCAUUCACACCUACUCAUACUCGUCCCAAGUAUUGUCUCGCAGUUAACCAAGUCACCAUACAUAAAUCAUAUAAUCAUUCAACACAUCAGAUAACAAAACUAGGAUUUAUAUUAAUUCUUGAAACUAUUACACAAAAGUUCAAGUUCACCCUAUACUAUGCCUCUAACAGGCUAUGCUUCCUGAUACAGACUUUACCGACUUUAUAUAUUAAUAUGAAGUCUUCAUCCUUUAACCCUCCCAUCCCUUUCUGCUUCGUUGAGGAACAUGUUGAAUGCCCUUGGCUGUGGAGGUGUGUUUUUCUGUGGGCAGUCUUUAGAAAUAUGACCUUCUUCAUUACACCUAUAGCACAUCUUCUUGUUAGGUGCGCACUUGUUGGCAUAGUGCCCUGUCUUCCCACAUUUGUAGCAAGUCAUCUCCUCGCUACAUUUCCCGAAGUGUUUCUUCUUACACUUCUCACACCACUUAGCCUCAUCUCUUCCUCCAGUUUUCGAGAAUUUACUUUCUUUAUCGAUUAUUGAAGAUCCUUCACGCUUCCUUUUCUCUCCAACUUCAGCCCUUUCCAGACCCUUUUCUUUUAUUUGGGUCUCAACAUUUUUGGCUGCCCAGAUGGCGGCUUUCAGAGUGGUUGCUUGUUUGACUAUCGGACCAAAGUCCGCUGGUAAUCCAUUAGCAAACUUGUUGACCUUGGAAAGUUCAGUCGGAAUUAGGUAUGGAAUAAGCUUCAUCUUCUCCGUAAAGCUCGUAGCGUAUUCAGUAACGCUCAAUUUUCCUUUCUUCAGAUUCUGGAACUCAUUGUUGAUUUCCAGAAGAUCCUGCUCAGAGCAGUAUUGCAUUUUCAUUUGCUCCACGAACUCUUCCCAAGACAUCUUGCUAGCUUCUCCCUUAGGCAUUGAACCAGCCAGUAACUUCCACCAGCUGAAUACUCUAGAUUUUAACAGAGGGAUUGCAAGAGCGGUCUUCUGUCUCUUGCUACACUCGCAACUUUUAAACAUUGUCUCCAUUUCGGAGAUCCAGUCCAUGACUUGCACCGGUGUCGGGCUCCCAGAAAGACAUGGUGGUUUGGAUGCCAUGAAAUCCUUGUACUUGCAUCCACGUCCAUCAUUUCCUCUAUCCUGGUUGUUUUGGCGAACUAUUGGUGGGUUGGCUUGACCAACGGUCCCACUAUAGUUUCCUCCUUCAGAAUGCCCUCCAUUUACUUCGGGCUCUUCUACUCGAAUUGACAAUUCCUCGCGAUUUUGUCUGAUCAGACGUCUAGUUUCUUCCAUCUGAUUAUUCAACAUUGCCUGGAUCAUCACUUGAACUCCGGCCAUUGUCAUUGGUUCAGGCGCUGCUGCCACAACAGGUAUUUGUUCAAUUACUGGUACUUGAUUCCUGUUCUCAUCAGCAUUUCCAACUCCACUCCUCGUUCUCACCAUUUUUGAUCUAUACACCGAAUAUGGUGAAAUUAGAUCCUUAAUCACGAUAGAUAUUCAAAUCAUCCUUAUCACUCCGAAACGUUUAUAUGCUAGUUCUAAUAUCGUAGACGUACGCUUAGAAUCCUAUACACAUAAGGUUUCCAGAUCCGGUCGGCAACAGACCAUAGAUCCGAACAAAUAAUAUCAUAUAUGGCAACAUAUAACAUUUAGCACAUAAAGCAUUUUAGGCAACUUUCCUAAAAUAAACUAGUGCUUGUGUCUAAAACACAACAGACACACAUCUCAAAAUUUCACUUAGCAUUCUAAGUUUAAGUCUAGAAAUCCUACAAAUUCCUAGUUCGCUUAAACUAAUGCUCUGAUACCAACUGUGACAUCCCCAAUUUCACGGCCAGAAAAGACCGAUUUGUUUAUGCUUUGUUUUCAAAAUCAGAGUGAUCGUUUAAAGAAAACGGUUGCGGAAUUUGUUCCCAAAAUAAAAUAUGAUAACCAUUUUAUCAAAACAUUUCUCGAAAAGAAUGUAUUUUUAUUAAAUAAUAAAACCUCGGGAUGUCAUGUUCGUUACAGACCAAAAGCAUAAACAACAUAAAAUAGACCUUACAAUAGUUAUUCAACUACUGAUCUAUAAUCCAAAAUCUCUCGUCAAGUCCGCCGACUUAUACUCUUGUGUCAUUACCUGUAAUGAAAAGAAAACUGAGUGGGUCAGGCUUGGGAGCCUGGUGAGCAUAUAGGGUUUUCAACCCACAAUAAUACAUUUAUUAUAUUCAAUUAUCAAACAAUCAACUCAAAUACCCAUCCCCAUCAUCUUCUUAAGGUUUCCCCCUAAGAACCAACUAUCCUUCAUUCACUUAUUCCUAAGGAAUCGGCACGAAAUCCAUUGCUGCCAAAGUUUAUCUAUCGAGUACUAAAUCCAUAGUUAUAAGACGCUAACUCCAUAGUCGUCGGGGUUUACUCAAGCGGCGCUAACUCCAUAGUCACCAAGGUACACUUAACAAGCGCUAACUCCAUAGUCGCCAAGGUUUACUUAACAAGCGCUAACUCCAUAGUCGCCAAGGUUCAUCAAAUAGGCACGAAGUCACAUCGUCGCCAAGGUUUAUGCAAUAGGCGCUAACUCCAUAGUCACCAAGGUUUAUACAAAAGGCGCUAACUCCAUAGUCACCAAGGUUUAUCUAAUAAUAGGCGCUAACUCCAUAGUCACCAAGGUUUAUCUAACAGCAGGCGCUAACUCCAUAGUCACCAAGGUUUAUCUAACAGCAGGCGCUAACUCCAUAGUCACCAAGGUUUAUCUAACAGCAGGCGCUAACUCCAUAGUCACCAACUAACCCAUCUACCCAUGUUCUACCCAACAAUAUUAGUAGAUAAAAAUAUACAUUUGUAUACAUAGUUUAAAGAAAACCUGUAUAGCAUGCUUUAAUCAACACAUAUAUCACAUAACAGAUGAGGCACACACACGUAACACAUAUCUCAUAAAGAAAUAAGCAGAUCUGUAAGAUAGAAGAGAGUGAAUACUCAUUCACACAUAACACAACCAAAUAUAUACACAUAGCACGUAUUUUUAUAUAAAAUACUUCGUAUUAUUGUAUUAGAAGAAAUAACUACACACUCACUUGAUCAGAAGACGAUCCGACAGCACUACGGCUUAUAGAAGUAGUAUUCCUCAGCAGAUCUGGAAGAUCUCCUCGAAAAUCAAACUUCUCGCGGGCAGAGCUUCGACUCGGGAACCGCACUUUUCGGGAUCUUCGGGAUCUCGGGACUUGCCUCGGGGCUAGGGUAUAAUACCGGGGCUUCGGGGUAUUUCUGGCACGCAAAACGAUGCAAAACGGGAGAGAGAAGAGAAGAAAUUGGCAAUUGGGUCGGCUGCCCUCGCAUCCUAUUUAUAGGAGGCUGGAGCCUCGGAGUACGCGGGGCGUACGCCAGUACGCGGGGCGUACUGGUCCGAAAAACGUCACUGCGUGCGUCAUCCGAAGCCACUUGCUGCGAAUGUCGACACUUCGGAGUACGCGGGGCGUACUCGAGUACGCAGCGCGUACCUCGGAUCAGACCGGUGACUCCUUCGGAUAAUGCUUCCGAAUUUCCUUUUAAAUUUAAAUACAAAUUGAUUAAUAAACUUCGGAAAUUCAUAUCUUCUUCAUACGAACUCCGUUUUCGACGUUCUUUAUAUCCACGCGAAGGUGAGACUACGCUCUACAACUUUCGUUUAGACUCCGUCGGCUAAUUUUGACUUUUAUUUUUAUUAUUUAUUUUUAAUAGGCCGCGACAGAAAACUUCGUUAUAAAUUCAUAACUUCUUCGUUUGACGUCCAUUCUCGCCUAACUUUUUAUCGUUUCGAUACCAACAAUGAGAUCUUUGAUUCUCGUUUAGAUUGCUAAGGCUAAAUAUCGCUCUAACGUAAAUUCACUUUUUACGUCGCGCUGUGUCGCGCCGGUUCUGUCGCGAAACUUCGACAGGUCAUAACUUCUUUGUUAUAACUCGGAUUUUGGCGUUCUUUAUAUGCACGGAAACCUUGUAACAUAUACUACAACUUAGUUAGGAUUAUUCAUCCUAAAUAAUAUUAUAUCAAAAAGUCAUUUUUGACUCUUAUUGUCUCUAAAUUGACUAGCCCUGAUCUACGGGCGUUACAAGUUUUAUGUGCUUCACUCAUGACAAUGUCUUGGAACCCACCGAACUUCGGGGUCCAAAUUCGAUUUAUGAGAUAACAAGCUCCGUCGUCUUUGACUUCAAGGUUCUUAUCCAUUCCCCGCAAUGCCUCUCCCAUCACGUUUUCUGGUUUUAAGGCCUCUGGUUGGGCCUCUUUGAUUUGUGUGGACAGGUGUGAAUGGAUUGUCAUUUUUAGUGACUUUACUCGACAUCCCGAGUAUUCUUUUCUGCUUAUCACAUCUGCUACCACGUUAGCCUUGCCUGGAUGAUAGCGAAUCUCGCACUCGUAAUCAUUCAGAAGUUCUAUCCAUCGUCUCUGUCUCAUGUUGAGCUCUUUUUGGUUUAGAAUAUGUUGGAGACUCUUAUGAUCAGUGAAGAUAAUGCACUUUGUACCGUAGAGGUAGUGCCUCCAGAUCUUCAGGGCAAACACUAAUGCUCCUAAUUAGAGGUCGUGGGUAGUGUAGUUAACUUUGUGUGUUUUAAGUUGUCUCGAGGCGUAGGCGAUGACCUUUCCUCUUUGCAUGAGUACACAUCCAAGACCUUGAUUUGAAUCAUUGUAAUAGACCAUGAACUCCGCAGUCCCUUCUGGGAGAUAUAAGAUCGGUGCGCUGCACAUGGCUUGUUUCAACGUUUGGAAGCCAACCUCUUGUUUAGCCUCCCAAUUAAACAUUACACCCUUUUGAGUCAGGGUGGUGAGUGGUUUUGUGAUCUUGGAGAAUUUUUGAAUGAAUCUUUAGUAAUAUCGCGUAAGCCCUAAGAAUUGUCGGAUUUCUGUCGGUGUUUUCGGUCUCGUCCAGUUUUCGAUCGCCUUUAUUUUAGAGGGAUCCACAUGUAUAUCUUUUUCGUUAACCAUAUUGGCCAAGGAAAUCGACUUCUCGGAUCCAAAAUUCGCACUUCAAGAGUUUAGCAUAAAGCUUCUCGGCUCUUAGCGUCUCCAAUAUUAGUUGUAGAUGCUGGUUGUGUUCUUCUUUGCUCUGUGAAUACACUAAAAUAUCGUCGAUGAAUACGAUUACGAAUUUGUCUAAAUAAGGCCGGCACACUCAGUUCAUUAGGUCUAUGAACACCGUAGGCACGUGUGUUAGACCGAAGGGCAUCACCACGAAUUCGUAAUGACCGUAGCGCGUUAUGAAAGCUGUUUUGGGAAUAUCAUCCUCUUGAACUCGUAGUUGAUGGUAUCCCGACCUCAAUUCGAUUUUCGAAAAAUAACUCGCUCCUUGAAGUUGGUCAAAGAGGUCGUCGAUUUGGGGUAGAGGGUAUCGAUUAUUGAUGGUGAGUUUGUUUAAUACCCGAUAGUCGAUGCACAUGCGAAUAGAUCCGUCCUUCUUCUUCACAAAGAGGACUAGUGCACCCCAGGGUGAAGAGAUCGGUCUAAUAAACCCUUUGCUUAACAGUUUAUUCAGUUGACUAGAUAGUUCUUGCAUUUUUGCCAGCGCUAGGCGAUAUGGAGCUUUGGCUAUGUGGGUAGCUCUGGGGACAAAGUUGAUUCAGAAUUCGACUUGUCGUGCAAGUAGUACACCUGGAAGGUCUUCUGGUGACACGUCGAGAAAGUUACGGACCUCCGGGAUGUCUUUGAUGUCCUUCGUUUCUUGUUUCUUGUCUACUACAUGGGCUAAGAAGGCAUCAUAUUCCUUUCGGAGGUACUUUUGAGCAUUGACGCAAGACAUGAUGUAUAAGUUUGUACUGGGUUUAUCGCCGUAGAUGAGAAGGGUUUUGCCAUUCGGCAGAUUAAGGCGGACGGCCCUUUCGUAACACAAAAUGUUGGCACGAUGAGAACUUAACCAAUCCAUACCAACGAUGAUGUCGAAACUUUUUAUUAUGACCGACAUUAGGUCGAUUUUGAACGAAUGAUUGUCCAGAGUGAGGGUACACCCUGUGUAUAUGUCACUAGUGCGCUCUGCCUUUCCGUUAGUCAUUUCUACGACGUAUGUAUCUUUUAGUGACUAGGGAUUUUGUUUAAGUAGUUGUUUGUAUUCAUGGCUCACGAAACUCCUCUCUGCCCCGCUAUCGAAAAGUAUGCUUGCAUAUGAGUUAUUGAGAAGGAACGUACCGGUAACCACCGUGGGAUCCUUGACUGCUUCUCUGUGUCCUAUAGCCAGGACUCUUCCUACACCCCCAGAAUUGGCGUUUCGUGCCUUUGGGCAAUCUGAUUUGAAGUGCCCCGUUUCCCCACAACCAUAGCAGGCUCAACUUGCUCCGAUGUUGGUGACUUGAGUAAUGGGUUGGGUUGGCGCUUUACAGACUCGAGCAGUGUGUCCCUUCUUUUUUCAAUUGCUGCAAUGCAUUUCCCGAGAAGCACCGGUGUGGUAGAAGUUGCACUUAGGGAGGGUUCCAGCAUAUUCCCUUAAUGGUGUUGGAGUGGCAGCACAAACAGAAACUGUCUAUUGCUUCUUGGCGGAGUCUGGUACCGACUGUUUCUUUUUGUUACUCCUGAAUUUUCUUCUAUUGUUUCCCCCUCUUGCUUGAUCAGGGGUGGUGGUCACAGUACCAUGGCUGGCCCUAUGGUCGAUAAGUUGUUGUGCCAAUUCCUUGGCACUGUCAAAAGUAGUGGGUUUGGAGGCCAGCACACUAUCUUGAAUCUAGGAUGAUAGACCCUAGAGGUAUCAUUCCACCUUCUUUUCUGGAGUGACCAUUGCUAGGCAAAUAAGUGCUAGGUCAUUGAAUCGGGCAGUAUAAGUUUCAAGGUCAGAGACUGACAUCUUGAGACUCCAGAGUUCUUAUUCAAGUUUUUGUACCUCGCCCCUCAAGCAAUACUCCUUCAGCAUCAUUGCCUUCAAGUCCUCCCAGCUCAUGGAGUUAGUCACUGCGAGAGUAAGUGACUUAACUUGACCAUUCCAACAAGUGAGGGCCCUGCCGGUGAAAGUAAAUGUCGCAUAGUUGACCUUGCUCAUUUCGGGGAAAGCACAAACUUCACAGACUGCUUUGGUCCUCUUGAACCAUUGCAUCAGUGUGAUGACACCCCCGCUUCCAUUGAAAGAAUUCAGAUUGCCAUUGGCAAAGUCUUUGUAAGAACACUCUUUUGUACGCCCCGUACUGUCCCCAUGAUUCGAGUGUGUAGCACCAGAUCCAGAACCGCCGGCACCAUUGGUACCCAUAUGUGACAUUACGACCGCCACGACCGCUGUUACCGCAGCUUGAAACAUUGUGGAAUCAAACUGUGGCGGCAGUGGUGGAGGUGGUGCUGCAAUGCUGGACGGUCUGGGAUUUUUCCUUGGCGGCAUAGUUCUGUCAUAAGUUUUAAAGGUGAAAAGUCAGUGAGUCUUCAAUAGUAAGGAUGAGUCGGGUGUUAUUUGAGCUACAUUAUCAGUAUUAUGCCCCAACUUUAUUGUAUUUGCAAGAAAUUCAUAAAUAAAGUCUAUACAAAUAAACUUAUGAAUUUAGUAAUAGUGACUCAACCGAAAACUUGUGUUCUGCUCUGUGCCUGAUCCACUCCUAAAAUUCACUCGACGUAUGCCAGUUGCAUGUAAUUAAGUUUUGAUAAACCGUUGAACCUAAUGAGUCUGUCCUAAAUCCACAACCAAACAAGGAACAGGUCCUAAGGCGGACUCACCAUUUCUAAGUCGACCGCCCCUUAAUUACACAAACUUCGAGGUACACCUUAUGAAUUUUAAAGUUAUCAUUUGCAAAUCGUUUGUAUUAUCAAGUUAUGAGAUCCAAUGCCAAACAUCCAACAAAAUAAAAUGGAAGUCAAUUUAAUUGAUGUAAAUUUGGUACGUAAUGCUUAGGAAAAUUUGAACUCAUAGGAGGUCUACGUUACAUCAAUGUAGAAGAAAAUUUUUGACAGCAUAACGACCCAUCAAGUAGUGUAAUCACUUAGACGUAGGGUCGAACCUACUUGUAAGAAAGAGUAGCACGAACGCAUACUCGAAAUUGUAGUUUUAUAACAAAAUGUGAGUAGUGUAAGCACUACUCGCGGCGGGUGGUAUCUAGUCCAUUGUGGCCUUGAGACGAGGUCGAUGCUCCCUGAAGCUCUACAAUCCGGCGUUCGGCCGUGAUCACUCUCUCCUCGAGAGCUGCGUGCCUCACCUGGUACUACCUUACCUCCGCUCGGGUGACUGUAAGGUCCUCGAUAAGUUGGUCCACGGGAUAUAAGUCCCUUUCCAACUCCUUGGUGUGUGCAUUGGUGGCUUCUACAACCGCGUUGAGAUCCCGAACUUGAUCUGUCAUUUCCCUAUUCUGGUUUCACAAGUUUGCGAUUUGCUGGACCAUGAUGGGGAGGGCUCUGUCAGCCGGUUCCACGUGGCUGAGGUCGUAGUAACCCCGUUGAUCGCCAUAUGGUGAUCGUUAUCAUUGUUGACGGCUCCACCUCUCGAUCACUGUUGCCCAACGGGGCUCAUGCCUGUUGUAGCCGAAACGGUUCGCAGGCACACUGGCGAUGUAAGGAGGGUUGAUGACUUCCUCCUACGGUUCCUUCUCUUCCUCUUCAUCCUCCAUUUCUUCUUCGUCCUCGGGUUCUUCUUCUUCUUUGUCCUCUUCGGGGUCUUCCUCAGGAUCCUCCUCAAUCAUUUCCUCGGGUUCUGCCUCAAGCCAUCCAGCGUUUCCCUCAUUAGGGAAGUAAGGGUCUCUAGGUACAUGGAGUCCCGCCAUGUCAUCUGUACGAGAAUAGGGGGGGGGGGGGGUAAGAGGCACAUAAUGAUUAAAAAAAAAUAUUGUACUUUUAGUAACAUAAAAUACUCCUAUAGUAUUUUAAAUAUUUGUUUGACUCUAAUUGUAGUUCUUGUAUGAGUGUUGGUAGGUUAAUAGACUUGUUGCCCACUACCACUAUCCCCCGACAUAUGCUAGUCACAUCUUGGACAAAUACAGUUGAUCAGGCUAUAUUACUCAUAAACAUGAUUACAUAACCCAAGGCCUAAUGUUAGAGUACAACUCAUCCACUUUUAUUUUUCGUGAUUUCUCCUAGGUGUGCCACUAUACCGGCAUGCAUGCAUGUACUUAUACCUUUANGGGAAAUGGUUUAAUCAGAGAGUCUUAGUCCCAUUGUGUUUAUAGUUUGUAUAUCCUAUAUGGUUUGAUAUAUUAAGUUCACUAUAAACAAUGCUCUGAUACAAAUCUGUCACACCCCCAAACCAAGGAAGUUGUAAGGUUUAAUAACUCUUUCAUGUUAUACAUGUAAUUAUUUAUUGAGGCCAUCAUAGAUUUCACGACUUUUAAAUGAAGUAAGAUUACUUACAGCAUAUGAGGAAAUCAUGAAAAAAAAUCUCAAGAAGUAACAGAGCUUGAAGAGAUAAUGUCUUUUUAGAAUGCUUUGCUCUAUAUCAGCCAAAAAGACAAAAUAAAAUAGCUUGAUAACUUUUCUAAUGUAGAUGUUUUGAGAAUGAAUGGAAUUUGGAUUUGUGACUGAUGAAAGAGAAGUAUGGAGACAACCUUAGAGUAUGAUUCAAAUUCAACACUUUGGUAGAAUGGCAGAAUAAACAAAAAGGCAGUUAACUGUAACUAUGUGCUAAUUUAAUCAAGUAGUUCUGUUUGUUGAGAAAGUCAUGUUUCUAGUUGUUAUGUUUUUAGCUACUAUUUGGUAGAAUGGAAUCAGGGACCCGAUCGAUUAGCAACUGAAAAAUUGAUUAAUAGGAAAGUAAUGUAUACCACAUGAGAGCAGAAGAUGUAGCUACAUUGAUGGUCGGAGCAGAGAGAAGAGUAAAUGUUUGACUUCUAGCAGAGAACAAAGGUGCGUUGAAGGAAGGGUGUGGUCCGGAGACGACUGACGAUGAUUUCCCGAAGACGAUGGACCGGCGAAGAUUGACCAGGGACGAUGGACCGACGACAAUUCACCGGUAACGCUGGUCCGAACUACCAAUGGUUGCUAUGUCGAUUUAGGGAAAUGAGGAAAGAUGUGUUGACGAGAAAGGCGGGGUGACUUUGAAUUUAAGCAUUACAAUGAAAAUAGAAAUAUGGCAUCUCAACUUUUUCCUCAAGUUGGUAUAAAAUGGCCCAAGAAAAGUUUUAGGUCUGAGAAAGGUAGUAUAGUAAAUAUGUUUGAUAAAAAGGUUUUGGUUAGCUGUGCAUGAGUGCACAGGGACUAAGAUAAGGACUUGUCAAAUAAAAUGAGCCUCUUCCAUUUGAAUGAAACUAAAGAUUUGGUCAUUUUCAAAAAUAAAAAAUAUUAAUUUAUGACAGUAACUGAUAGCGACUAAUUUUUCUUCAAUUUGUAAAUCAGUGACUACUAUUAAGUCGUAGUUGCAUAAAUUUUAGAAUAACAAAAAAUGGUUAGUGUUGAGCUGUCAAAGCCAUCAAAUAAAGGGGUAAAAGUAAUUCCUUAAACACUACUACUUUGUACUAAAAAUGUAAUACAAGGUAAGUAGGGUCGAUCCAUAGGAACACGAGAUAAAUGCUUAUACCCUUUUUGCAUAAGGUACAAAUGAUAUCACAAAAGAGGGGGGGGGGAUUUUAAUUCAAAUAAAAGACUGAAAAUUUUAGUAAACAAUUGAUCAAAUAAAAUGAAAUCAAGGUUUAUAAAAUACUCCAACUCAAUGUAAGACUAAUUAGAAAUGUGAUUCAAAGUAUGAAAUGAUAUUUCUUUAAUUAUAUAUAAGUUGGUACUUAGAAUUGCUAAGAAGCUCUAGCCAUUCACAUUCACCAUUUUAAUUAAUCAAAAUAAGUUCUUUGAUUAAUUCUAAUCUAACCAAUCUAAUCUAAACAAGUUCUUAGAAUUAGAUGGAAAGAUUGCAUUAUGCUUUGUGUGAAUUUUACCAACAACAUUCAAUACUCCUCAUAAGCUUGGGAAUAUAAGAAUGUGUGAAUUUGAUUUACACCAGAUUUAUUCUAAGAAAGUUCAGUCUAGUGUUUGUUACUUGUUCUAUAUGACAAAACAAUUACGGAUUUUGCAUAUUAAUUAACUUGAAUGAAUCAACCCUAACUCAAUUAGCCAAAAAGAACUAGAAUUGAAAUCAAACCUUCAAUUAAAACAAAAUCAACAUCACUAGAUAGCAUUUAAAACAAACACCAAGUCAAAUGAUUGAAUUCAAAUCACGCACAAUACCUAAUACAUGAAGUUGGAGAAUUAAGUUUCUAGCCACUCAUGACUAGAACAAAACACAAACCUAGAAAUUGAAAUUAAAGUCUUACAAAUUGAAAUCCAACUAAAAUCCAAUUGUUUCCAAGUGACAAUUGCCUUCAAAAUGCUCCCCUAAAUUGCCUCCAGAAUUCACAAAAUCGACUUCCUUUCUAAUGGAACCGGUUGCACCUUUUUAGAAAGAAGAUAAAUUGUUUAAAACUUACAACCUCGUUUACACGACCCGUGUAAAUUAACACUACCAUUUACAAGGCCGUGUAAACACAAAAACUAUACUGCUUAAUUUUUUCAUGCCUUCAAAGUACACUACUCGUGAGUAUGCAUUUACACGACCUGUGUAAACACAAGGCUUCCAUUUACACGGCCGUGUAAAUCUCUGAAUAUUCAAAACCUUAUUGUCAUUGAUAUCUUCCUCCUCGGUACUCUGCAAGUCCCGAAACUUCAUCUACAUCCUUAAUUCAUCUCUCCAAGUAAGAUCCUACCUCCAAAAAUCUAUGAAAUAUCAUAAAAGUGUGUGAAUGAAAUUGCCUCAUGAAAAAUCCCGAAAAACAUGCAAAAUACAUGAGGUUCAGCCUAUAUGCAAUGCACUUUUAUGAAGUAAAACUACAAAAUGGGUGCAUAAAAUGAACCUAACAAAUCUCCCCAAGCUUAAACCUUUCUUGUCCUCAAGAAGGCACAAAAAAAUUUAGAAAGGAGAAAAUAAAAGUAAAGAAGAGAAACAAAAAUCAAAAUCAAAACUUUUGAAACCUAAUGCAAAAAAAAAAAAAUCAAAACAAACAUGAAAAAGAUCCAACCCAAUUAUCCUUGUUUUUGUAGCAUAGAUGAGAAUGUACAUGUCAUGCCUUGAGUCAACUUGGCUUUAGUCUCAAAAUAUUAUACAACAAUAGAAAUAACACUUUUAGCCACUCCCUAAUGCAACUCAACAGAAUCAAAGAUCACAACAGUUGUUCCCUCUCAAAAGCAUCAAGUCAAUUCAUGGAACAAAUUGUGGUCUUACUCUCGUGAAAUUGUAUGUGACAGAACAUGCUCAAUCAUCUUUGUUUUACAAAAUAUGACAAUGAACAAAUCUAACUAUUUGUUGAUUAACAACAAUCUUUUUCUAAAAAAUAUCUUCUAAAAAUUCCCUAGUAUUUACCCAGAUUGGUUACAAAUUUCAAACCACUUACACUAGUCAAAGUAAUUAACAUUCAGUCCUAAUGUCAUAAGUUCAAAUCCAAGUCCAAAGGAAUCUUUUGGCAGCUAAACAUUUUUCCUAAACAUAUUACUCAAUUAAAAUAUAAUUACAAAUAUAUACAAACUUUAUAAUUACAUUUUCCUACAAAUAAAGCGCAUGAUUUUCUUUGAAAUCCGUGUAACGAGCUUUCAACCAACACAUCCAGAUCAAAUGACCUUAGUGUGCUAGAUUUAAAACGAUCCAUCGGGUUUACUUGCCCGAACCUCAAAGGCCACAAAUUAGAUUUUUUUGGGUUCCUAUAUAUAUAUAUAUAUAUAUNNNNNNNNNNNNNNNNNNNNNNNNNNNNNNUAUAUAUAUAUAUAUACAUAUUGUUAUUAUUAAGUUCAUGAAUUUCUAUGGAACCUGUGUAGCGAACUUUCAACCCAAUCAGUUUCAAACUAUUCAGAUUUAGGUGAUUAGGUGUAGAACACCUCUCGGAGUUUACUCAUUCAAGUUCCAAAGGUCAAAUUAAAAUAAUAAUAAUUUUUUUUAAACAAAGAUAACACAUAACACUCUUAUAAACUAAUAUGCUAGGCCUAUUUCUUUAUAUUUUCGUCCUUGAAUUUUCUAUUGUGGGAUACCUCAAGGUCUAUUACCGUGAGGGACUUCUAGACAUUUUUUCGGGGGACUGAAGUCAGCAUAUAAAGAUUCGUAAGUAUAGUUGGAUACUAUGUCCCCAAGCAGGGUAUAUAAAAGGGAAUGAGUAGAAAGGACUUUUUAGAGCGCUGGAAGGCUCGGGACACUGAAAUUUUUUUAUUCUUUUUAUGAUUUCUUGAAUUUGACAUUUUAAGUUCAAUUGAGCACUUACUAUUCAUAAGACUAGUCAUUCGUCCCAAAGAUCGACUCAUACCUGCUGUUAUGCUCCAAUGUUGACAAUCUUCUCACUUUCUGUUUUGCACAAGUAACUUUGGGCUUCGGGAGGUGUGUUCGUGUGUGAAUAGAUUGAUUUUAGAUUUUCAAUAAAAAGAGCAAAUAUAAUCUCAAGGCAUACGAUUCACUUACCAGCUCGACUGUUUUGAGAAGAUUCGAUUGCUUGGGAUUGAAUCAACAUUUUUUUUAAACAUGAAUAGAAUGCAAAAAUUAAGAUGCAAAAUGCAAAAAAUAAUAAAAAUAGAAUAGAAAGAAAAUACUUGUAGUUUUUGAAAAAUUUAAUAUGCUGAAAACGAGAGAAGUAUAAAAAUAAAAAUAAAAAUGAGAAAGAAAAACAGAAUUAUGCAAUAUGUACACAACUGCAACCUACAUGCCACAAGAUCUAUGCAUGGAUGUAUACCUCUCCCCAAGCUUAAAAUAUAACAUCGUCCUCGAUGCUUGUAGAGAGGCAUAGUCGUCCUAUUGAGGGCCGGGCGGUGCUGGAUGUGGUGGGAACUAUGGAGGGUAGUAGGGCUGAUAACCAGUAGGAUAAUAUAGGGGCCACUAGGGUUGAGAUGUUGAUGGUUGUUGGUGUGGUGAAAGGACAAGUACUCGGUGGAGGUCGCUCAUCAAAUAGGGAAUAUUGUGGUUGUGUUGCUCUUGAGUUGCCCAUCUCUAAUCAAACUCAGCCCACCGCAACUCCUGUUGGGCCCAACGCUCCUCCUGAAGAUUACGGUAGUCCUGAAAUUCCGAAGUAUGUUCAGCAACACCCGUUUAAAUCUAUCCCACCUCCUGCAGUUGGCUCAUGUAAUGGUGGUCUAAGCGUGCAAACUCGCCCAUGUAGAUGUUGUGUUCGGGAAAAGGAAUGGGGCGAGGUGAGCUGGAAGCACCUGCAGUUGAAGCAGGAGUUUGAGGAAUGGUGGUUGGAGGUCUACGGGCUACAAUAACACCCAAGUUGGACUGGAGGUGACAAUUGGUAGAUGAGAUGUCAUUGGCCAAGGCUAAUAUCUUCUUAUUUUGGUUGUCAAUGCAUAGAUAUUCUUUACCAUCGACGGUCCAAUGAACAUCCCAAUUGAAAUUGCGGUGAAAGAGGUGCAUGGUCUCCAUAACAUCAAUAGACAGACGAGUGCGGCCGGGAAUAAUAUCGGCUGGGUUGUUUGGUAGGUGGAGGCCAAGAUGUUCAGCUCUAAUAGAAACCAUUCCGCCACAAUAAAGCUGGCCACCAUUACUCAUGGAAUUUCUGAGCUUUUUUGAAUUACCCAACACCCGAAGUGAGGAACUUCCUCAGGCUUGUGAAUCAUGCAUCACAGGACUUCCAAUUCUUUCUUGUUUGCCUUGCUAAUCUCUUCUUAAGGAAACAGGAGAGAAGCAAUGAUCUAGUGUGUGACCUUAAGAACCGGAUGAAUGAUACUGGAAGCCUUUUUCGUGCCCGACUGAAACUCGUAUUCACAAGAGAUGGUCUCCAAAAUCUUCCACAACUUUGUGUUGAGUCCAUUUGUGUUGCGACUUGGGCCAUAUAUUUUGUUUCCGGAUUGGGCCUGUCCAUCCGUGUCUAUCUAGAUUAGUUUCGUUGUUAUCUAGAUUAGCUGUUAGGCUUAUAGUAUAUAUAUGCAUGCAUGUAUGCGUAUAUUAAAGAGAGUGUGGUUAAUCACGUUGAUUCUUGUAACCCUAAACACCUCUACAGAUUGAAGUUCUUUGUCGAGCUCUUCUGAGGUGUUAUCACAUUAAUCAUACGACAUAUUCAAUGCCAUACUUGUGUUCUUUAUUACGUUCUUAUUUAAUAUUCUGCUUAGAAUCAUACGAUCCUAAAAGAACUUUGUUCUAACAAUUGGUAUCAGAGCAGGAGACUGUGUGAUCAAUACACAUUCCUUCUGUAUUCAUAAUACUUUAGGGUUUCCGCUUUUAUCGUAUAAAUAGAAGCCGUCGUCUUCAUAUCGACGACAACUCUGUUUUUGAUAAAACCCUAAUCUCAAGUUUACAGGUUUGAUUCUAGCAGCUCACCAUGUCUCACGAUGAUUCGCAUACAAACCCCAUUAACAUCUCAAACAGCAUCGGAUCAACAACCAGAGUACCCAUACUCUAUACUCAAGACUACGAAGUAUGGGCUCAUCACUUUGAAGAUUAUGUGGUUGGAUAUGAAGACAAUGGCUAUCUCAUCUGGGAAGCUAUCACUCUUGGACCGUUUGUACAUUUGGGAACAAACACAACUGUUAAGUCGCAAACGGAUUACAACAAGUUGGUGACGGAUGUUGAGAAGAUGCCACAGGAUGAGAAGGAAAAGCUCUUGUGUAACGUUAAAGCCAUGCAAAUGAUAAGAGUCGCCCUGCAAUCUGACACCUUUCGGCUAGUAGGUUCAUGCACAACUGCUAAAGAGAUCUGGGAUAGGUUGAAGGAACUUUACUCAACUGAUGAAGAUCUGGAACACUCCCUUCAAACUCUGUUACUGUCAGAAUUUGGAGUUUUCGAACAAAAACCUGAAGAGAAGCUUGUACAGACAUUUGAUCGGUUAAAUCAUCUCCUCAGUAAGAUGAUCAAGCAUGGGAUAUAGAGAAAGCUAAUCAAACAGAAAGUAACGUUCAUGAACGGGCUGAGACCAGAAUGGAUGGCUGUGGUUUCCACUAUGAAGGUGCAUGAACAGUUCAAAUCGUACUCGCUGGCGAAACUAGUAGGUAUACUAAAGUCUCAUGAAAGUGUUGUAACCAAGGAAGCGAAAGUGGUCUCUGGUGUGGGAUCGUUGGCUCUUGUUUCUAAAGGAAAAAGUACUGCAGAAGAAGAAGAAGAGCCAGACAUUUCAGAGUGCGACCUUACAAGUGAGGAAUAUGCCUUGAUGGUCACAAAUCCAAAGAAAUUUGCAAGGAGAAAAUUUCCCGUCAGCAAGAACCGAAACUGGCAGGGAAGUUAUAGUUCUGAAAAAAAUGAAGGAUGAACCGAAAGUCUCCUCUCAAAAGGAUGAAGAGAAAAAGGAGAGCAAGCUUGUUGGAGACUCUGGAUACGACUGCAACUAUUGUCACGGCAGGAACCAUUUCUCCAAAGAUUGCAUGUUGAGAAAGAUGGCUGAGAAAAGAGAGGGGGAAGAUGAUGAGGCGUAUUAUAUGUGAAAAUUAGAAGUAAAGAAGAAAAAGGCGUCCAACAACUCGAUAAAUGCCUUAAUCGUACAGGAGAAUGUUGGGGAAGAUGAGUUCGGUGGCGUAGAAGUCUGGUCAACCGACUCUGAAGACGAAGAGGUUAGAAGGCCCACUCAUGGAAAGCGUGUGUGGAAAAGAAUGAAGGUUCGGGUGGAAAGUGCUUUAUCGUCACUGCUGGUCCAUCAACUGAAAGUGCAGAUACGAAACCGAACCUGACAGAAAACAAGUGUUUUGCGGCUAAGCCGGUGAGUGAGAAGAUCAAUGGCUGCGAUCGAUUGAUCAAAAAGGUACAUUCUAUUCUUGAGUCUCUUAAAAUUUCAAAAACUGAUUAUCAAGAAGAAUUAAAUGAAUUAAACUUUAAAUUUUCUAACCUAAGUAGUAGCCUCAUGCAAACCCGCUUAGCGAAUUCUAACCUAACUGACCAACUCGGCAGAGUGUAUUCAAAAAGUGAGGAAAGGAGAAUGUGGAUUAAGCUGAAGGAAGCGGAGUUAGUUAGAGCUAGGGAUGAAAGUAUUUAUUUGCAAAGAGACAAUUUAAAGUUAUUAAAACAAAGAAAUGUUUUCUGUUUAAUUGCUAAGCGUCUUUAUACUAAUAUUACUCAAUUACAUUUAAGCUGUGAAAUUGGAAAGAAAAUUCAUAAAAUGAUUUUGCCCUUUCUUGAAUUUAAGGAAGAUGAAGUUAUAGCAGAAUGUGAAUCAGAAGUGUCCUCUAAAGAGACAUCAAGUUCGUAUAGGCUAGAUUUGGAUAAGACAGAAACCUUCAUCGAUUCUAAGGAACAUAAGAGUAUGUUAAAAAUAUCUUAGAUGGAAAUGAUAGGCAAAAGAUUAAAACUGAAACUAUACAAACAUUCGAUCGGUCAAAUGCCAAAAUUGUUAAAGAUAAUAAAAUAAACUUAGAUAAUUUGUCUGAAUUUGAUGCGGAAAGCGAGACGAGUGAAAUCUCAGUAGAGGAUGAAGUUGAUUGCUCUAAGUUUAUGAAAAAUGAAACCAAGAAUGAAAAACCUCUUAUAUCAGAAAACUCCGUUGAGUUUGCUCGUCUGUCAAAAGAACAAAAACCAAAACUCAAGGAAAAGGCCUUGGUCUAUCAAAAAGUUCAGACCGUGCCAAAUCAGGUUUAUGCUGUGACUGGGGUCACUCAAAGGCAAACGGCAGAAUUAAGAAUCAUAGUUGACGAAGAUAACGCUGAAGGAUGCGAAGACUAUUUCUGGUCUGCUCCUGUUGACAACGCAGAAGAGACUGUGGGACUAUCUGAGAAAACCACAUGGAGAGUCAAAGGUAGAUACAUACCAGAACCCAUCAACAAACCCUCCUGUUUCGACAUUCCAAGCUCAAGUGGAUCCAAAGAUGUUCCUGAGGAACCAAUGGUUGAACCUGUUGUUCCAAUCAAGAGGGAAGAACCGAAAGUUCAAACUGAGAAGAGUACAGAAUCUAAAAUGAAAGGUAAGACAACUGCAACUCAGAAGGAGAAACCAAAGGCCAGCUUCAAUGUUCACAAAUCUCAGAAGGAGUUAGCUGAACAGAAACGCUUGAGAAAUCAGAGAUAUGCCACGAAUCUGAAUGAAAGGAAAAGGCAUUGGAAUUCUCUAAAUCCCAACUAUGAGCCUCCCAGGAAAGGAUCCAUGGACAAGGGAAAGGAAAAGUUGAAGGAAAAUUUCAGUCCAAAUUCCUACUAUUCCAAAUCCCAGAACCGAAAGUCAUGUCUCGGUCCUGAACCCAUUUUUGGUUCUCGACCUAGAUUCGGUCCUCAACCUAGAUUCGGUCCUCGACCCAGAUUCAGUUCUAAUCCCAGAUUCGGUCCCAAUCCUAGUUAUGGAUCCUCCAAGUCCCAAGUUGAAACAAAUUCUUUAAAGGAAAUCAAAGGAAAAGCAAAGCUGGUAUCAGACUCUGAGAAGGAAAAUAAGAAAUCCUCCACUAAACCUAGGAAUCAAACGAAAAAUCCUAAACCAUCAAAAACAAACCCAACUAAUACACCAAAAUUUAAAGAAGAUAAAACAAAAAUCAAUGUGUAUACCAUUAAAAGAAAAGAUCAAACCACUCUUAUUAAACGAACUUAUUUAGUUGAUGUUUCUGUAGUAAUUCCUUUCUCUGUGAAAAACUCACCAGGACCCAAGAAACUUUAGGUUCCUAAAUCUGCUUAAAUUUGUAGGUAAUCAGUGACGAGCAGUUUGACGACGAAUGGUAUAUAGAUAGUGGCUGCUCACGUCACAUGACAGGGAGGAAGGAGGAGCUGAGAGAGUUUCGGUCCCUGAAAGAUGGUGGGUCUGUGAAGUUUGGAAACAAUUCCUAUGGAACAAUCAAAGGAUACGGCAUGAUAUCUAAUGGAGACUUCUCGAUCAGAAAGGUGGCUUAUGUAGAAGGAUUGCAACACAAUCUCAUCAGCGUGUCGCAAUUAGUUGUAGGCACAGGUUUGAAGGUAUCAUUCGAUGAUGAGGGGUCUGAGAUAAUGGAAAAACACGAACUAUCUUAACCCAAUUCGAGGGACACCAACUAUCUGUCUGCUGUCAAAGGCAAACACCGAUGAAAGCUGGUUAUGGCAUCGACGUCUAUCACACCUAAAUUUCAAAGACAUCAACAAAUUAGUGAUUGGUGAUCACGUUCAAGGCCUUCCUCUUCUCAAGUUCGAAAAGGAGCAUUUAUGUGCAGCAUGUGAGAUGGGUAAACAGAGCAGAAGAAGCCACCCUACACACAUUAAUACUAAGAUAGUGGAACCACUUGAACUGUUACACAUUGAUUUAUGUGGACCUUCUGCUAUAGAGAGUAUCGGUGGAAGUAAGUACAUUCAUGUCAUUGUAGAUGAUUUUUCACGCUUCACUUGGGUUUUCUUUCUUAAGCAGAAAUCAGAUGCUAUUCCUAAGCUGAAGGCAUUCAUCAAGCAAGUGGAAGUACAACUAAAGAAAACGGUGAGGACUUUUUGGCUGAUAAGGGGAUAACUCACAAUUUUUUGGCCCCUUAUACACCACAACAGAAUGGGAUUGUUGAAAGACGAAACUGCUCGUUAUGUUAAGCAGCCAGAACCAUGCUAAGUUUCGCUUCCCUACCUUUAUACUUCUGGGCUGAUGCAAUUGCCGUUGCAUGCUAUACUCAUAAUCGGUCCUUACUCAACAAGAGAUUCUCCAUAACUCCUUAUGAGAUCUUAAACAAUAGGAAGCCGAAUGUCAAAUUUUUCCAUAUCUUUGGUUCAAGGUGCUUUAUUCUUAAUUCUAAAGAGAACCGAAAUAAGUUUGAUGUUAAAGCCGAUGAGGGCAUAUUUCUGGGUUACUCUCUGUCAUCAAAAGCAUACAGGGUGUUGAAUAAGUAUUCCAAAAAAAUUGAAGAGACUUAUUAUGUCACCUUUGAUGACAAUUAUAUGCCGAAGGUUCAAAGGACCGACAGUGCCCUAGGAGAUAUAUUCCCAGAAUCUGGACAGGUCUCGGUUCCAAUAUCGAACCUGUUUGAGGAAUACAUUCGGCUAUUCGAUGAACUAGAAAAAGCAAUUCAUUCAGAGGCAACGGCAGCAGAUAACAAACUCGACAAUCUCAAGAAGGUCAUAGACGAAGCUACUAAAGAGAUGAAGAGUGAACAACCAAGUACUAAGUCAUCAACAAGCUCUCCAAACAAAGAUUCAAUGUUCCAGGGGGAGAGCUCUACAAAUUCAAAGACAACCGAAGUUUCUGUUGAGGGGGAGAAUCCAAGUUCAUCCCCAACAACUAAAGGUUCAGAUGAUAGGGAAAAUACCGAUCCAAAACAAACAAGUGAUAGUCAAAUCGAGGGGGAGAAACCAACCUCCACAAGAAAUGCAGACUCUAAUGCUGACAGAGAUUUCACUUCGCCAGUCGAGGGGGAGAAGGAGAAAGAAAGUGAUAGUUCUACUGAUGAAGGUGAGGGUGAUCUGUCAGAUGUUGAAAUAGAAGUAGAAGCUGAAUUGAAUCCAGAAUAUGAUCCAAGCUAUCCUCCAUUAGUGAAAUGGACAAAGGACCAUCCCAAAGAGCAAAUUAUUGGUGAAACCUCAGAAAGUGUUCUUACUCGAUCUCAACUGAAGGCGAAACAAACUGCAUUAUUCUCUAAAGUGGAAUUUUGUAUGUUUAAUUCGUUUAUUUCCAAAAUUGAGCCGAAAACUGUAAAUGCUGCACUUGAUCAUUCAGAUUGGGUUCAAGCAAUGCAGGAUGAGCUCCAUGAGUUCGAACGCAACAGAGUCUGGAGGUUGAUUCCUACACUGAAAGAUGCUUCUGUUGUCGGCCUGAAAUGGUGUUUAGAAAUAAGCUGGACAAAGAAGGGAAUGUCAUUCGUAACAAGGCUCGGUUGGUGGUAAAAGGUUAUUGUCAAGAAGAAGGGUUAGAUUAUGAAGAAACCUUUGCUCCAGUAGCAAGGUUAGAAUCUGUCAGAAUCUUUCUUGCAUAUGCUGCUCACAAGAACUUCAAAGUUUUCCAAAUGGAUGUCAAAUGCGCUUUCUUCAAUGGAGAAUUAGAAGAAACCGUUUAUGUUGAGCAACCGCCUGGUUUUGUGAAUGAAAAAUACCCUGAUCAUUGCUAUGUGCUGGAUAAAGCUGUCUAUGGGCUAAAACAACCACCGAGAGCCUGGUAUGAAAUGCUAACUCGCUUCUUGAAAAUGUCGAAAUUUAAACAAGGUUCGGUUGACCCAACCUUCUUUCGUAAGAAGGAAGGCGAACAUUUGAUGAUUGUUCAGAUUUAUGUUGAUGAUAUCAUCUUCGGCUCCACGAAUCCUAGCUUAACAGCUGAAUUCAGGAAGUUGAUGGAGACUAAAUUUGAAAUGAGCACAAUGGGUCCAAUUAACUUUUUCCUUGGUUUGAAUAUUAGACAGGGACCAGAAGGUAUCUUUAUAAACCAGGAAGCAUACACCAAGAACUUACUGACAAAAUUUGGAAUGAAGGGUGAUUCAAAAGUGAAGGUUCCUAUGGCAUUUGGCACUAAGCUAACCCCAUCUUUGGAGAAACCUGUUGUGGAUAUAACACUUUAUCAUCAAAUGAUCGGGUCCCUUAUGUAUCUAACAACUAGUAGACCAGAUAUUAUGUUUUCUGUUUGUUACUGUGCCAGGUUUCAAGCCAAUCCAAGAGAACCUCACAUGCUUGCUGUGAAGAACAUUUUUCGAUAUCUGAAGAAAACUUCAUCUCUCGGUCUCUGGUAUCCUGCAAGAUUUGGAUUCUUCAUCCAAGCCUUCUCUGAUGCUGAUCUAGGAGGAUGUGGACUGGACAGAAAGAGUACUACAAGUGGAUGCCAAUUUUUUGACGGGAAACUUGUUAGUUGGCAGUCCAAGAAACAAACCUGUGUUUCGUUAUCCACAGCCGAAGCUGAAUAUAUUGUUGCAGCAUCUUGCACCUCUCAAGUGGUUUGGAUUCAAAGUCAACUAAGAGAUUAUGGGCUAAGUAUGAAGAAGAUUCCUCUCUAUUGCGACUCUGAAAGUGCAAUUAGGAUUUGUCAUAAUCCAGUGCAACACUCAAAAACCAAGCACAUUUCACUUAGGUAUCAUUUCAUCAAGGAUCAUGUAGAAGAUGGGAACGUGGAAGUACACUUUGUUCGAUCUGCUGAUCAACUGGCCGACAUCUUUACUAAAGCCUUACCAGAGGCAACCUUUAACAAAAUCUUACAAGGCUUGGGCAUGAUGGAAGGAGAGUCGGUACCGAAUCCUCAAAUCUCUCAUUAAAAAAAAUUAGACAACCGAAAUGGACAGACCGCUCGGUCUAUUUCGGCUCUAGACUUUUAGGGAACCGAAAUGGACAGACCGCUCGGUCUAUCUCGGCUCCGUAAUUUUCUGGAACCGAAAUGAACCGAACGCUCGGUCUAUUUCGGUUCACUCAUUUAAAGAUAAGGUUUCGGUUGUAUAUUCUGUGCAUAUCUUUCUUUUGAUUUGAACUUAAUUAUUUUAUCAUUCUGUUUUUUAUUCUUUUUCAGAAAAUUUCAAAAAUCCAAAAAUAUUCUAUCUUUCUGUUUUUAUUCUUUUUCAGAAAAUUUCAAAAGUCCUUAAUUAUUUUAUCUUUCUGUUUUUUAUUCUUUUUCAUAAAAUUUCAAAAAUCCAAAAUAUUUUAUCUUUCUGUUUUUAUUAUUUUUCAGAGAAAUUCAAAACUUUCACUAAGUUUUAUUUGUCUCGUAUGUUUGUCUGUUUGGUUUGUUUGGUGUGUUUCUUUACUUUUCAUAGGUGAUAUGAAUACCCGUAUAACCGACUGUGGAUCUAAGGAAGGUAUGAUUCAAUUUCAAAAUGAACUAGUUAAGGGUCCCUAGAAGCAUGCUGCUGCAUGUUGUCUUAAGCCUCUACGAUCUUGAGCAGGCCUUAAUGAUUCGAUCUACACCUAUCGUUUCUUCCAAAUUAGGAUAAUUUAUAUUGCUCGUUCUAGAGCUACUUUACUCUUCUCAUAUGAGUUAAGAGUUUCUCUGCUUUGUCAGGAUUAUCUAGCAGAAGGUAAAUUUGGUUCUUUAGCCACCUCCUAAUAUUCUCCAUCUACUUUCGGUUCACCAAAGUAACCCUUAAGACUCUCGGUCUUUACCACUGAGGUUUAUGGUUACACAACAUCUGUGUUUGUGAUCUUAGAUACGUUUACCACGUGCUGAGUGAAACCCAAUAUCCAACACCAAAAAUGAAUUGACGGUGAAUUAUAUAUUCAAGAACUUACUGGUUACCUAAGGAAAUCUCUCUUUUUAUUUUUGUGUGAUCUUUUAUGAAAUUGUCUACUACCAAGGAAUUUCUUCCUAAAGAGAUCCAUUUUUUUUUUGAGAUUUCUGAUUUCUCCAUAGUCACUAAAACAAUAAAUUCCACCUACCUGUUCUACAAACCACAUCGGUCUCACAGGUACUUCUUCCAACGUUCGGUUUUAUGUUAAAACUCGAAGUUCGGAUGAAGAUAAGCUACCCUAAGCCUAUGAUUAAAAGAAGCCUUUCAAUGUUUAUUAACAAACAGUUGAUCGUAUUUUUCGGGAAACCACACAAGCACUUCAAGUCUCUCUUGACUUUGAAGGAAGUGAUUCUUGCCCGGAAUCCUCUGCUUUUUGUCUAAUAAUAACACAUCAUUCACAUCCCAUACACAUUUGAUUUGUUUCUUUAUCUUUGUCACACUUAUGCACGAAAUUUUUUAUUUUCCAACAUUCUGGUUACUGUUUGGUUUGAGUUUUGGGUUAUCUAUUGCAACCAAACAAGGGGCUAUUGUGGAAUUUCAAAUGCUGAUUGAAGAUAAGAUUUAGGCGCAUGAAUUUGAACGGUUUCUCAAGCCAUGCGUGUUGACGUAUACCUGGGAGUAACCACACUGUCACAUCGCGCUUUUUCAGGUGAAGUUUUAGUGAUCUCAUCAUAAUCAUCACAGUUUUCUCUCUCCAGGCAAUGGUAUAUAAAAGAGUUGAACAUUUUAUUUGUCUUUUACCAGCAUUCAAUUCUCUCAAACUUAAACGACAAGUAAACACUAUUCAUCUUCUUCUUCAUUCAUCAAUGGCGACUUCCUCUUCAGUACAUGAACACACGACAUCAUCAUCCUUGCUCACCAUUAAACCUAACCAAAAUAUGAUNCUCACCAUUACCUAACCAAAAUAUGAUCAUCGAACUUAAUCCGUUCUUGUAUGACUCAUAUAUGUUGCAGGUUGUGGAAUAUUUAAAAUAAUCCCCUUGGUUUUAGCCCUAACCCAGGUUGAAGUAGUCUGAUGAGAUUUGUAAUCGAGUUUAAUGAUCAAAUCACGUAAGAAUUAAGAAAUAAGAAAUACGAUGAACACGAGAGUAAAUAUAAUAUUUGAUCAGCUCAUAUUAUGCUUUCGAUUUUACAGAGUACAAAAGAAUUCUCUGUAAAGAGUAUGUGAAAAGUUGAGUUCUCACUCAGUACAGACUCCUAUUUAUAGGUAAACAAAAGCAUAACAAAAUACUAAGGACUAGACAUUAAGACUUCAAUACAAUGCCUUAGUAAAUAUAACAUUACAUCCGAAGACUCUACUUACAAAGACUAGAGAUCCUUCGUAACAACAAAACUAACACUUUGACUUAUUACAACAUUUAUACCCUAACAAUCUCCCCCUUUGGAAUUAAGGUCGAAGUCUUCAUGAAGUUAGUAGUUGAACAACAUACAUCAGCACUCUUCGGAUUUCCAUGUAUCAAGAGAUAACAUUCUUUAUCUCCUUCUUGUCUCCUUCUGAAUUCUUCUUGCAAUGAUUCAUACGAACAAUUAAGUUCGUAUAUUGCGAAUUUGUAUAUCUUUCCACUUCAGAGGCUUGAAACAAGAAUCUCUUGGCUCUUCCAGCUUUAUCUUUUCCUACGAAGACUAUCCCCAAUGGCUUUAAGCAUAUUUCUCUGUCUUCGUACUUUUUCAACUCAACCUGCUUCUUCGUAGGAGCCAUUGGUGUUGUAAUGUCGAUGCCUUUAACAGUAGCAAGCUCGACAUCAGUUUGAGCUAGGCAUUCGAAAUAAUUCUCCAAGAAAAUUUUUAUAUGCCUACACCCAAGACUGAAGACAUCUGGUUCUGUUUCUUGGAGGAAAGAAAAGGACUUGUCUUUAAGGAUCAGAGCAACAUUGAUGAGAUCGUAAGUGUUCAUCAAUGGAAAGUCCGCCACAUUGAACUCUUGUAUCUUUCCACUUGCUCUUGUCACAACAUACUUCAAAUUCUGAAACUUUCCUUCGAAAAUAACAUCCCUUUUUAUGGAUAUCACCUUCUUAAUCUUCUCCAAGAACCAAACUUCUUCUUGAGCCUUUGCUAACACUGCAUGAAAUCGAAUUUUCAUCUUCUUUCCCUCUUCGACAUCCAUGUACUUUGUCUCUGAUUUAAACUGUGGCAUGACGAACAUCAUCUCAUUGAUCGGAAAAUCAAGUUGACCAUAAUUCGUAUUUGUUACCACAAAACUCUUCUUUGGAAUCUUUUCAAACGAGUACAUAUGAUCGAACAUCACCCUUGACUCAAUAGUUUCGUAGUUGAACAAUUUCGAAGGAUCCCCCUUAUCAACAUUCGAACCUUCAAGAGCUCUUUGUCGCAUAAUACUUUCCACAUGCCUCAUUCUUUCAACUUCCGCUGCCACCUCAGCUUUUAUCUCUUUGUUAGUCUUCUCAACCAAGACUCCUUUUCCUUUAUCUUUAACAUUCGAAGGAGCUGCAUUAUUUGACGAAGAAACAUUUGUAGAAACAACAUUCCCAGUUAAAAUACCUUUUGUAAUAGGUCUUGAAAUUGGAACAGUUGUAGUCACAAUCCAAAUGACUGGAGCAGCUGAAACUAUUGUUGGUUUGACCACAACUUUCGAAGGAUAAACUUUUCCUACCACCUUCGAAUCUUCAGUUUCUUCUCAUGUUCCCCAGCCUUUGCUUGAACAACCUUUUCUCCCCCUUGCACCUCUGUGACAGCAGGCGGGGCAUCUGAUACAUUCGACAAAAGGCUUGAGAUUCGAAGUAAUGGAGUAAGAUGUUUUUGAAGAAUGGCUUCGAAAUGAAUGAAUUUCUGGGAAAGAAAUUCUUGAGAGAUAAUCGGAGAAGAGGAUUUCGAAGAAAUUUCUUUGAGUUCUUUCAGCAGCUUCACCAACUCUCCGAAAUGUUGUUCUUCUGUGGCUGAAAGAGAGAUCAUCUGAGGAUUCACUGGUUCGAACAUCCUAACACAUUGAACAACCGCAUCACAAAUGAUANCCUAACACAUUGAACAACCGCAUCACAAAUGAUAUCGAUCUUCUGAUNNNNNNNNNNNNNNNNNNNNNNNNNNNNNNNNNNNNNNNNNNNNNNNNNNNNNNNNNNNNNNNNNNNNNNNNNNNNNNNNNNNNNNNNNNNNNNNNNNNNUACUAAGGACUAGACAUUAAGACUAUUCAAUAAAAUGCCUUAGUAAAUAUAACAUUACAUCCGAAGACUCUACUUACGAAGACUAGAGAUCCUUCGUAACAACAAAACUAACACUUCGACUUAUUACAACAUUUAUACCCUAACAAUCUCCCCCUUUGGAAUAAAGGUCGAAGUCUUCAUGAAGUUAGUAGUUGAACAACAUACAUCAAUACUCUUCGGAUUUCCAUGUACCAAGAGAUAACUUUCUUUAUCUCCUUCUUGUCUCCUUCUGAAUUCUUCUUGCAAUGAUUCAUACGAACAAUUAAGUUUGUAUAUUGCGAAUUUGUAUAUCUUUCCACUUCAGAGGUUUGAAACAAGAAUCUCUUGGCUCUUCCAGCUUUAUCUUUUCCUGCGAAGACUAUCCCCAAUGGCUUUAAACAUAUUUCUCCGUCUUUGUACUUUCUCAACUCAACCUGCUUCUUCGUAGGAGCCAUUGGUGCUGUAAUGUCGAUGCAUUUAACAAUAGCAAGCUCGACAUCAGUUUGAGCUAGACAUUCGAAAUAAUUCUCCAAGAAAAUUUUUAUAUGCCUACACCCAAGACUGAAGACAUCUGGUUCUAUUUCUUGGAGGAAAGAAAAGGAUUUGUCUUUAAGUAUCAAAGCAACAUUGAUGAGAUCGUAAGUGUUCAUCAAUGGAAAGUCCGCCACAGUGAACUCUUGUAUCUUUCCACUUGCUCUUGUCACAACAUACUUUAAGUUCUGAAACUUUCCUUCGAAAAUAACAUCCCUUUUUAUGGAUAUCACCUUCUUUAUCUUCUCCAAGUACCAAACUUCUUCUUGAGCCUUUGCCAACACUGCAUGAAAUCGAAUUUUCAUCUUCUUUCCCUCUUCGACAUCCAUAGACUUUGUUUCUGCUUUGAACUGUGGCAUGACAAACAUCAUCUCGUUGAUCGGAAAAUCAAGUUGGCCAUAAUCCGUAUUUGUUACCACAAAACUCUUCUUUGGAAUCUUUUCAAACGAGUACAUAUGGUCGAACAUCACUCUUGAUUCAAUAGUUUCGUAGUUGAACAAUUUCGAAGGGUCUCCCUUAUCAACAUUCGAACCUUCAAGAGCUCUCUGGCGCAUAAUACUUUCAACAUGUCUCAUUCUUUCAACUUCCGCUACUACCUCAGCUUUUAUCUCUUUGCUAGUCUUCUCAACCAAGACUCCUUUUCCUUUAUCUUUAACAUUCGAAGGAGAUACAUUCUUUGACGAAGAAACAUUCGAAGGAACUACAUUCCCAAUUACAAUACCUUUUGUAAUAGGUCUUGAAAUUGGAACAGUUGUAGUCACAGUCGAAAUGACUGGAGCAGCUGAGACUACUGUUGGGUUAACCACAACUUUCGAAGGAUAAACCUUUCCUACCACCUUCGAAUCUUCAGUUUUCUUCUCAUGUUCCCCAGCCUUUGCUUGAACAACCUUUUCUCCCCCUUGCACCCCUGUGACAGCAGGUGGGGCAUCUGAUACGUUCGGCAAAAGGCUUGAAAUUCGAAGUAAUGGAGUAAGGUGUUUUUGAAGAAUGGCUUCGAAAUGAACGAAUUUCUGGGAAAGAAAUUCUUGAGAGAUAAUCAGAGAAGAGGAUUUCGAAGAAAUUUCUUUGAGUUCUUUCAGUAGCUUCACCAACUCUCCGAAAUGUUGUUCUUCUGUGGCUGAAAGAGAGAUCAUCUGAGGAUUCACUGGUUCGAACAUUUUAACACAUUGAAAAACCGCAUCACAAAUGAUAUCGAUCGUCUGAUGUGCUGAUUCAUACCCCUGUUGAAUAUGCUGAACUUCCUUCGUCAUUUCUUCACGAAGUUCACGAAUCUGCAUAUUAACAUCUUCUCGAACCUUCUUCACUUCCUGUACGAAGAGCACAUGACGCUCCUUCGUAACCGUCUUUAAAUCUUUCACCUCCUUCGUUACCGUCUGAUCAGUCUUCUCAAGAAUGCGGCUUUCAGAAUCACUUAUUAAUCCUGACGCCUUCGAAAUCACUCUACUUUCCAUUUCCUUCAUUAAGGAAUCAACUUCCAUGAUAUUGACUCCAGCACUUCCCGCAUCCGCUUGAGAUUGCAAGAUAGAAUUCAAUUUUGAAUUCAAUAUCUUGAACUGCUUCAUCGUCAUCAACAUAUGGUCAGGGAACUCUUCUUUAGCUUUAUCAAAGGAAAGAGCUUCGAAUGUUCCUCCAAACCCUUCGUUGUCAGUUUCCUCAUCAAUCGCCAUUGUUUCAGCAACAGGUGAUGAUGGAUUUGGUGGAUCAUUUGAUUGUGUUGAGAAUAUUGUAGUGAAGGGUUGAUCCAUAAUAGAUUGGAAUGUAGGAGAAUCAGUUGUUGAAGUAACCUAUGGUAAAGACGUUGGUUCAAGAAUCUUUAUGUCAGCAGGCUUCGAAAUCUCAGUAGACUGAAGGAUUUCUACUUCUUUUGGAAUAUCAUCUUCUGCAGUUUCAGGCACUUGAUCCACUUCUUCGACACGUUGGGUUUUCUUUAAAAAUUUGGCCAUAUCUUCAGCCCUUCGCUUCUUAGAAGAUGGAGACACCGGAGCUGGAAUUUCUCGAACGGUAACUCCUUGAUGAGUAACCUGAGUUUUCUUCACCAAUUGAGAUUUGCGUUUGAUCUUUAUUCUUCGAAAAAACCCCGUCUUUGAAGGAAUCAUUUCUUUAGAUGGAGAGGCUUCGAUAACCGGUGUAUCAGCCACUGAGGUUAAAACCGGAGACACCUCUUCGACAUUUUGAGAUGUAACGAUUAGCGCCUGAUUCUUUUGUUCUUCUUUCACCCCUUUUUCCAAAGAGUCACCCUCGGUUUUCUUUGACUUCUUCAACUUCUUCUUCUCUUCUUGUUGUAAUAUCCCAGUCACAACGGUUGUGUCAAUGGAUUGUAAGUAUGACACCAACACGUUAUUCAUGGGAUCCACCUUCUUGAGCAUAGCAUCCGAAAUGCGAGCAACUGUGGUAAAAAUGGCCGGAUCAUCAUGUACCUCCUUCGGACUCCCGUACAUGUGGAAAACAGCUUUCUCUUCGUAAUCAGGAACUUCGAUCUUCUCCUUCUGAUAGACAUAUUGGACUAUCAGACUCCAAUAUCUUGCACAAGAAAUUCCCUGCUUGGCACUGGUCUUCGAAAUACUUGUGAUGAACUCUAUCCAUAACUGCUCAGAAUAAUCCACCUGCAAAUCGUAGUAUAGCACAGCUACCAUUGCAUAGACCUCCAUUCUUCCUUUAUCCAAGCCCACAGUUCUUCCAGUAAGACAUCUAAGAAAGAUGCCAAACAAAAAGUUCCAAAUGGUUGGUAACCCCGACUUCUUGAAAUCACUAAUACGUGUCAAUGGAGGUUGGUGACCCAUCUCAUUGAACAUAUACACCACUUGCGAAGAAGUAAGUUCAUCAUACGGGCCAGAAUUCGGAAUUCCCAAAAUCUUGCAAANUUUGAGACCCUAAUUCUGGUAUCUGUGACCAUUGUGAAUUCAACACAUCCAGUCUCCUUGUUGUAUGAUGCCGUAGAACCUGCUUUUGACAACCAGGACAUUGGAGCAGCAAAUGAGUCGAACAUUGCUUUAGACAGAACAGAAUUCUAUAAAGCAACCACCAGCAUGUGUAGCUCUUCCGGAUAUUUUGACAAAUCCGAUUCGACUUGGUAGUUGGAACCCUGGAUCUUCAGAAUCGGAACACUGAUGAUCUCGUCUGUUGUUGGUGAUGAAGUAGUCGCCAUUGCAGAUGAUUUUGAGAAAAAGAACUUAUGAAAAAGAUGAAUUGUACAGAGAGUUUUUGUGUUGCAGAAAGUUUGAUCGCGUAAAGUGUUAUGGAGUUCUGAUUUGCCCUUUUAUAUGUAACCCUAGAAUGUUGAAUUUGAAGCGGGAUGCAUUAAAUGCUUGCUGACAUGGCACCUUGAAAAACGGAAUGUACUCAUCAAAAAGUAACAAUCGUAACUGUCAACACGCCUUACACGCUUAUCAUACACCAUGCGUCAUCAAGAGAUAGGACUGUUUGGUAUUCCCUAAAAGAAUUGUAACCGUCGGAUGCCUUCGGAAUUGAGGUAAGGCUCUUUCACUUUGUGGUUUUUAAAAAAGCGAAGUCAUUUGCCAGAAUUUCGAAAUCGUCAGUUUAAGUUGGUGUUACUCAAACCUCAAGGAUUUCGUGUGUGCUGUGUUCCAAAAGAAAUUAGAUGAGAAACAAGGAUAAAAAAAACUUUUGAAGACUUGUGAUGUCAACAAUUUCUUUUGACACGAAAACAAUAUUAUCCCAGGCAAAGAUAUCUUCGAAAAUUAUCAAGAGAGAUAAUUAACAGCUUGUGUGGUUUCCCGUGAAUUACAAUCGAUAACUUGUAAAGAAGUUUCGAAGGGUUUCUUUUAUUGGACACAUGGGGUGGCUUCGAAAAUUUUGUUACAUAUCAACCUUAAAAUAAAGUGAGGAAUUGUAAACAAAAUUAAUUGUAUGACCAGUGUAGUCAGUGACAACUUGGUUGCGAAUGAUAUUCAAAGUAACUAGUAAUUUGAAAAUAUACUCACAUGGAAAUCAUAUUCAUAAAAAAAAUAUUUAUGCUGGAUCUUUUUGGGAACAAACAUCGUAGUUUUCGAAUGUUUGAUUAAGAUCACUCAAAAGAAAUGAAUAUGAUUUGGAGUAUAAAAGGUACAGAAGCAAAAGCUUCGUAAGAUCUGGAACAUGGUUCCCCGUCAAUUCCUUAAGGUUUAUGAUAUUUUGGGUUUCACUUCUAUCACGGACUCAUGAUAUUAGAUCAUAAACACAGAUUUGUAAUUUGUCUAGAUUUAGAUUGGUUUGAUCAAAAAUCUCAAGGACAAAUUUCUUCGAAUAUUUGGAAUGAAGAAUUGUUUGGUUUAAAAAGAUUGGAUAAGAAUCGAAGGGUACCUCUGUUAUAUUGGACAAAACAGAAAACUCUUAACUCAUUUGAGAAGAGUAAGGUAGCUCUUGUUGAUUUAUGCAAAUACAAGCCUUGUUGGGAAGAAAUUUUCAUGAGAUAAUUUCAUCAAGGCUUUCAUUUCCCAUACAUAGAAUCAUACGAGGCUUGAGACAACAUGCAGCAACAGGCUUCUAGGGACAUCCUAACUAAUCCAAAAUGAAUAGAGAUCAUACCUUUCCUUCAAAUCCAAACGCAUGAAUCCUUCGUAUUUGAGACUUGACAAAACUCACAAUUCACAAGUUACAACUAAAAAAUGAAAAAUAUUUUUGGUAUUUUUGUAAUUUUUCAAAAAAAAAUUAAAGACAAACUGAAACACAAUCUAUUUGGAUUUUUAAUUUUUUCAAUAAAAGAAAAUAUUUUUGAUUUUUUCAGGUUUUUCAAAAAAAAAAUUAACAAAAUAAAAAUCUAACCUUAGUUGAAAUGUGUACAAAUACGAAGCAUUCGAACCGUUGACUUUAACAGUAACCUCUGAUUAUCUAUUUCAAAACUUCUGAAUGCGAAGCGUUCGAAGCGUUGACCAUGAACAGUAACCUCUUAAUAUCUUUUUCAAAACUUCCGAAUGCGAAGCGUUCGAAGCGUUGACCAUGAACAGUAACCUCUGAAUACACCAAAUUAUUCAGAUCCAUCACUCUUUGCUUUUAUCAGUUUGAAGAGAAUUUCCAUCAAUCAUUCCCAAACCAUCUAAGAUUCGAAGAAACGAUUUUUCAUCCAAAGCCUUUGUAAAAAUAUCUGCCAAUUGGUCCGUUGUUUUUACAAAAUGAACUUCAAUAUUUCCUUCUUCAACAUGAUCUUUGAUGAAAUGAUAUCGAAGAGCAAUGUGCUUGGUCUUCGAAUGCUGCACAGGAUUAUGACAAAUUCUUAUUGUACUUUGUGAAUCACAGUAUAAAGGAAUCUUUUUUCAUAUUAAUUACAUAAUCUCUUAAUUGACUUUGAAUAUCCAAAUUAUUUGUGAUGUACACGCAGCUGCAGCAACAUAUUCAGCUUCAACGGUUGAUAUUGAAACACAUGUUUGCUUCUUCGAUUUCCAGCUGACCAGCUUUCCAUCUAGCAAUUGACACCCACCAGUUGUGCUUUUACGAUCAAGACUGCAUCCUCCAAGAUCCGCAUCCGAAUAAGCUUGUACAAAGAACCCUGUUUUCGAAGGAUACCACAAUCCUAACGAAGUAGUACCUUUCAAAUAUCGGAAAAUAUUCUUUACUGCUGUGAGAUGUGGUUCACGUGGAUUUGAUUGAUACCUUGCACAAUUACAAACAGAAUACAUAAUAUCAGGUCUACUUGCAGUUAAAUACAAUAAAGACCCAAUCAUGCUUCGAUAUAAAGUAAUAUCAACAGCAGAUUUAUCUAACGAAGGAGUUAGCUUUAUGCCCGUUGCCAUUGGUAUUCGUAACCUUGUGCUAUUUGUCAUUCCAAACUUUUCCAACAAAUUCUUCGUAUAUUUCUCUUGAUUAAUGAAUAUGCCUUCCCUGUUUUGUCUAAUAUUCAAACCCAAAAAGUUAUUAAUUUUGCCCAUCAUACUCAUUUCAAAUUUGCUUUUCAUCAAAUCUUCGAAUUCUUUAGAUAAAGCAGGGUCAGUUGAGCCAAAAAUUAUAUCAUCAACAUAAAUUUGAACAAGCAUCAGAUGAUUUCCAAUUUUCUUUCGAAAUAAAGUGGGAUCAACUGAACCUUGUUUAAAUUUAGAUUGUUUCAAAAAUGAUGUUAGAGUUGCAUACCAUGCUCUUGGUGCUUGUUUUAACCCAUAUACAGCUUUAUCUAAAAUAUAAACAUGAUCAGGAUGCUCUGAGUUUAUAAAACCUGGAGGUUGUUCAACAUAUACCGUUUCUUCGAGUUCUCCAUUUAAGAAUGCACAUUUGACAUCCAUUUGAUAGACAUCAAAAUCUUUAUGAGCUGCAAAAGCCAGAAAAAUACGAACAGCCUCGAGUCUUGCGACAGGGGCAAAUGUUUCUUCGUAAUCAAUUCCUUCUUGUUGAGAAUAUCCUUUAACAACAAGUCUGGCCUUAUUUCGAAUAAUGUUUCCAUCUUUGUCAGUUUUGUUUUUAUAAAUCCAUUUAAGUCCAACAACUGACACAUCAUCAGGUUUUGGAAUUAAUCUCCAAACCUUGUUUCUUUCGAAUUCAGACAAUUCAGCUUGCAUAGCAACAACCCAAUCAGAGUGUUCCAUUGCAAUCUUAACUGUCUUUGGUUCAAUUUUGGAAAUAAAAACAUGAAACAUGCAGAACUCUUGAUGAUUGUUCAGUACCUCAUUUCGUGCAUGAAGUUGUGCUCUUGUCAUGAUUCCUGCUUGUGGAUCACCAAGAAUUUGAUCUUUUGGAUGAUUUCUUGUCCAUUUAUCGAAUUGUGGAUAAUUAGGAUCAAAAUCCAAAAUUGCAUCUUCGAACCUUUCAUCUGUUUCUGAUCCAUUUAUAGAAAUAGAAUCAUCAGCAUCAUCAAAAUGUUCUUCUUUAAGAAUUGGAUCAUUCUCUAGUAUGAGCUCCCCCUCGAUGAUUGACUUCGGUUCGAUGUUUUGCUAUGGUUCACUGAUCGGUUCCUCUUCAAGAUUUUGCUCCUCUUCGACACUAACAUUUGUUGACAUGUUAUCUCUUUCACUAUAAUGCUCCCCCUCAACAAAAGUAUUUGAAUCCAAGUGCUCCCCCUCCACUGGAUCAUCAGCUUGUUCAUUUGGGUUUUGAUUCAAAUUCGAAGUUGAAUCAUUGUUAUACUUCGAAUUUUCUGAUGUUUGAUUAUCAGUUGCAUUUCUUUCUGCAUCAAUUGCUUGAUCUGAAAUACCGAAAAUCGAAUCAUAAUCAACAUCAUUCAUUUCAAUUGAAUCAUCUAUAUUUGAAGAAUUUUGCAAAAUAGGAUAAUUCACAAAUUUAUGAUUAGACUUUUUAAUGUAAUGAUCAUCAAAUGUCAAAUUAAAAGUUUCUUCCACUUUGCGAGUUCGCUUAUUUAACACUCUAUAAGCAACUGAAUUGUGUGAAUAUCCCAAGAAAAUUCCUUCAUCUGCUUUUGUUUGAAACUUCGAAAGAUUAUCCUUGAGAUUCAUUAUGAAACACCUGCAUCCAAAAACAUGGAAAAAUUUGACAUUAGGUUUUCGAUUAUUGAUGAUUUCAUAAGGAGUAACAUUAAACCGUCUAUGAAUAAAUGAUCGAUUUUGAGUAAAACACGCAGUUGAAACAGCUUCAGCCCAAAGAUAUUGAGGUAAAUUCGAAAAUGCCAACAUUGUUCUUGCAGCUUCACAUAAUGAUCGAUUUCUUCUCUCAACUACACCAUUUUUUGUGGUGUAUAAGGAGAUGAAAAAUUAUGCGAAAUUCCUUUUUCCACCAGAAAUGUAUCGAAGACACGAUUUUUGAAAUCAGUUCCAUGAUCACUUUUAAUUUUUCGAACUGUCUUCUUCAAUGAAACUUCCAUCUUUUUGAUAAAAUCAAUCAUCAUUUGUGGAACUUUGGAUUUUAACCUGAGAAAAUAAACCCACGUGAAUCUUGAAAAAUCAUCUACUAUUACCAAAAUGUAUCUUUUCUUGUUAAGAGUAGCAACUGUUGAAGGACCACAUAAAUCUAUAUGCAGGAGUUCAAGAGGUUCAACAAUCUUCGAAUCUAUUGUGAUUGGAUGACCUUGUUUGUGUUAUUUCCCUACUUCGCAAGCUGCCCACAAACUGUCAUUAUCAUAUUUAAGAAUGGGUAAACCUCUUACCAGAUCUUGUACGACAAGUUUGAUGAUGUUUCGAAAAUUUAGAUGUGAUAACCUCCUGUGCCAUAACCAGCUAAUAUCGGCAACAACCUUCGAAAGUAAACACACAGCAGGUUUGCCAACAAUGGGAACUAUAUCCAAUGUAAACAUAUCACCUUUUUGUUUUGAAUUGAGUAAAACUUCAUUUGUCUCAACAAUCGAAAUGACACUGCCUUCUUCAUUAAAAACAACUUGAUUUCCAGUGCCCACAACAAGUUGUGAAACACUUAUCAAGUUGUGUUGUAAACCUUCAACAAAUGCAACUCUGUUGAUAGUGAAAUUUCCAUUCGUUAUCUUCCCAUAACCCUUGACUUUGCAUUUGUGAUUAUUACCAAACUUAACCACUCCUCCAUUUUCUAGGCUUCGAAAAUCACGCAAGUUUUCCUUCUUCCCAGUCAUGUGACGUGAGCAACCGCUAUCAAUAUACCACUUGUUAUCAUAUUGCUCGUCACAAAGUACCUGCAAUCAUUGGAAAAAUUUAGGUACCCAAGCUUUGUUGGGUCCAUUCAAAUUAGGUUUGUGAUUCAAUUGUAAAGUACAACCAUUAACCCAAUCACAAACUUUGGUUUUGAAACUGUCAAUAAAUUUAACAUUUUCAUUCGAAGGUCAGAUAUAUGAGUUUUUAUUAUUUUCAAAUGUUCACUAAUUUCACCCUUCGCAUCUUGAGUUUGUGAUUUUUCACUUUUUGCUCUUGUGACCGGUUGCCAAACUUUAACUGAUAUAAUUGACUAUUUGGAUGAUAAACUACCAUUCGUUGAAGGAUUAGCAUAUUUGUCAUAUGCCUCAUGUAUCUGUUCUUUCGAAAACUUACUUGAUUGGUAUAUCUUUCCUUUUCCUUCCAACCAAUGAUCAAUAUUUCUCUUUGUUGUUAUUCCCUUUGCAUAUGAGACUUUGUCAGCUUGUUUCUUCAAAGGAUUAUAACAUUUUGCUGUAUUUGGAACAUAAUCAACUUUUGGUUUUGAAAGAUAUGAUUCAUGAUAAGAUGUCUUGUUUUGAAACUUUGAAGUUUGAUUUCCAACCUUUUUCUGAAAAAAAUUUCUUGGUAUUGUAGAUUUUAUUUCAUUUGAAACUUUUGAAUUUUUAUUUGAAAACAAAGCACUUUUCUCUUCAAAAAUUUGAGAUUUUGAUUUUUCUUUAAAAACUUUUCUUCUUUUUGAAAAAUUUGUUGAUCUCAUUUUUGAUGGUUCAACAGUUUGCCAAAAAAUUGUUUUCCUUGCUUGACGUUUCGAAAUAUUAUUUUCCUUUGAAAAAUUUUCAACUUGAGCUUUAAAUUCUUUUGAAUUUAAUUUUAUCACUUUGUUAAUUGUUUUAACAUCAGUUUUAACAUCUUCGUGCUUUGAAAACAUAUUUGCAGUUGGGACAACUUCCUUCUUUUCAACUUUUGACUUUUCAAUCCAUACUCUUUUUGGUUUAUGAUGUUGAAAUUUAUAUGAAUUCUUUGUAAGAUUAUUUUCAACUGUACUUUGAUUUGAAAAGAAUCCUUCAUUUGAUGUUUGCAUAUUGUCUUCCACAACCAUCUUUUUGAAUUCAGGUUUUAUAUUUUCAACAUUACCUGUUGUUACGAAGACUUGAUUUGGGAACACAAUAUCAUCAGUGCAUUUGAAGAUUGGAUAAACAACAGUAUUCGAUUCAAGAUAAUGAGCACCUUUUUCACUAAGAAUUUUCUCAAAUUCUUGUGUAUCCAAAUAGACUUGAUCAACAACCACUCGAGGAAUUUCAAUUUCUUUCAACCUUUGACUUUGCUUUGAAUUUGUAUUUUCUUCUUCAUUGUCACUAUCAUCCGUUUGACUCUCAUGUAUUUCCACAUAUUCCAUAUCACAAACUUUCGAAGUUGAGGGUUUAUUAGUUUCAAUUUUCAUUAAUAAAUCGUCACAUUUUUCUUUCCCUUUAAAUGAAUUUGCAACAUUUAUGACAGACAACUGUGAACAAUCUACAUCUUCUAAAUCACUAAUUUCACUAAUAUUAUCAGAAUUUUCUUCAAUAUUAGCAUUAUUAGUUUCACUAUUAGAUGUAGAAUUCUCAGUCUUUUUCAAAAUUCGAAGUUGUUCUGAUUUAGUUAAGGUUUCAUUUACAAUUUUUACUAAAUCAUUAGCAUCAAGAUAAUCUUCGACUUUUGCAAUUCCAUAUCUAAACCUAUCAUCUGGAACUUUGUUGAAAUCAGAAAUUUCUUUUUCACAAUCAUAUGAAAUACUAUCAACCUUAGCUCUAUCAUAAGCUAAAAAUGGUAGUAAUUUUCUAUGUUGUUCCUUACUUAUUUCACACGAAUGAUGUAACUCAGUUAAUUUUCCAUACAAUCUUUUUGCUGAAUUACAAAAAACAUUUCUCUGAGCUAACAACAAGUUUAUUUCUUUUCCUAAUUUUUCUCUAUCCUCCAUGAUAUUUGAAACUUGCAAUUCUAAGUAAUCAAUCCUAGUGACUUUUGAAUCCAACAUUUUUCUCGUCUCUAGUAAUUGAUCACUUAACUUUUUCGCUUCAUUGCUAGCAGACACAAUGAUUGAAUCAAAGUAAGUAACAGUUUCAUCAAAAGAUACUAACUCAGAAUUAUAUGCAGAAACUGGAAUGUUAAAAGAUUCAAGAAUUUUACGUACCUUGGUAGUCAUAGGCGACUUGUCAGUAGACUUCGAAACGAAGCAUUGCCCACACACUUCGUCAGUCUGUUCAUCAUCUGAAUCCUCUUCCAUUUUUGCAUACAUAGCUCCAUGAGUUGGAUUUUUCAUCUCUUCAUCAUCUGAACCCGAAGACCAUAUUUGAUAUGUGCCAUCCGAUUCAGUUUCUCCAUGAGCCACCAAUGACAAAUUCUUCGCUUUCUUCUUUACUUCCUCCAGUUUCUCAGUGUAGUAAGCUUCAUCCUUUGUUUUACUCUUCUUUUCUUCCUUCUUCCUCAACAGGCAAUCUACUGCCAAAUGAUUUGCUCCAUAGCAAUAAUGACAAUUGAUCCCUGUAUCACCUUUCAAUAGCAUCUUCAUUUGCUCCAUCUCAUUCUUCGAAUUUGUCUUCAUUUCUAUUUUCUUUUCAUCCAGUUUGUUUUUGUUCUCAAAACUACCCUUCGAAUCUGAUGACUUCUUUGGAUUAAAAGGUUUCUUAAAAAAUUUCUUUACUCUAUUGUUUGAGUAAAAAGCAACAGCCUCAUCAUCAGAAUUCAUCAAAAAACCUUCUUCUUCAUCAGACUUCAAUUUUUCACUUUCUCUUUCUGAAACCUUCGAAACUAGAGCCAAAGGACCACCAAGACUUGCUAUAGCUUCUUCAGCUAUUUCAUUAACUUCAUUUUCAUGAGAUUUUAAUUGAUUGUACAAGUCAUUCAAAGUCGAAGUAUCAAAACUUUGUUGAUUUUUCACCAUCAUGCUCACACUUCUCCACUCCUUUCGAAGUCCCAUUACAAAUAUCAAAUUGUACUCCAUUGGUGACCUUAUUAUACUAUAACGAUUACAACGAUAGAUUAACUCGUUGAACCUAUCAUAGUAUGCUUCAAUAGACUCAUUUUCUUUCUGUCUGAAAUCUUUGAGUUCUACCAGGCAUUGUUUCACAGAUGUGAUCUUCGUCUUUUCACUCCCUUGAAAUUUGUCUUUGAGAUUGUUCCAGAUUUCUUUAGCUGUUUUGCAUGUUCUGACAUAAUUGUACACAACAGGAGGCAACACACCUCUUAAUUCCCUCAUGCAUUUCUUCUCCAGACGUUUUAAACGAUCGGUUUGAUUAUCAACUUCUGAACUGCUUGAAGACAUGCCGAUUGGCUGAACUUGUGCAGGUUGAUUGAUUUCUCCUGAGAUGCAUUUUUAUAAUUCUUCAUCCAAUCCGUUCAAGUAAUCUUCCAUACGAUCUGCCCACUGAUCAUAAUAUUCUGGAAUAAGCAUUGGAAUUUUUGUGGAUGAUCCAAGCAAAUGAGAAAAUGAUGUCAUCGAAUUCAGAUUGAAUGACACCAUUGUUGUACGGACAAAAACUUCAAGAUGAUACUAAACUUUUGAGAAUUUUGAAAUUCAAAUUGUAUAAUUCAAUUUAGAAUUACACACCGAACACUCGAUUAACAAAUAUUUUUGCAGAAUCAAAUCCUAGAUUGAGAUCUAGAUGAAAUUUUCAAAUUCAAAAAGGACGGAAACUUUUUGAAUCAAACAGUAGAUUCAAAAACCUUUUUGAUCGAAUGAAAAUCAGAUCACAGAAAGGAUUCCUGCUCUGAUACCAAUUGAUGAGAUUUGUAAUCGAGUUUAAUGAUCAAAUCACGUAAGAAUUAAGAAAUAAGAAAUACGAUGAACACGAGAGUAAAUAUAAUAUUUGAUCAGCUCAUAUUAUGCUUUCGAUUUUACAGAGUACAAAAGAAUUCUCUGUAAAGAGUAUGUGAAAAGUUAAGUUCUCACUCAGUACAGACUCCUAUUUAUAGGUGAACAAAAGCAUAACAAAAUACUAAGGACUAGACAUUAAGACUUCAAUACAAUGCCUUAGUAAAUAUAACAUUACAUCCGAAGACUCUACUUACGAAGACUAGAGAUCCUUCGUAACAACAAAACUAACACUUCAACUUAUUACAACAUUUAUACCCUAACACAGUCCCAAUGUCGCUGUUAUCCCAGGUUUAUUCCACGACGACUUAUGACAAAAACAAAGAUCGUAUCUAUUUUACCAUCCACGACAAAAAGGCUUCGGUUUCAAAGGUGAAGUUCUGUUCGAUUUUAAAUCUUGCAGUAGAUUCUUCUGUCAUCUCGCCAGACUUUAUCACCACAUCUCAACUAUUUUCAAUGAUGUACGAGAUGGGGUAUACCGAUGUGCUAACAACUAUUACCAAAGUGAAGAAAUCUUGUUUACCCUCACAGUGGACUGGCUUCCUCACUCUACUGAUUAAGGGUUUAGCAGAACGAUGUGGUGGUUCCGAUACUACUAGCAAGGGUUUUCUCGCUAUUCUUUACGGCCUCUACAAUGGGAUCAAUCUUGAUUAUGGCUCUAUAAUCUGGUCUCAGGUGGUGCUGAGUCUCAAUACAUCGACACGGCAUUCUGAAGUUUCAUGUGGGCGUUUUUGGACCCUGAUUACAAGGAAGGUAAUUAAUUCUUUAGAGAUUCCGAUCAUGCAGGAUGCUCUACUUGCUUCUAUUGCCACAUUCCAUACAAAGAAGAUAAUUCUCUCUGAUCCACUCAAGUUUUCUCAUUAUGGAAUGAUUCCUGAAACCAUGUAUCGUGGUGUUACGGAAAAGAGCAAUGUCUUGGCUGACUAUAGGAAACUUCCUCCUAUCGGACCGAGAGUUCUGUCUCCUGAGCACCAAGCAGCUUUGGAUGCACUGGAGAAGCCUACCAACAGAGGAAAGAGGGUUUCAAAGAAAGAAGAUCCUGAAGAACGUAAGUCCAAGUCCUCUAAACGCAAGUCUGGUGAAGGAGAUACUUCUCAACCGAAACAGAAGAAAAUAAAAAAGAUGGCUCGCAGACCUAGAGACAACACUCCUCGAAGCACAGAUCAUGCAGAUGAGCAAAGUGAGGACGAAGAGGUUCGUCAUGUCUCACCCCGAGAGCCCACUCCUCCACGAUCUCCUACUCCACCAGAAUCUCCAAAUCACAACAGAGUUCCAACGCCAACCCAGUGGAUUCUCGUUUUGAUGUUCUUGUUGCCAAUCUUGCAACAGAGAGUGCCUUGAAGGAGGAUUUGGCUAAACAACAAGCAACAAUUGAUAUUCAGAAAGUGCAGCUGGCGCACGCAGAGAAAGAAAUUUCCUUGUUGAAAACUCAGAGGGCUGUUUAUAAAAGUUGUGCAGGAGAUGUGAAAGAUUUGCUGACAAAUUUUCUUGAAGCGCAUGAUCCGAUCUUAACUCUGACUAUUCGGAAUCAUCUUCAAUCCAAACUCCUUCCUGCUAUUGUUAUUUUAAGUGAAAUGAAAGGUGUUUCGGAGGGAGUUGUACCUCCAAAACAAGGGGGAGAGAGUAGUGCUCAUCCUUUUGUUCAAACGAGACCGAUUGUGAAGACAGAAGAUGAACACCCGAAAGUCACAACAGAACCGAAGGUUAAUUUAGCUUCGGGUUCUGGUUCUCAAUCAAAGCAAAAAGAGUUUAAUGAUGAAAGUGAGAGUGAUUUUGAAGAAACUAUAGCCGAUGUUCUAAAACGAAAGAAAAGAAACAGGAGGCUUGAUGAAACGAUGAAAGUGGCUAGUGAAGCAGAGGAGCAGGAAAAGAAAAAUAAGGAAGAAGAGGAUGCCUUGCAAUGCAAGAAGGCUUUGUUUCCUGAGUGGAACAGAGACAUACUUAUCAAUCAAGCGAUUGAGUCUCCUUCUGUUUAUUGGUUGGAACCAGUUGCUUCUUUUGAUUGUGAUAACUCUAAAGACUUGCAGUUUGAUAUGCCUAUUACCAAAAAAGUUUUUACAUUUCACUGCUUUGAGGCGACUGUUGAGUUUCCGCAUCCACACCUGAAGGUUGAUAGGGAAUUGAUCGAUUUUUAGUUGAAGUAUGGUCAACCACAGUACUUGACUUGGAGUGCACAGAAGAUUAUGAAAGUCAAGGUACUGAAACCUUCACCUGUUGGGAGAUUCGUAAAUGUCAAUUUCAAAAUCACCUGUGGUUCAGCAAACACGGUGUGUAUAAUCUCUCUAGCAGAUCUUCCUAACCUCAAUCUUCAUGACUGGAUUCUGCUAUACAACAUUCUGCUCUCUGAUCCUAAGGAGUAUGAGCCGAUUUUAGAUCAUUUUAAGAGAAUGUUGGCCUCUUAUAUCCAUCAGCUUGCAACUAUGGAUCACGAAAUAGCAAAGGUAAGGAAUAGAAAGCCAAUUCUGAAGACAACACCUAAACCUAGUGAUGUAAACAUGAUGAAAUUGGUACAGAUAGAUUCAGCAAAUCUAACUGUCAUGUUCACGAAAGGAGGAGGACUCAAGUUUCUGUUUGCUCUGGUUGAUAAGCAUCUAUUUUCAACAGACUGUUUGGAGCAUAUCAUCAAUAUCAUACACCGAUGCAAGCAGAACUCAGCGGCUGAUAAGAAGAACUUACUGACAUGCUUCGUUGGUAUAUUACUUUUCGCCAUCAUAUGAUAGCCAUUAUACCGAAGGUGUUCAAAACUAUGAAGAAGCCUCCAGCUGUUAAAAAGGAAUGAGGUUUCGGCUCUAAAGAUGCAAAGGGGGAGAUUGUUGAGUCCAUUUGUGUUGCGUCUGGGGCCAUAUAUUUUGUAUCCGGAUUGGGCCUGUCGAUCCAUGUCUAUCUAGAUUAGUUUCGUUGUUAUCUAGAUUAGCUGUUAGGGUUAUAGUAUAUAUAUGCAUGCAUGUAUGCGUAUAUUAAAGAGAGUGGUUAAUCAUGUUGAUUGUUGUAACCCUAAACACCUCUACAGAUUUAAGUUCUUUGUCGAGCUCUUCUGAGGUGUUAUCACAUUAAUCAUACGACAUAUUCAGUGCCAUACUUGUGUUCUUUAUUACGUUCUUAUUUAAUAUUUUGCUUAGAAUCAUACGAUCCUAAAAGAACUUUGUUCUAACACUUUGCUCAAAUAUAACAUUUUUCUACCCUUAGCUAUAUACACAUCCCUUUUGCCUUUGGAGCACCAAUAAUAUCACAAAGGGCGUCAACAUGAAUCUUAUGGGAUUGAUUGAGCAAACAGAACGUAAGGAUAUGUGUAUGGUAAUCAAAGGUGAUGGAUGACAAGAGUUCCAACAUGAGUGUUUGAUAACUUAAGGCAUGGAGAUUCAAUAGGCCUUCCCAACCUAGGUUCUUCAAGAGCUUGUGGACCCCUUUAUAGAUGUGAAGGUCCUUAAGGGCUUGCAUGUCUACAAAAUUUUAAGCCCCUUUUACCCAUCAAACAAGGCUUGAAUACAUAAUCUCUUGUUGAAUGGUCUAAACAAUAAGAUCAAAUUCAUCGGGGUUUUCCAUUAAAUGUUGGUCUUGUUCAUCAUUAGAUUCUUGACCAUCCAUAUGUGAGGUCCCAAUUCUAGCCCAUUUUCAAUGGGAAUCCAUUACCCAAGAAUUCAACAAAGCUUUGCACACAAUGUAGGACAAUUUUGAACUAUGCACAAAAACUAGCAAUACCACUAAAAAUCACCCCAAAAGAAUGUGGUCUAAGUAUAUGCACAAAGAAAAGAGUUUGGAACAAUUAUACCAAUUUGUGCUUGUAAAUGGUGUUAAGGUGAUGUCCAAUGCUUCCCCAAGCUUAUCCUACAAGAAAUUAUAAACAUUAGCUCGAAAUUUGGAAACCAAAAAAUUCUAGGGUUUGCUCAAAACCCCAAAAUCGGCCAUUGGAGAGUGAAAUUGAGAUGCAAGGCAAAGAAGAUGAAGAAAAGAGAAGAAUUUCAUACCUUGGAGCUUGGUUUUUGAAGAAAAAAUGAGGAUGAUGGAAUGUUUUAGAGGGUUUUUUGUCGAAGGAGGCCGGAAGGAGAGGAGGAUGCGCCUGUUUUGUGAAAAGAAUUAACAACAAAAAACGAUUUUAGCCUUAAAAAAACACCUGCUCUAUUUUUUCGUUUACAUAGCCCGUGUAAACACAAAGGUGAAAUUUACAUAGCAGUGUAAAAUGGUGCGUCUGAUCUGUGUUUUAGAGGGUUUUUUUCGAAGGAGGCAAUAAGGAGAGGAGGGUUCACCUGUUUUGUGAAAAGAAUUAACAACAAAAAACGAUUUUAGCCUUAAAAAAACUCCUGCUCUGUUUUUUCGUUUACACAGCCCAUGUAAACACAAAGGUGAAAUUUACACAGCCGUGUAAAAUGGUGCGUCUGGUCUGUGUUGGUCUGAUCAUUUACAUGACCUAUGUAAACCAUAAACAUAUGUUUACACGGCCGUGUAAACUUCUGAGAAGGCCUUUUUUUUUUUUGAUUUUUUCACUUUUUGAAAUUGCAACCCGCUAAUCCGCUACUGCACAAAAAAUGAUUUUUUACCCUCUUUAAACAUGAGAAACAACUUGGAGACUUGAAAACGAAGAAAAUAUGAUGGAAAAAUAAGAAAUGACAAAAAUACCCCCGGGUUGCCUCCCAUGUAGCCGCCCAUUUUUAAUGCCGUUGGCUCGACUUGGACCCUAAUUAUUUGUCAAUCUUGGUACUUUGGAUCCGUUACUUCCUCCACUUCUUCAUUUUUGACUUGAAAUCCUUUAUGAUAAGGCUUCAAACGAUGACCGUUUACCUUAAAGAUCUUCUCGGUUUUUCAGUUGUGAUUCCUAUUGCACCAUGCUCAAAAACAUUAGUGACAACAAAUGGUCCCACCCAACGGGACCUUAAUUUACCCUAAAUCAAUUUAAAACGAGAAUGGUAGAGUAAUACCUUUUGACCUUUUUCAAAUACCUUGUGUAUAAUCAUCUUGCCAUGGUAUGCCUUUGUCCUUUGUUUGUAAAUGACUUCAUUCUCAUAUGCUUUAUGGAUCUCCUCAAGUUGUUAUAUGUCAAACUUCCUCUUCUAUCCCGAUUCACUUAGAUCCAUGUUGAACUGCUUGAUUGCUCAAUAGGCUUUGUGCUCUAUCUCAACAUGUAAUCGACAUGGCUUUCCGAAAACAAUGCGAUAUGGAGACAUCCCAAUUGGAGUUUUGUAUGCAGUGCGGUACGCCCACAACGCGUCAUCAAGACGUAUACUCCAGUCUUUCCUUGUUGUAUUCACAGUUUUCUCCAAAAUACCCUUGAUUUGUCGAUUGCUCACUUCGGCUUGUCCAUUUGUUUGUGGGUGGUAUGUUGUGGAGAUUUUAUGAGUAUCACCAUAUUUCUUCAACACACUUCCAAGCAUACAAUUGCAAAAAUGUGUACCACGAUCACUGAUGAAAGCCUUUGGAACACCAAAUCUGGAAAAGAUGUUAGCCUUCAAAAAAUCUAUCAUAACUUUUGAAUCGUUAGUACGGGUAGCUUUUGCCUCUACCCACUUAAAAACAUAAUCCACAACCAAAACAAUGUAUGUGAAACCCAAAGAUGAUGGAAAAGUUCCCAUGAAAUCAUUGCCCCAAACAUCAAAAAUCUCACAAACUAAAAUGGGAUUAAGGGACAUUUGAUUCUUUGAGCUUAAAGAGCCUAUCUUUUGGCAUUUAUCACAGCUUGCACAAAAGACAUAAGAGUCACGGAAAAUACUGGGCCAGUAGAAUCUAAUCUCUAAUACUUUUCUUGCAGUUCUUUGAGCAACAAAAUGCACUCCACAAGCAUAAGAGUGGCAAAAUGUUAAGAUAGAAGGUAACUCAUGUUGAUCCACACAUCGUCUAAUCAUUUGAUCAGCUAAUAUUUCCAAAAGUAUGGCUCAUCCUAUACAUACCUCUUGGCUUCUUUCUUGAUUUUAUCUUUUUGCCAUCGAUUCAAAUCUAGUGGAAAUUGAUUUGUGACGAUGUAUUUCACAAUAUCGGCAUACCAUGGGGAAACUUUUGCUGAAAAUAGAUUCUUAUCGGGAAAUGCAUCAUGAAUGAGAUUUGAGUCACUAGGAGAAACAAUCCUACUAAGAUGACCAACUACAAGGUUUGACUUUCCGAUCUUGUCCUUGAUUUCAAUAUCAAACUCUUGUAAGAGUAAUACCCAUCAAAUAAGUCUAGGCUUCGAAUCCUUCUUUGCAAGUAGGUACCUAAUAGCUACAUGAUCAGAAUAAACAAUCACUUUAGAACCUAGCAAAUAUUGAUGAAAUUUAUCUAAAGCAAAGACAAUAGAUAGCAAUUCUUUUUCAGUUGUUGAGUAGUUGGCUUGUGCACUAUCAAGUGUCUUUGAGGCAUAAAAAAUGACAUGAGGAACUCGAUCUUUUCUUUGCCCCAACACUGCACGAAUUGCAUGAUUGUUGGCAUCACACAUGAUUUCGAAGGGAAAAAUCCAAUCCGGUGAUUGAAGUAUUAGUGUUGAUAUUAACAACUCCUUCAACUAAUCAAAAGCUUGCUUGCACUCCUUGGAAUAUUCGAAUUCUGCAUCUUUUUGUAGGAUCUCACACAUGGGAUGAGAUAUCUUAGAAAAAUAUUUGAUAAAUCUUCUAUAAAAUCCUGUAUGACCAAGAAAAGAGCGUACCUCAUGAACACAAGUGGGAUAUGGUAAAGAUUUAAUGACAUAUAUUUUUGCUUUGUCCACCUCUAGACCCUUUGAAGACACAAUAUGACCUAGUAUGAGACCUUUGUCAACCAUAAAAUGGCAUUUUUCAUAAUUCAAAACAAGGUUGGUCUCAAUACAUCUUUGCAAAAUCUUUUUUAAAUUACCCAAACAUUCAUGAAAAGAAUUACCAUAAACUGUGACGUCGUCCAUAAAAACUUUAAUGAUUUCCUCAACAUACUCCAAAAAAAAUACUUACCAUGCACCUUUGAAAAGUGGCGGGAGCAUUGCAAAGUCCAAAAGGCAUUGGCCUUUAUGCAAAUGAUCUGAAGGGACAUGUGAAAGUGGUUUUUUCUUGACCCUCGGGUGCAAUAGGUAUUUGAUGGAAACUGGAAUACCCAUCCAAGCAAAAAUAGUGAGUUUUUCCUGCUAACCUUUCCAACAUUUGAUCAAUGAAGGGAAGUGGGAAAUGGUAUUUCCGGGUUGAGGAAUUGAGUCUUCUAUAAUCAAUGCAAACUCUCCACUCAUUUUGCACACGGGUGGGGACUAAUUCACCUUGGUCAUUCUUUGUAACGGUAAUACCUGUCUUCUUUGGUACAAACUGGAUCGGGCUUACCCACUUGCUAUCUGAUAUAGGAUAGAUCAUCCCCAUAUUCAACAACUUCAAAAUCUAUUUCUUCACAACCUCCAUCAUUGGAGGGUUCAAAAGCCUUUAAGCUUCUCGGAAGGCUUGUAAUCUUCUUCCAUAAGGAUCUUGUGCAUGCAAAGUGAAGGACAUAGCCCUUUGAUGUCAAGUAUAGUCCACCCAAUAGCUUCCUUAUACUCCUUUAAGGUGGUGACAAGCUCUUCUUCUUCUUUUGUUGAUAACUUUGUGGAAAUGAUCACUGGUAAAGUCUAUUUCUUUCCCAAAUACGCAUAUUUGAGAUGCUCGGGUAAAUUCUUGAGUUCCAAUUCCGGUGCCUGCACAAUAGAAGGAACAAGUUUCUCAUUAGACAUCGGUAAUUUCAUCUUUGGAACAUCAAACCUCAUUUUCUUCUUUUGGUCCAUCCAAGAUACAACUUCCAAAAUCUCUUCAUCAAUUUUGAAUUGGUUGGAAAGUUUUUCCACUUCAUCCUUUUGAAGAUUUCUGUCUAAAAUGAGAGCUAACACAUCGAGAUUAGACAAAUCAAAACACUCUUUGGUUAAUGGUUCUAUGACAUCCACAAAAUUCAAAGAUGAAAAUAUCACUUGGAUAUCUCAUAGCAUCAUAGAUAUUGAAAUUUAUCACCUCUCCAUCAAACGCCAUGGACAAUGUACCAUCAUAAACAUCAAUUUUAUUCCGAGCUGUUUUCAAAAAGGGUCUUCCUAAAAGAAUUGAACUAAAAUUUGGUGAGUCAUCAUUAUCCAUGUCAAGGACAUAAAAAUAUGUUGGAAAUACUAGUUCAUUCACUUGGACUAACACAGAUUCUAGCACACCUUUUGGAUGUAACAAAGAUCGAUCAACCAAUUGAAUGUUCACCCCGGUCUACUUUAAUAUGCGAAUAUUUAAGGUUUUGAAAAUAAAAUAUGGAAAAACAUUGAUAGAAGCUCCAAGGUCUAUCAUUGCUCGUGGAACAUGAAGAUUGCCUAACUUGCAAGGAACCAUGAAAACACCUGGAUCCUUACAUUUUUGAGGUGGUCUUUUCUGCAACACUGCAGAUACAAUUUCACCUACUUUGACAGUUCCAUUCCCUUUUAUUCUUUCUUAGAUAUGCAUAAUUCCUUAAGGAACUUAGCAUACUUAGGGACUUGUUUGAUGGCAUCAAUAAGAGGAAUAUUUACCUCAACCUUUAUGAGCUUCUCCAUGAUCUCAUUGUCUUCCCUUUCUUGCUUUGACUUGCUUAACCUUAUAUGACAUGGAGGAGGAGUGACUUUUGAUUCAAUGGGAACUUGCUUUGAAAGUGCUUUUGACUUCUCUUCUUCUUACUCUAACUCCAUCUCUUCUUCUUGUCCAAUCAUCUUUGGACCUUCAUAUUCUUUUCCAUUUCUUAAAGUGAUGGCGCAUGCACUAUGCUUUAGAUUCUUUUCUGUUUUUGCGGGUAGUUUUCCUUGUGACUCCAAUUUACUCACAAAAGUGGUGAGUUAGGUCAUUUGUUGCUCCAAAGCCUUGAUACUCGCCUUGGUCUCAUUUUGAAAUGUUUGAGUACUUGUGGCUAAACUCUUGACAAUGUCUUCCAAAGACAUUCCUGAUUCACUUGAACUACUUCCUUGAUGCACGUUUUGAGGUUGGAAUUAAGAUUGAUGAGGAAGUUGAUUUGGCUGGAAAUGUGGUUAACAAUUUUGUUGAUGAUACAUUUGAUUUUGAAAUGGAGGUCUUGCUUCAAAAGAUGGUGGCCUGGCUGAAAAUUGGCAUUGGGUUGGUGCCAAUUUUGAUUACUUCUUGGCUGAAAGUUUCCUUGCUGUUGACUAGAAAAUCUCAUAGCUUGAACCGGCUCUAUAUCUUCUUGUAACAUCGGGCACAUAUCAGUGGGGUGUCCAACUUGGGUACAAAUACAACAAGGUCUAACUGCUAGUGGUUGCACACCAUUGUCCUUAGCAAGCAUCAUCACUACUUUAGUUAACUCAAAAAGUUGACUCUCAGUUUUUGGGGAAGAAAUUUCUUUCACUCCUCUUGGUGCAUCACUGUACCAUUCUUCUUCUUGAAUUGUAUGCUUGGACUCUUCUGCCAUGUUCUUGAUAAGAGCUCUGAUUUUUGUUGGAGUUUUAACACCUAUUGAUCCACCACUUGAUACAUGGAGUAAUCUUCUAUCUCAAGAUGACAUUCCCUCACAAAAAUAUUGUAACAAUUGAUACUCUAAAAUCCCAUGUUAUGGACAUCUUAAACACAACUUCUUAAACCAUUCCCAAUAAGUAUGCAAGGGUUCUUUCUUUUGUUUCUUGAUACUAAUUAUUUCCCUACGUAAAGUUGAAGCUCUAAUUUCAGGAAAAUAUUUAUCCAAAUUUUUUUUUGCAAGUUCAUUCCAUGUUGUGAUUGGCCCCGGUGGUAAGUCAUAUAACCACUCCUUGGCUGAAUCUUGUAAAGCAAAGGGGAAUGCCCUUAACUUGAUUUGAUCUUCUGUAACUUCAUGUGGCUUCCUACUCACAAAAACAACAUGAAAUUCCUUAAGGAAUUUAUGUGCGAAAUGAAGGUAACAAGUGAAUGAGUCCGGAUUUGAGUUUAAAGUUUAUUGCUAUAGGAUAAUUGAUGCUAAUGGUUGUUGGGUAACAUCUUGAGUGGCCCAUUGUCCAAAGGUUUGUUCGGGUGGUGGAUUUGGAGGUGGAUUCCCUCCAUGGUUGUCUCCCAUGGUAGGAGUAUGGAUAAAAUUUUGAGAUUCGGGUAAAGGUGAAGAUGGUGGGGAGGUACUUUUGGAUGUUGGUGAAGAUAUGGUUGAUAGGUUUGAUGAAGAAGCCCCAGAUUGUUGUUUUUUUAAAAGUAUGGCUUGCUUUCUUCUUUGUUUUGUAGAUUUCUCUAUCUCCAUAUCAACUGGUAAAGGUGUACCUGUACAAAAAGAUCUUGGCAUAAACACUUAGUAUUACCGUGUCCCCGGCAACGACGCGAAUUUGUUGAGCGUGUCAAAGCAAACAAAUAAAGGCGUAAAAGUAAUUCCUUAAACACUACUACUUUGUACUAAAAAAGUAAUAUAAGGUAAGUAGGGUCGAUCCAUAGGGACACGAGAUCACAAAAGGUACAAAUGAGAUCACAAAAUAUGGGAGGGGGAGGGAAGUUUAAUUAAAAUAAAAGACUAAAAUAUUUAGUAAACAAUUAAUCAAAUAAAUGAAAUCAAGGUUUAUAAAAUACUCCAACUCAAUGUAUGACUAAUUAGCAAUGUGAUUCAAAGUAUGAAAUGAUAUUUGUUUAAUUCUAUCUAAAUUGGUACUUAGAAAUGCUAAGAAGCUCUAGCAAUUCACAUUCACCAUUUUAAUUAAUCAAAAUAAUUUCUUUGAUUAAUUGUAAUCUAACCAAUCUAAUCUAAACAAGUUCUUAGAAUUAGAUGGAAAGAUUGCAUUAUGCUUUGUGUGAAUUUUACCAACAACAUUCAAUACUCAUUAUAAGCUCGGGAAUAUAAGAAUGUGUGAAUUUGAUUUACACCAUAAUUACUCUAAGAAAGUUCAGUCUAGUGUUUGUUACUUGUUCUAUAUGACAAAACAAUUACGGAUUUUGCAAAUUAGAUAACUUGAAUGAAUCAACCCUAACUCAAUUGGCAAAAAAGAACUAGAAUUGAAAUCAAACCUUCAAUUAAAACAAAAUCGACUUCACUAGAUAGCAUUUAAAACAAACACCAAGUCAAAUGAUUGAAUUCAAAUCACGCUCAAUAGCCAAUACAUGAAGUUGGAGAAUUAAGUUUCUAACUACUCAUGACUAGAACAAAGCACAAACCUAGAAAUUGAAAUUAAAGUCUUACAAAUUGAAAUCAAAGUGUUUCCAAGUGACAAUUGCCUUCAAAAUGCUCCCCAAAAUCGCCUCCAUAACUCACAAAAUCAACUUCCUUUCUAAUUGAACCGGUUGCACAUUUUUACAAAGAAGAUAAACUAUUGAAAACUUACGACCUCGUUUACACGGCCCGUGUAAAUUAACACUACUAUUUACAUGGCCGUGUAAACACAAAAAGUAUAUUGCUCAAUUUUGUCAGGCCUUCAAAGUACACUGCUCGUGAGUAUGCAUUUACACGGUCCGUGUAAACACAAGGCUUCCAUUUACACGGCUGUAUAAAUCUCUAAAUAUCCAAAAUCUUCAUUUCAUCGGUAUCUUCCUCCUUGGUGCUCCGUAUGUCCCGAAACUUCAUCUACACCCCUAAUUCAUCUCUCCAAGUAAGAUCCUACCUCAAAAAAUCCCUAAAAUAUCACAAAAGUGUGUGAAUGAAAUUGCCUCAUGAAAAAUCCCAAAAACAUGCAAAAUGCAUGAUUUUAAGCCUAUAUGCAAUAUACUUUUAUGAAGUAAACCUACAAAAUGGAUGCAUAAAAUGCACCUAACAGUUAGUGACCACUAUUUUUGGUCACUCAACCUUAAAUAGUGACCACUAUUUUUGAUCACUAAGCCUCUAACACACCGGUAAUACAAUGAUCAUUCUUUUUAGUCACUAAUAGUUAUUAUGAUAUGAAACAAAAGUAUUUUAAUUUUAUUCACGGAUUAGUUACCGAUUUAGUGACCACCACAUAUCAUUGGUUAUUAAAUUUGUAGGAUUACCAAAACUUACGACUAAAUUUUUGGAGACUAAAUGAUGCUGCUAGUGACCAAAUUUUAGGUCGGUCACUAAUAAGGACUUUUCUGUUAGUGCUAUAAUACUAAGAUAUAAUAUAUUUUUUAAAACCUUCUUACCCAUAUAUCCAUAUAAAACUAAAGCUUGCAAAUAACACCUAAAAUUUAACACUCUCAUCAAACUAUAAUCAAAUGUAAAAUUCUAGUAAAUCUUUUAUUUGGAAAAUAGUUGCAUUCUUUCUUUUUUUUGAACAAUAAACUUUAAUGAACAAUAAAAAAAUUACUAGCUGAAAAAUAGUUAAUACAAAGGUUUUGAAUAUAUUACAAUAAAAUAUAACCAAAAAAAAACCUAUAAGUUAAGCUAAAGCAGCAAUUACAUUAUAUGAAAAUAAAAAAUAAAAAAUAAAAAAUAAAAAAUAAAAAAUAAAAAAACCAACAAGGACAGCUAGGAUAUAGAGAAUAAAAAAUUACAACUGAUCCCAAGUAACCCCAAACAUAAAAAUAAUUAGUAACCAACUUCAACCACUUCAAAAAUGGAAUGAACAAAACAAACUAACAAUCACAAUUUGAGGAAUAUGAAAGAAUAACCUAUAACUUUAUAAACACUAACAAAGAGAAAAGUUUCUUUGUAUUUUGCAUCUCAUCAACACUCUAAUGCUUAUUCUCAUUGAUGACUUAAUGAAAGCAAACAUCUAAAGCCAUCUUGUUGACUACAAGAUUCAAAUCAAGAAAUCACAAUAAAUAUUUCAAAACAAACAAGUUUAAUUUAUCAAUAAUUUCAUAUUUUGGUUUUAAAAUUAAAUAAAGAAAUAUUUAGCAACUACUAAAAUUAUGGAAUUAAUUAAACUAAGAAUCAAGUUACCAAUUUAGUGAUUUAGACUUUACAAAUCACCAAAACUUGCACACAUUUAGAUAUUAACGGAAAUUGAUUCUAAUUUAACAAUUAAUAUGGUGAAAAUCAAUAUAGAUAUUGAGAAUUUGAAUUGAAAAAAAAAUGUUUACUGGUUCAUUAUUUUGUAUUUCGUAAUAGCGAAUGAGAAUUAAGAAACUUACAGAUAGAAUCAUACAUACAGGCACGAAUUUAUACACUUCCAUGAAACAAAUCAACAAGUUGCCAUCGUAUUUUGGUUGUUUUCUGAUUGAUUGGAUUCACCAAUAUAGGUAGGGAUUUUAUGUGCAUCCAUCUUCUACGAGUUAUUCUCUUAUCGUGUAAAUUCGUUGCUAUCCUCUUAACUCUCAAGCCAUGGCUAUCAACUAGAUCCUCGUUUUCGAAACUACCCAUCUGUCCUUUUCGGUGUUAUUUAAUAUUGCUCCCAGUCUCCUCUUCUUCUUCAGUUCUCACUGACUCUUCGAAUUAGGUGUGUGAGGUACAUUAACCAAAAAUAUUAAUGCGUGCUUUUUUUUCCCGCUCCGUUCUCAAAACCUUAAAGUUGUGCCUUAGUUAACUCAUCAUAUUUAUUAAGCCCAUAUAAGAUGUCUACCCAAAAGACUAAAACAAAAUUAGAUGCCCUCAUGUCCAUUAUUGCCCUGGGCCUCGGUCCUGCUUGCCCAACCCUAGGGUCGGGCUUGGUCGUGUGAAUCGAGAAAAAGGCCAAUUUCAACAUUAUACUUUGGGAACGAGUCAAAAGAAGACAACGUAUUUUGAUAUCACACGAGGUUGUGUCAUUUUAUCUAUAUUUGACAAUGGGUCGUGUUAAACACAUAACUGCCUUUUGAUAGUUUUUCUUAUGACCUAUUUCAGGACUUUUAUCCAUUCUAGACAUUCUCUCUCAUUUCGGGUGACUAAGGGGCGAUUUCUACAUAAGGUUUUAGCAAUUAACUUUGGAGAGACCAUUUGGAAACAAUUUAUGUUGUCUUUGUAAACAACUUUAGUACUUCAAUUUGAUUUCUAGACUUGUUGAUUGUGUUCUAGUCAUGUGUGGCUAGAACCCUGGUUCCUCCAACUUUAUGUUUUGACUUCUUGGUUGUGAUUUCAAUCAUGUGACUUGAUGUGCUUUCAAUUUCUAUUUAGUGAUUUUGAUUUUGUUUUAAUCGAAUGUUUGAUUCUAAUUUUAGUUCGUAUUGGUCAUUUGAAUUACGAUUAGGUCAUACAAGUUAGCUAAUUGCAAAAUAAUUGUUUUGUGCAUAAGAAUAGGUAACAAGCACUGGAAUGAUUUCUAAUGAAUGAAUUUAGUGUAAAUCUUAUUCACACACUCUUAUGCUCCCGAGCUUGUGAGGAGUAUUGGGUGUUUUUGGGAACAUUCACAUCAAACUUAAUGCAAACUUUUGAUUUCUAUCUAAGAGCUUGUUUGGACGUAAAUGAAAAGGUUAGGUUAUUUUCAAAGAGCUUUUUUUGAAUUUAACAAUUUGGUGAAUGGGAAGUGUUAGAGCUUGUUUAACACUUUCAAGUACCAACUUAAGUAGAAUUAAGUGAAUAUGAUGUCAUCUUUUAAUCACAUUGCCAAGUUGUCAUACAUAGAGUUGGUGUCCUUAGAAAUUUUGAAUCUAUUUUAGUUAGUUAGUCACUUACUCGUUCCUUUAAAAAAUUUUGUUAAUUCAUUGCAUACAAACCCCCCUUUUCGUGACUACUUGUACCUUGUGCAAAAAGGUAUAAGUAAUUGUCUUUUGUCUUUCAGGAUUGGCCAUGCUUCCUUAUAUUACUCUUUAGUGCAAUUUAGUAGUGUAUAUGUAGUCGUUUUGUAUCCUUAUUAUUUGUUGCGUUUGAUAACCUAAAAAAUUGGUGUCGUUUUCGGGGAAUACUAAUUGUUUAUCCCUAGAUCUUUUCAUACAGGUACAUCAUUGCUGAUUGACAUGGAGAUAGAUAAGAGUGAAAAGGGGUUAUGGAAGCAAGAAAAGAUUUGUAUGAAGCAUCUGGGUUCCAGGAAUUCUUCGUCAUUUACCCCUCCUUUGAUUAACAUUUAGGAGAACAUACCUCUCUUAAGUCCAUUAGAAACUGAAAAAAAUUCCCUCUCACUCUCACAUCAACCACCCUCAUCCAGAAACACCACUCCACCUUCCUCACCCACUCAUAUCAUACUAGUCUUUACACCUACAGAAAUUGGUUAUAAUAACAACAAUUUUCCUCCACCAAAUCCACCACUCGAAAGAACCCUUCGCCAAUGGGCUCAACAAGAAGCUACCCAACAACCCUUAUGCAUAAAUUAUCCCGAUAUGACCAACUUUGAGCUCAAAUAUGGUCUCACACAUCUACUCCCAACAUUUUGAGGGGUAGAAAAUAAGGAUCCUCACAAUUUUCUCAAAGAAUUCCAUGUGGUUUUCUCCAGUAUGAAUCCACAUAAUUUAACCAAUGAUCAAAUCAAGCUUAGCGCAUUCCCCUUUGCAGUGUAAGAUGGAGCCAAAUAUUAGUUAUAUGACCUCCCACCGGGGAUGGUCACCACAUGGGCCUAGCUAGCUAGGAUGUUUUUAGACAAAUACUUCCCAGAGAUGAAUUCAGCCAUAUAGAGGGAAAUUAUCGGUAUCAAACAACUUAAAAAGGAAGCCUUUCAUGCAUAUUAGGAAAACUUCAAGAAGUUAUACUCUUGUUUCGCAAAGCAUGGAAUAACCAAAUACUAACUUCUUUAAUAUUGUAUAAAAGAAAUGACCCCAUGGGAACAAAGGCUACUAAAUGUUUCAAGCGGAGGCUCUUUAUUCGAUAAAACCCUAACCGAAAUCUGCAAUCUCAUCAACAACAUGGUUGAAGAUUUCAAGCAUGCUAAUCAAGAUGAGUAUUGGUAUGAGGAUGCACCUAGUGGUUUUAAAGAGUUUAAUACUCCUCAUAUUGAAGCCCAAAUUUCUAAAUUGAGAAGUGCGGUCAUAAUGCUUGCCAAAGAUAAAGGUGUGCAACCUGCAUCUUGCCCUUGUGGAAUAUGUAGUGAAACUAGGCAUCCAACUUACGUUGUAACACCCAAAAAAUCACAAGAAAUUAAAAUUUUAAACUCAACCCAAAUUCAUAAAUUUUUUUACAAAUCAUAGUUUUCAAAACAUUUCCAAAUAUCAGAGUUUCCCAAAAAUCAUAAGUCAUAAAUAAGAGGAUGUGUAUGGUCAUGCCUUCGCCUUCCCGCAGUCAUCCGAAGUACCUGAAACAUAACUCAAAACUGUAAGCCAAUGCUUAGUGAGUUCCCACAAAUUACCAACACAUAAACAUAUAACAUAUACAAUAACAACUUGUACUUGGUCCACAGCUAAAAGACUGGAUUACCCCGAAGCCCACAGCAUAAGUCUGGCUUGCCCUCGGGGCCCACAACUUAUGUUUGGCUUGCUCCCUGACCAAAUCCAUCAUCAGACUAAAAUACCAUCAAGCCCUCAGUACUAGUCUGGCAUACCACUUGGUCCUCACCUUGUAUCUAGAAUGCUCUUGAGCACUCAGUAUGAGUCUGGCAUGCCUUACCUGGCCCUCAACCCAUAUCUGGAAUGCUCCAGGGUUUGUUGGCUACCGCAUGAAGUAGUACAACCUUAACCCACUACAAUAUGUCAACAUAUAAUAGAUAACAAACACAUAAAGAUAAUCAUGCAGACGUAAUCACAGGUAGUCCUACAGAUCUACCAAACUAGCAUAUCGACAACUAGCAUAAUCAUGCAUAUCUAUUCCAUACUCAGAAUAUCAGUGAAUGGCAGGAUAUAAAACCAACGGGCCAGCCUUGGUGCCUUCGACUCGUAAGUACAGUGAGGAAAAAUCGCCUCACAAACCGGACAAAAGUUUAUGAGGUCUCGACUCCAAAUCUCCGCUCAAACCCACCUAUCCAACCGAAUAACCAAUCUCAAUAAAAAUCCCAAAAAUAUCCAAAAUACCCUUGAGUCAAAAUUGGUCAAACUCGGUCAAAGUCAAAGUCAAACUGGUCAAAAUCCAUAUGUCAAUUGAGUCAACCAAGCCGAGUCAAUCCAUAGUGAGUACGUGGGGCGUACUCCAAACGUACGCUGGGUGUACUCGCCUGUUAACCACAAUCGGGUGGUUAACCUCGUAUGCAGGGCGUACUCCAGGUACGCGGGGCGUACUCUUAGAAAACCCAAAAACUCAAUAAGUGCUUAAUGUCUUAAGCACUCACGUCCAUUUUUCAGAUCCAUGGUUAAAACCCCCUCAAGAGUCAUAAAGUUUCCAACUUUAUGACUUUGCAUAUCGAUUAAGUGCUUAAGUCAACUUGUUAAUCUAUUAAGACCUUCGAAAUGAUGCAUGGAGCAAAACUAACCACAUGGAAUCCAUUUUUAUGAAUCAAGACCCUUCCAAGGCUCUAAAAAGAGAAAUUCAAGGGUUAAGAACAUGCUAUUUUCAUGAAUCGUCAUUUUGGGACCAAAAAGUGACUUAAAAGAGCAAAAGCCUAGAUUUACAAGAUGGGGUGGUAAAGAUGCAAGAUUUAUACCUUCAAGAUGUUGCAAACCAAGAAGAAAUCCUAGAUCCAAAGUGCUCUCAACUCCAAGAUCUUCACACCACCUUCUUCUCUCUUCAAAAUCGCUCCAAAACUCUCUUAAAGGCUCAAAAUUUUCUCUAUCUUGCUUUAGGGUCGAUAUCACAAAAGGAGGUUGGGUAAGAAGAGGAUUUGAGUCCAUAAGGUUGCUUAAACAUGAGCCAAAGCCCUAAAAUUAGGGUUUUCAUGCAUUCCAGAUACGCCCUACAUACAAAGUGUACGCCCAAUGUUCUAAGGCACGCCUUAGUACACUUAGUGUAUGCACAGCGUACUCAUCCAAACCCAAAUUUUACCAAAAUGCCACAACGGGCCCCUUUUCACACUUUCUUACACUUAGGGACAAAAAUGCAAUAUAAUUCAAUUAUAGGGACAAAUUUAGAAGUACCUCAUCAUCGGGAUGUUACAUACAUGUUCCCUCAACUUCAAGAGGAGGAUUAUGAAGAAGAAGGAGCUUUGGGAGGUUAUUACGGGAAUAACCAAAAAAGUUAUUGUUGGAAUAGUGUCUAAGGCUACAACUAUAUUAGGCAAGUAUUUGACCCGGUUGUGCGUGGUCCUUUUGGGUUGCCUUCACCAUAGCAACUUGACAAGAUGAUUUAUAAUGAGAGAAGGAAUAUUAUUAAUAUAUUAUAAGAAUAAUAUAAGGAAUAAUAAUAUUGUUAUUAGAUUAAUAUAAGUCAUAAAUUAAUUAAGAAUUAAUUUAGUGACUUAAAGAGAUUAAUCAAAUAAAGGGGUAUAAACUAUUAAUUGUAUGAUAGUUUGAUUUUAGGCUAUAAAUCCCUUAAGGAUAAGGGGGCGAAUUCUAGGGCUUUGGAUAGGCUUAGAUUUCGUCCAAGGGCUUAUCUAUUAGGGUAUUGGAUUGCUUAGGGCCUAAGUUAUCCAAUUAGGGUUUAAGGGUGAAACCCUACGAGCCUUACAAGUAUAAAUAGACCCCAAGGGUCAAGGGAAAUCGGCACUUGUGCUUAGAGAAGAAACCCUGGCCGAUUUGAUCCCCUCUCCUCUCUCCUAAAUCAUCUUCUUGCUAGUUGGUGUUUGUAAGCCAUUAGAGGAGUGACAAUUGUGACUCUAAAGCCUCAAGGAGAAGAAGAUCAAGCAAGUGAUUCAAGGUAAACUUCUAAUCUCUGAUUUUAUAUUGUUAUUAUACUCUAUUAGCCAUUAGAAGUCUUGGAUUCAAUGUAUGUUCAAUUAGAGAAACCUAGAUCCAAGCAUUAGGGUUGCAUGUGCACAUAGGAAUGUUCAUAUGGCUAAAACCCAUCAGUGGUAUCAGAGCCUAGAUUGGUUUCUAUUGAAUUGAUGCAUUGAUUGCUUGUUUGUUGCUUGAAAAAUCGUUUUUUUGUCCUCUGCCAGAUGAACUCGGUGAGUCCCAUGGUAAGUAGGCUCAACUCGGCGAGUCCAUUUGGGUACUCAGCGAGUUCGAGCGUCAGAAAGAGGAAACUUAGGGAUUUCUUGCUGUUUAUCUUUGAGAUACUUGCCUUAAUCAUAUUAGAUCAAUAUAAAUCCGAUUUUCUGAUAUAUAUAUAUAUAUAUANUUCUAUUAUAUUUGAUGCAAUUGUGAUUUGCCAAAAACUGGAACAAAAUCGAUUUUUGCUCUCUGUCUGCUGAACUCAACGAGUUGGAGGAACUUGACGAGUCCAUGCCCUUACUCGACCAGUUAGAUCGUCUGUUGGCAGAUUUCUCAGAUUUCAAGCCUAAAUUAGACAAGGAUAGUUACCUAAAAUUGUUUUAACUGUUUAAAAUUGAAUUUUCUGAUAUGGUAAUGGAUAUCCUCAUUUAAUUAAAAGAUAAGAUAAUAUCCUAUUAUAAGAUUAAAUGAUUAUUGAAAAUUUGAACUUGUAAUUUUGAAAAAAAUUUAAAUUUCACCCUUAACGUUUUGAAAUUUAAAAAUUAAUUAAAGGUUUAAUUUUGAAAUAUUAAAUUCUAAAACCUUAGUAUUUUAAAAGUUUAAAAUACAAACCUUAUACUAUUAUAAUAUUAAAAGAUUAAUAUGUAUAUAUAUAUAUAAUUAAAAUGCUAGUCUUAGCGUUAGUAGGCCUCAUUCACGAAAGUCGGUCUAUAAGGUGGGUAUAAGGUUGCUGCCUACAAAAUGGCGUUUAAUGGGUGUACACUCACACCCACCGCUUGCUUGAUCGGUGGAGGGUCGUUAGCCGAACGGGUAGGAUAGGGCAACCUCAUCCUCUCAUUAAAAGUAUAAUAAGUAAUACAAAGUAACUACAUUUUUUUUAAAAUUUCCCAAUCUUAGUUACUUUAGGAAAAGUGAAUUGAUGCAAUCCCAUGAAAUUACACUUUGCACCCUUGCUAAGAAGUUAGUGGAGCGUGUGUGGUUUACCGGCACACUAAUUGGUUCUAAGCAAAGGUGGCAAAGGGUGAUUCAUUGUUUAUCAUAGUUCGAUGGAGCGUGUGUGGUUUACCGGCACAUCGAAUAGGUGAUCGUUACAAUGAAGGCACCAUGUGAAUUUGCAUGGUAAUUCACACCCACUUUGUGAUCCUCGGUAUCCCAGUCACAAACGAGAGGGGCAUAUCGAGAUUUAAACAUGCCAUUGAAAAGUUUCAAUGAAUCUCAUCCAAACCUAGGAAUUCUCAAUACAUUUAGAACUUAAAGUUAUGUUUUCAUGACGGAGAAUUAGUGAAUCGUCAUUCACUUACCUUCAUAUUAUUUGCAUUUUGGAUUACGGCAUCCCUUUUCUAAUAUAUAAAUAUUGUUGUUGGAUCCUAGCCCUAAUUUUUCUUAUUGGGUGAUAAUAAGGGAUUCAUAUUCUAAUCUAUCUUUGUCCUUUCUAUUUGUAGAUAUCGAACGCAAACAACGCUGCUGCUAGUUCUUUCACAUUGAUGAGCCUUUGUCAAAAGGUCACUUUCGAUGGGACGAACUUUAGCGAAUGGAUACGAUACAUUCGCACGAUUGCUUGCUACGAGGACAAGGAGGAUGUCCUCGAUGAGAAGCUCGAAAAAAUCAACCCAGAAAUCGCUACUCCGGCUGAAAUGACUGCUUUUGAGACUCAUGAACGUGAUGCAACAAAGGUAGAUUGCAUCAUGAUAGCCACCAUGAAUGCCGAAUUCCAAAAGUCCUACGAGGAUAUGUAUCCGUACGAAAUGCACCAAGACUUGUUGGAGAGAUACCACCAAAACGCGAGGCAAGAACGUUACGAGAUUUUCACUAACAUGAUUUCCACCAAAAUGGGUCAUGGAGAAUCUCUUACCGUGCACCUGCAAAAGAUGCAAAGGUAUGUCGACCGUCUUCGCAAGUUGAAUGUUGACUUUGGGGAAGACUUGGCGAUCGACAUGGUGCUUCACUCUUUGCCUCCGUGUUACAAUCAAUUUAGGAUGACCUACCACAUGAACAAAGAAGAGGUCACCCUAAGUAAGCUCCAAGGUCUCCUUAGGGUUGCUGAAAGCAACCUCAAGGACAAGUCUGUUGCACCCACUCCCAAUCCACCCGCUGCUCCUGUUUUGGCCAUUAGGCAAGGGAGAGGCAAGAAGAGGAAAGCUCCGUCUAAGAGCCACCGCAAGGGAAAGUCCCAAGAUGGUUCCUCCUGUAGUGGGACCAACGUUGAUCUUGCGAAACCCUGUCCUAACCUUAAGGAGGUAGAGUGCCAUCAUUCCCAUAAAAUAGGGCAUUGGAAGAGAAGCUACCUAGACUACCUGCAAGCCAUCAGGCAAGGAAAGAUCAAGCCAUCUUUCGUAGGUAUAUAUACAAUUAAAUCUAAUGACUCAUCUCAUUCUAUUUCUUGGGUCCUUGAUACCGGUUGUGGUUACCACAUUUGUUCUGAUUUGUAGGGACUAAGAAGAAAUAGGGAUGUGGAGCAUGGAAGAAUAAAUCUAAUCAUGGGGAACAGAAGAUCGUCGCCUGUGACCAAGAUUGGAGUGUAUUCUUUAGUGCUUAGGAAUGGUUUAUGUUUAGAUUUGAACAAUUGUUGCUAUUCGCCAGAAAUGGCUAAAACAUCAUUUCUUUUCAUGGUUUGUUUAGACAAGGUUUUAGAUUUUCUUUUAAUAAUGAGAAUGGUUCUAUUAUUGCUUAUCUAAAUGGUGUCUUAUAUUUUGAAGCAAUACCGUGUAAUGGAUUUUAUGAAACUGUUAUGAUUGUAGAUAACUUAGGAAAUGAUGUUUUAUGCAUGGAUUCUUCCAAUGGUAUGGAUAGAGCAUCCUUGUGGCAUUGUCGUCUUGGACAUGUCAACAAGAAGCGCAUAGCUCAACUCCAAAAGGAUGGAGUGUUGGAGUCAAUCGACCUAAGGGAAGAUGACACAUGCGAGUCUUGUUUGCUUGGAAAGAUGACUAAAUCACCCUUCACAAGUACAUGUGAUAGGGGUGAGGGUCUAUUGGACCUAAUACAUACCGAUGUAUGUGGACCGUUUAGAUCAACCACGAAGGAUGGGAACCGCUUCUAUGUGACUUUUACCGAUGACUA
rnacentral:lncRNA from 1 species